rnacentral:lncRNA from 1 species
AUUAAUUGUAUAGUGUUGUUGAUCCACUCAAUUAGAGCAUGAAAGGGAUCUCUCGUGAUGUCAUUUUUUAUAUAUGAGCUAACCAAUCCAGCGUUGCCACAUUCCUCGAUCAUCUUAUCAGCUUCAACACCGCCGAUCACUGCCACCCUAUCCCAUAUAUACAGUGUUAGCGAAACAUAAGAGAGAUACUAUGAAGAGUCUUUCCUUGUCUGCUCUAAAAUUGUCGUUGUUGUUGAUGAUGAUGCUGCUCAACACAAAAAGUUGCGGUGCUAGUAUUUCACUGCCGGAAAUGGACGGUGACGUCCCCUCGUACUCCAUAGCUGAUUCCAUCUUAGAUUUGGAGUUCAUGAUGGAUUCUGAAAUUAACAGGAUUCUUAAUGCUGGCUCUCGCGCUGCCGGCACAACCGGAGGUACUCAAAAUCCUUAUAAAGCAUUGUUUGGUUGCGGCCGAGGCAAACGAUAUUGCGUGCCUCAUGGUCGUUUUAAUAAGAACUGCAUGUCGGUGUACAAACGCACCUGCUAGUUUCAUUAAUCUACUAGCAGUUAUUCCAUGCCCAGGCGUGAUGGAGGGAGGUCUCUCUCUAAUAUGUACUCUUUUUUAGGGAGUUUGUUAAAUUCCCUCACUACUACUGUUUCUAUUAUCUGUAGGUUCGAGUGGGUGUUGAAUUGAAUCAUACAACUCUCAUGGUAGAAUAAAUUUCCGUUAAACUUUAAAUUACGUUGCUUGUGGUUGAAAAUUAUAUAUAUAUAUAUAUAUAUAUAUAUAGAGAGAGAGAGAGAGAGAAGUAUUGUCAUAGAGAAGAGAUAAUCACACACAAGGCUAUGCAGAUUCUAGGGAGACAGGGGGCCAUGGCCACUAAAGGAGCACUUGUUUUCUAAUUUGUCCAAUUUAAUCCCCAAUUAAACAUUAAACUUUGAUUCUUUUCAAUCUCGUCCCCAGAUAUGUUUGGUACAACCCCUAAUUUUACGUGUCUUUUGCGGACAAGUUCUUGGUUUUAAAUUUUUUCAAUUUCACCUUUAAUUGACCCCUAAAUUUUGAUUUACUUGCAAUUUCACUCUUGAUUUCAUCCAAUUAAUCUUGUAAAAAUUAAGUCUAGUCCUUUAAAAUUCCAAUCUUUUCAAUUAAGCUUUCAAGCUUAGUUUUUCACCAAUUAAGUCCUUAGUAAAAUUAAGUUGACCCAUUAAAAAUCUAAUUAAGUCCUUGCACUUAAUUAAUUCUUUUAAUUUCGGUCUAAAUUAAUUUAUAAACUUAGUUCAACCUUUAAUUAGAACUAUGAUUAAAUCAAAUCAACUUAUUAAAAAUUCAAUUAGGUCAUUAGAAUUAAUUUUUAUGCAAAUUUAUCCAAUAUUCAUUUAAGUUAGCCUUGAAUUUGCAUUACUUUUCAUAUUUAGGUCUUUAAAAGGUGCAAUUGAGUUUCUAAAAAAAUUCAAAGAUCCAAUUUGGUCUCUCCAUCUCUUAUGUAUACAUGUAGAUCCCUCUUUUUUAUAUUUAUAUAAAAUAAAAGAUAAUUUUUAAGGUACCUAAAAUUGGGUUGUGACACAAACCAUUCAAAAAUCUUGUCAUUAUAUACUUUUUAUCCUCCAGAACAUUAUCUCUAAUAAGACAAUGUUCAUCUUCUUGUGGUUAUCCUUUAUACUUUUAUACCCUUGAGUUAAUCUCUAGAAUCUCAAAAUAAUUAUUUAUAAUAAUAUCCAAGAACAAACAUUUUUUUCAUGAUUGCUUUUAUCUCAUACCAAGUAUAUACAGGUCUCUCUCAACUCCUUCUUCCACCUAAAACAAUUUGAUCCAUUAACAUAAUAGCAUAGUCAAUAAACUCAAUAACAAUAAGUUUUACCUUCAUUUUCUUAUAAUAAUGGCAACAAUAAAAAAAUUAACUAUGUUUUUUUCUCCUAUUUCAAAUGUGUUUCAUCAUCAUUUUUGCCCUAAAAAUUCAAAAUCUUCAUUUUAAUUCAAAUCAUCAUGAAAACCAUCCUCCUUAUCUGCUUUUCUAUAGUUGGAAUAAUCAUCUGGUCGAACUACCCCAUGUUUGUCAGUCUUAUAUUGCCAAAACCUAGAACAUGCCUAUUAUCAAAAUCCUCAACCUCCUCAUCUAUAUUUUUUUGUUAUUGACUCCUUUGAUGGUGAAAUAGCUCAUCUCGCCGACAUUCUACCCUCAAUACCUCUAUAAACUGUCCCAUUUUGAAGGCUAACUACCUUAAUUCUUAAUCCAACCAUCAUAUUCAUAACCUCUCCAAACCUAAUUUUUAUUAUCUAUAUUUCUUGUUACAUAGCUAAAUAAUCUCAUUCUAAAUUAUUCUUAUCCUUUGACUGUGAUUGUCAUACCCGGACAUUGUGGCGACUGAUUAAAAAAUCAUCAUGAAAAAAAAUUGAUAUUUGGCAUCUUGUUCUUUUGAAAAAAAAGAUCUAGUUCAAGGAGUCACCACCUAGUAUUAUAGUCACUAAGAACCCUAACUGGUUAACAGAGAUUUUAUGGUAUGAGACUAGUUACAUAAAAAGAAAGAUACGAUCACUCCUUAAACGUUCUACCUGAGGCAGGCUGCAUUACUGGUUUUGUUUAAAAUUGUUAAGAAUUUGUUUUCCUCUUUUUUGUUUUUUGGUCUUCCUACAAUGUUCAUAACUCUGGCAUCCGUGGAAAUUUACUUACAAAUAUUUCCAACUCUUGUAUUGGUAAAUAUUGCACAACUCAAAAAGUGUGGUACUCCUUACUCUGACGCUAGUAAAUAAAUCCGUAAAAUUUGAAUUUAAAUGAAGAAGAAAUAAUUUUUCUAUGCCUUUUUUUUUACUUUUUUUCUAUUUUAUUUAUUGUUGCUCUUUUUUAGACAAGAAGAAAAAAGUGCAUUGCAUAACAAGUUUCUGUUAGCAGUUAAGGUCCAUAGAUUGAACAUGCAAUGAAAAACAAAAUAUGAAAAGAAAAAGAAUAAAAUAAAGCGUGAGGGGAUCAAAAAUAAAUCAAUGAAAAUCCCUAAAUUUUUCUAGAAUUUUUUACUAUAAAAAAGAGGCUCGUUUGACCAGAUAUCAAAACAAACAAGGAAUAAAAUACAUGGAAAAAACACAAGGAUGUGUUUUGCCAAUCACACCCUUAACCAAAAGUAGCUUGGGCUGGAUGGGCCUGACACCAAGACCUGGUCCACUCAUUUUUUUUUACUGGGCCAGAUCUAGCCUAGUUGUACAAGCUGGGCAAGACCCAGCAACCUAGCCAGGUCACUUGACCCGGCUGGUUUAGGCAGCAGCACGCAUGACGCGUGUAGCACAACAAAGAGUAAAUUAUAAUUCACAGCAACAGUGCUAGUGAUUUAUAAUGCAAAGUGAGAAGAGAAUGACUUACUUGGUGCAGAGGGAGAAGUCGAAGACGGUGGCUUGCUUUGGUCCCUCUCCUCUGUGUUUGCUCGUUAUAUUUGUGUCCUCUUUUUUUCCCUUGUGUUCGCUUCCUGUCUGUCCCUAUUCUCUCUUGGUCUCCCUGUCUUCUUUUUUUCUCCAUCUGGAGGUUCAUUGAUUUUUAUCCAUCCCUUUAUCGUUCUUUCCUUUGCCUUUUAUAGGGUAGCCUGCUGCUUAUCUCCCCCAAGACCAUGAUGAGGCUUGGGGACAUUGUGUUUCAGUCGGAUUGGGGCAGCAACAGUCCCGCCCAUGCCUGACUGUUGGUGGCAAUUUCCUCGGCGUUUUAAUGGAGUCGUGUGGGACAAAAGAAAACCGGAAACACUGAGUAAGCUUGGGUGUGUUUUCUGGUAAGAUGGGGACACCCUCAUUUCUCCCUUCUUUCCUUUUUUUUUUUUUUUUUUUGUUGCAGACAGGCUUCCAGUUCCAGAGGAAAAAGAAGAAACACAUGUGGAAACGACAUCGAUUUAGACUAGGAAUGACCAUUUUCAAUUUGAUCCUUGGAGUUUUGAAAAUUUCUAAACAAGUCCCUAAUCUUUUAACCCCCUAAAAUUAAAUUAAAAGUAAAUGAUUUAAAAAUUAGAUUAUGACAGUGAUAGUCAUCUUUUGGUUGACAUUGACAAGAUGUUGAAAUAAUAUUAAUAUUAAUAGAAAAUAUAUCCUCACACACUUUCUCACCAGUUUACACGUAAUAAAUAUCAAUCCUCUCAUAUUUCAUAAAAAAAAAUUUGUUGUUUAUUAUAACAAGCUUAUAUUUCACCUUUUACCAUUUAAUCUCAGAAAUUUUAGUUAUUUAAGAAAUUAAUUCACAGCAAAUCAAAAAAAUUAAUGACUUAGUAAAACAAUUCAAAAUAAUAUAUAGUCCCUAAAAGCAAAGAAAAAAAAGACUAUCAAUACAAAACUAUAAAUACAAAAUCAUGAAUAGAAAAACAAAUUCUUGUGUAAUAUAAAUGAUAUUAAGAAAAAAAAAAAUUAAAAAAUUAUGAAAACUAAUGAAAUAAAAUUUAAAUAAUUCAAACUAAGAAAAUACACUAUUUUUAGAUUGAUUUUUAUGUAUUAAACCUAAAUCAAUAAUAUAUUUUUUUAUGCAAAGCUACCUGUUAUGUUUUUGUUUUAAGAAAUAAUCCAAUAAAUUAUGUCUAAAUAAUUCCAAAAUAAAGACAUGUCACAAAGAUAUCCCGAAACUUAACAAUUCUCAUAUUUGAGUUGUCGAAUUCCAACAUUUGAUGAAAACUUUAAUUUGCUGCCUAAAACCUACUUUUUUUUUUCCCUUAUGCGGUUUCAAUCUUUUAUCUUUUUCUUUUUCCUUAAUUGUAUUCAACUAUAUCACAAAUAAUCUUCCUUUUUUUUUUUUUAAAUUUUUUCUACAACUAGGUUCUAGAUGUGAGCGAUAACAAUGAAAUAACACGGAAACUAAAAGAUAAAGAGAUAUAAUAUGAUUUUAGCACCUUACUCUGUUAACAAUUUAUUUGAACUCCAUAGAUAUAAAGAUCCAAAAACUCAUAGUCAAAUCAAUAUUUUUUUAAAAAAAUAAAUUUAGGCUUGUAAUUGAGCACAAUGAUAUUCUAUGUUAAAACACCAAUACUAAAUCUAAGCUAAAUAAUCUAAUUUAUAAUUCUUAUUUAUUUCUUCUCUCUUCUCUUAAUCACUCAUCUAUUAUCACUAUUGCUUUCUUGAUUUUUCUUUGGUCAACAUAAAUAUUAGCUCUCCUAUCAAUAUAUUUACGGCAGUAUCUCACAAAUAAAAGCGCUCGUAUUAUUUGUGCAAUAAUUAGUGGGGUACAAUUCCUCUGUAUAUGAAGGCGAACCCCUAAAGCAUUAGAGGUCAUCUACGACACUUGAAUGGAAUUUUUGUUGAAGUUUUAUUAAGGAUUUCCAUUUAAGAAAGUAAAUUUAUCUUCUUUUUUUUUUAAUUUGAAAAUAAUUUUAAAAUGUUAAUUUUUUAUUGUAUAUUUUUGUAGUAUAUGUAUUUUGUUUACAUGUUUACUUGUUUUAUUGUUUUGUUUUUCAAACAAACUUGUUGUAUGGAUUUAUGAUUUUGUACAUGUUCUAGUUUGUUUUAGAUUUUGUAAAAUUAUAUUUGUUUAUAAAUUGUUAAAACUUAUGUUGAAUUACUGACUUAGAUCUGUUGUAAUGAAAUAAAUAAUAGCUUGUUUAACGAGUUCGUUUUAUAUUUUGCUAAUUUUAUUGUCGAGUUGUAAUAUUCGUAAAAGUGUACAAAUUUGUAUCUACAUAGAUAAUUGAUAAUGAAUUAAGAGAAGUAUUAAAAUAAGUUAAAUAAUCUUGAGCUAAACCAAUAUUUUUGCAAACUUAUUUAGUUUUACAUAGUUAAUUAGUACAUGUUGUCAUCAUUAUUUGACAUAGGUUUGAUAAAAGUGAUGGAUGAUCGUUCAUGAAUAUAUCAAGAUUUACCCCAAGGACUGUGGAGGAUGAAUUAUUGUAAUGAAGUUUAGAGUUUUAUUAAUCACGCAAUAUCUAAUCUAAGAAAUAUUAAUGGAGCCGAUAUUACGUGUCUAUGCAAGAGGUGUAAAAAUAAAAAGUUUCUCGUUUCAGAUGUUGUAACGAUGCAUCUUGUAUACACAUGGUUCAUAGAGAAAUAAUUGUGUCGGUAUGCACACGGAAAACCAAUUGUUCCUCACGAGACUGUGACAGAAAGGAUUGUUGAGUCAAUUCCUCACGAGACGUGUAUGGAAUUGUAGAUGACAACAAUAAUCCUUAAAGGACAAUGGUUAUGGAUGCGAUGAGAAUGAAUCAUGACCAUGUCGAUCAAUGUCACGCACGCACCAGCAAUUGGGAGGCAUUCACGUUCUUUAGGUGGUGCGUGUGGCACCUUCUGGUGGUCAAAUGUUGUCGUCCAUUAUAGCGUCUGAAGUAGAUCAUUUUUGCAAUGAUGGGGCACAUGUUCACGAUGGAUGUGAGGUUGGGCUCUGAUGAAUCUUUUUCUCUUCUCCUCUUUUUUCUCUUUCGUGACCUCAAAAUUUGCACCAACAGGUUAUAUUUUUAUAAUUUUUGUUAUUAUUUUUAUUUAUUUCUAUAUGUUUUUGCUUUUAAUGCUUUUUGAACUUUAUUUUUUCAAUUUAUUCCUUAAUAAUUUUAUUUCAUUUAAUUUUUAUAUCCAAUUUUGGUCCUCAUUAUGUGAUUGCUAUUUUUUUUUAUUUUCUUAAUUUAUUUUAAUUUUCAAUUUAGUCCCUCAUUGUUUUCUUUCAUUUAAUUUUUAUGUCAGAUUUGGUUCUUAUUUUUUUAUUGCUAUUUUUUUUUUUGUUUUUCUAAUUUUGGAUGAUUAGGAUUUUGCUUGGUAUUUUUUAGAGUUUCCAUUUUAAGGUUUAAUCCCGGUCUCAUGAAUCAGGUCACUAGUUUUGAGGAUUAGCCUGAUUUAAUUUUGAUAUUUUUAUGCUCUUUUCUUAAAACUGAUUAUUUUUCAAUUUUAUCAUUUAACUUUAGGUUAUUGGGCUUUAAGUUUCAUGGUUGUUGUCGCACGUCCACCGAUGAUGAUUUUUCGUUUGUUUUGCUUGAUUGGUUCUUUGGAGUCGCCACCUAAUAUUUUGGUCACUAUAAACCCUAACUGGUCUUUCAGAGAUUCUAAGGCAAGGGACUGGUUGCGUAAAGGGAAGGUAUUAACACUUCUAGUACGCCCUACCUAAGGUAAGCAUCUUGGUGUUUGGUUUGCCUUAUAAUUGUUAUGGUGUUGGUGUUUUCUAAUCCCAUCAGUUUUUUCUAGGUUUGAUUUAAAUUAAAUUUAUUUAGAAAUCCAAGGAGAUUCCAUGUGCUCUAAAAGCUCAUUUUUCCCUUAGUAUUUCAAGAGUUUGCGACUCAUAAAUCGCAAGGAAGAUGGAUAAAAAUUUAGAAAUUUAAGGAAAUUCAGGGCGCUUUAAAAGCUUAUUUUUACCUUAGUGUUUCAUACUCUCACGGCUCGUAAACCGUGGAGUGAAAAAUUGAAGUGUCCUUGAUUAUAAUCAUGGCUUCUCUCAAGGAUGAGUGAUGGCUUAUUAUUCCUAGAAAAUUAUUUUGGAUAUUUAUCACUGAAGGCUUUUUUAUCCAAAUAUUAACAGCGAAUAAUAACAAGUUAUUCCCAAUAAUAUUUUGGAUAUUCAUCCAUUUAGGAUUUCUUUAUCCAAACAUUAAUGGUGAAUACUAGAUGUUUUCUCCCCAAAAUAAGAUUUUUAUAUUUUUUGGAAUAUUGGCCAACACCCUUUGGAGUUUUACAAACAUGUUGUGAAAUCCAGAAAUACAAGAAAAUAAUUUUUGUAUUUAAGAAAUCCAUGCGAAAACAUAUUUUUCAAAACUUUCAAUAUUUUUUAUAUAAAAAAAACAUUCAAAACAUGUUAGGGUAUUAGCCAUAUGCAACAUACAAAAAACAUUUUUUAUAUAUUUGUUUUGUCAAAAAACACAAGCAUCACAAUUAAUCACAAUUAAUUAUGGGCUUGAUGGGAUUCAACAAGGCUCAACCCGGUUACUGGCUCACACCAGUAAUCGAUUCUGCCACUGUUGCAUGCAUAUGGCAGAAUCGAUGCCUUUGCUCGUUGUUCUUAGUGGAGACAGGUUUGCUGGCUGAAAGAUGAUUGUCUCAAUGGUGGCCCUUUAAUGUUGCUAUGACCAGUGCAAUUUCUGCAGGGAAGAGAAGGAUGCUGCUGGAGGAGUAACCUAUGGCUGAAGAAAAAUAAAUUCCCUCUGCUGCUAUUGGCCUGCGUGUUCAAAGUGGCUGAGGAAUUGCAAUGACUGGUGAUGACCGCGCACCCCUGCGACUUCUUACUCCCGGUGCAGAGGACAAAACACAGCUACUGCUGGGGUGAUGGGGAAGAGAUAUGGCAAGGAAGGCGAUUGGGACCAGCUACUGGUGUAGAGGUGAGACUGGUCACAACACCGUUGUUGAAGGUUACAGUGUAGAGGCUGAAGCUGCUAAAGCUUGCAGUGUUGUCAUGUUAAUUUUUGGUGUUGCUGUUGCAGCACUGUUGCUGAGGAAAUAGCUAGUCAGGAGGAAGAUUGUGGGAGAGCCAUUUCUAGGGGUUAUGUUGACAACGAGGGAAGGUCGGUUGGCUGAAGGGGAAAAUGGUGGGCUGUUGAUGAGAGGGAAAGGUCGGUUGGUUGGGGGGAAAAUGGUGGGCUGUUGAUGAGAGGGAGAGGGGACAGUGUGUGGCCAGAGAGAUAUCCUUAGUUUCUUCAAUGGGACGGGCUGCUUCGUUUUUUUAUUUUUAAAAGAUGAGCAGGAGCUACGGCUUCUUUGCUAAAGAAAUGGGGUUAGGGUUUUUUUUUUCCCCUCAUUUUUGUUUGUCUCUCUCCCCUCCUUUACAUAUGGAUGGAGGUUUAUUUAUAUAGAAAAUCUCUACACGUGCUAUUCAAGGAAAUAAUGCAAUAAUUAUUGCAGAGAUUGUCUACUAUAACAAACACCAACAAAUAAUUUAUAUAUGGUAUUUUAUUUUGCAGUGAUUAUUUUUUAUAACCAGCACGAAUCAAAUCAUAUAUCUAUGAUAUUUUAUAUUGCAGUAAUUAUAUAUAAUUCAAUAAUUAUCUCCUUGAUAUAUUGCUUUCUUGAUAUUAGCUAGACAUUAUUAUGACAUUUUCUGAUCCAGUUCCUAUUUUUUCAAUUCCUUCAAUGAAACCAAUUACUUUCCAAAGUUUAAAAUUGGUCUUUAAUUAAACCGAUAAAUUCUUGAAACAUUAAAUCGAGUCUCUCGAAUCAGACCGGCAAACUCAGGUCAGGAUCCUUCUCAUGGUAGGAUUCUCUACUUUCAUGCUAGAUAUUCAAACAAGAAUAUCUUGAGCUUCUGGUAUCGAAAUUAGGCAUUUCAAGUACCCAAAUUCAUCUACACGUCCAGGGCUACAAAUUUGAUGAAGGACUAGAAGUGAGAUAAAAUUGUUUUAAAUAACAAAAUUGCAACCAAACUCGGCUGGAAACCUUCUCGCAGCACGAUUCUAUGCGUUCACGCUAGAUUUCAAACAAGAAUAUCUUGAGCUUCUGAUAUCGAAAUCAAGCGAUUCAAAAGCCCAAAUUUAUCUACGCGUCCAAGACUAUAACUUUGAUGAAGGAUUGAAAGUGAGAUAAAAUUGUUUUAGAGAACAGAAUCUGGCGGCAACCUGGUUAGUCAAAAGGAUUUCCUGAUCUAAUUCAGGAAACUAACAAUGUCGUCUCCAGCACGUGAGGUCCAAAAUUGAGUAACAAAAGUUUUUUUUUUUUAUGGAGUUAUCUCGGUAUCUUAUCCUAGGUCAUAGGUUUCCUAGGUGAACCCAGGUUUAUUCGAGUUUUUUUCUUAUUUAUUUAUUUUAUGUUAUCCUUUGACAUUAAGUUAUUAAGUCUUGAGCUUCGUGAUAUUUUUCACAUUCCUUUAUGUGGGUUUCUCUCGAUCUCAUAACAUAGUUCUUAGACUUUUUUAUGGUUUUUUUAUUCUUUUUCAUCAUUUGAAAUUAUAUUAUUAGACCUUGAGCUUUAUGAUUUUUAUUUUAUUUUUCUUUCUAUAGGGUUAUCUUGGGUCGCAGGUUUGUCAAGUUAACCCGAGUUGACUUCGGGUAUUUUUUUAUAUUCCUUUUAUUUUACUUGGGUCUUUAUUUUUUUAUCCCGAUCACAUUUUGCGGGUUGCGAGUUAGUUAAGUGAACCUCGACUGACUUAAUGUUUUUUUUUUACAUUUGUUUUUUUCUAAUGAUUUCAAUUUAAUUCUUUGACAUUAGAUUGUUGGGCUAUGAUCUUAGUGAUUUUUCCACUUUUCUUUAUAUGUGGUUGACCCGAGUCACGAGUUUGUCAAGUUAACUCGAGUGGACUUAAUUGGUUUCUUGACAUUUUAUUUAUUGAUUUAACUUCGGUCCUUUUUCAAGUUUUUUUUUAAUUAUUUUUUUCAUUUUGAUAUUAUAUCAAGGUUAGCGGGUAUUUGGGUGAACCCAGGUUGACUCGUGUUUUUUCUUCAAUAUUUUUGAGUUUUAUUAUUUAUUUUCGUUUUCUUUUCUGUAGCAUUGUCCUAAACUUUUAUCCUGGAUCAUGGGUUAGUCAAGUUAACCUAACUUGACUUAGAUUAUCAUUGCCUGAAUGUUUUUUUAUAUGUGACGUAGCGUGGGUCACCAUAAUAGUAAAAUAAAAGAGAGAAAUGAGUACCUAGUUCUUUUAUUUGUCAUAUAUAUAUAUAUAUAUAUAUAUAUAUAUUGGAGUCCAAAAUUAAGUUUGACAUAUUCAUGAUUAAUAAAAGUACAAAAUUAGAUUAAUUUAAAUAUUAUUAUUUUAGUUAUAUAAAUAUUACAUAAAUUUUGAUGUCAUUCAUCCACUCUAAAAAUAAAUAAAAAAAGCUAAAAUCUUGGAAGAUAUUAGAAAUCCCUUUUUUUUUUUAACAGCACAAACUCUUUUUUUGUUCCUAGAAGUGGUAAAAGAGAGAUAUUGAGAGGAGAGGAGAUUAAUCAAAUACUUUUAACAUGAAGAGAGUAAUUCAAAUGAUUGAUGUAGUCGAAUUUAUAAUAACUAAAAGUUAUGAGCAUUCGAGUGAAUAUAAUAUAUAAUUAAAUUAGAAUUUUAUAUAACUAGAUAGAAAUUUGAACUAAAUAUAUUAUUUGGAUGGUCUAACAUAUGCUUUUUAUAAACCAGUGAGACACGUCUAGAUUUAGAAGGAGGUCUUAUCAUGUUAAAUUAACUGAAUGUAUUAAAACUGCAUCUCUUAUCAGACUGUUGGAUCUCCUGGAAUUAGAAAUCAAGCUUGGAUGCUUCUAUUUGGUAAUUUUGUUAUUUUUCCUAGGUUUUUUUUUGGAUUUAUUAUUUAAUUUGGUUUUUAAUUUUAAUUUUUUUUGUGCUUUUGGAUUUCUAGUUUUUUUCUAGUAGAUAUAGUAUUUAUAAGUCUUGUAAACAUCUAAAAAAACAGACUUUAUUAGUUUUAUUUUCAGAUAAAUAAAUUAUAAAUUUAUACUUCAUAUGUUGAUUCUUUUUCCAAGCUUAAAUUUAUUCUUAUAGUUCUUGCCAGCGUCAACCAUGCUUCGAGUUGGCUAAUUAUUAUUAUUUUUAUUUCAUAUUAAGUAUAAACAGGCAGUGAAAGGGAAAUUAAGAAUUAUGCAGAAUUGAACAAAAAAUAAAAGGUCAAUUUUUAAAAUAGGAUGCCCACUCCGGUGUGGAAAAUGGAAUAUUAAAGGCAAAUACAUGUUGCUGGCAAAGUUCCAAGCCUUUGAAAUGUCUAAUGCACGUUAUGAGGCAACAAAUAGAGUGGACCAAUGGGAAAUGGAAGAAGACCUUUGACAGGUCGUCUCGUCUGUGCUGUGUAGCAGUGACCUUUGAAAGGGCAUCAAAGACUUCCAAGUCGUUGGCGUUAUGCAAUCAAUAAUUCAACAUUAAAAAAAUCCCAAGUCCAACGCACUUUCGAAGAAAAUUAACUUUUAAGACAUCAUAAUCAGACUUCUGUAUAUUUCCUUGGAAUUGUUUUUUUUUUUUUUAAAUUUAUGGAAAUAUAUUGGUAACGUUCUGCAGGAAUUAUGGAAAUGAAACGUCAGAUUUUUCAUCCUUAACAUGUGGCCUUUCUUUAUUGAUUUUUCAUAAAUUUAGAUAUAACUAGUAAAUUCACGCUGUUUUAUCUUAUUAAUUUAUACAAUCAUUUUAACUCUUAUUUAAUAUUUUUUUCCUUAUUUUCUCUACAAUAUCACAUGAUAAUUUUUAAUUCAAUCAAUAUUUUUACUCUUUAAUAUUUUUUUUAAUAAUUCAUAACAUAGUAUUACAAGCAGAAAUCUUUAAGUAUCAAUCUCAUGAGUAUCAAUAAUAAGAAGAAUUGUUUUUAUAAUUAGUAAUUAAUUAUAACAUUACUAGAAUUUUUAGAUUUACUGAUAAAACUUUUUGUUGUGCAUUUACAAUUAACGAUGAAAGUCCUCUUUUAGAAAAAUAAUAUUGUUUGCAGUUCUUAUAACGUUAGUAAUGCAGAUAUAUGCAUCUGAGUAUGCAUGUCAAAUAAGGAUUUUGAAAAUAGAGCAACUUUUUGUAAAGUUGAUUGCAUAGAGAGAAUCUUCUGAGUCUCAUGAUUUCCUUUCAACCAAGUCAUAUUGUAUUCAUAUUUUGAAUUUUGAAUAUUUUGAAUAGAGAAUCUUCUCUCGAUGCAAUCAAUCCGAAUUUUGAAUCAGAUAGCAUGCAAUUGUUCAUAUUGUGAGCUUGAAAGAGUGGUGAUGUUGCGGCUGAGUGGCCACAUAACAUGAACAAUUGGUUCCAAUUAAUGCUGAAUAUGCAGAGUACUGCAAUAAAAUCAUUCUAUCAGACACUCUAAUUAUCACUACCAAAAUUAUUCAAACAAGCAAUGCAUCGAUAGGUAUUUCAGCUAUAAACCUUUGUCUUGAGGCCUAUACUAACUUAACAUGCUAACUAGCUUGCUUCUCAUCGCCCCUCUGGGUUCAUGAUCUCAGAGAACACAGCACCAGACAUCAUUUUCUCCGACUCGUUGCUUAGAAAACUUUGUCCGUCGCUGCUGCUUGUUGUUGCCAUUUCCAAAAUGCGGGAAUUCACGACUAGUUCACUGCCAGUACUAAACAAAUUACUGCUGUCAUCGAUUGAGGAGCCUUUCAGAGGAGUCACCAUGUCAACUUCUUUCUCAGUUUGAGCUCCUAUGACAUACUCUUCUACACUCUCUUGCAGUUGCAAUGCAAACUCAAGGCCCCAAACCACAUCGGUCAUCGAUGGCCUUUCGAUUCCAUUCUCGAGCAAGCAUCUCACUGCAACAUCAACAAAGUUUUUCAGACAAUCUGGUGAGAUCUUUCCAUCCAGAUACGGAUCAAUGAUUUCAUUAAUCGUUCCGUUGCUGUGGCUUUGUCUAGCCAACUCUGCUAGACUUGCUGGCACUGCUGAUCGGUUUAUUGCUGGUCUAGCACACAAUACCUCGAACAACACAACCCCAAAUGAGUAGACAUCAGAUUUUUCUGUCAAUUGCUGGCGUUGACAAUAUUCGGGAUCCAAGUACCCUAUGCUACCUUUCACAACGGUGCUCACGUGGCCCUUCGAUGUGCUCGUAGGACCUGUUUUGGACAAUCCGAAAUCCGAAACUUUGGCCACCCAUUUCUCAUCCAGCAAGAUAUUUGUUGUCUUCACAUCACGAUGAAUGACAGUGUGCUUGGCACCUGUGUGAAGGUAAUCCAACCCACGGGCAGCACCUAUAUGCAAAUCUCUAGGCGCUGAGUCCAUGAAAGUGGAGGAUUAUCAGUUCUGUAGAGAUGAUCACGAAGCGUCCCCCGAGCCAUAUAAUCAUACACCAGGAUCAUCUCAUUAUUAUCAUUACAGUAACCAAUUAGAGAAACCAAAUGGCGGAAUCUAAGCUGGGAGAGCAUCUCAAUCUCUGUCCUGAACUCGGUUGCACCCUGCCGCGAACUUGGAUUCAAUCGCUUGAUCGCAGCACGAUUGACUCCACCAUCAAAUAAUCCUUUGUACACGUUACCAAAGCCACCAACACCAAUAAUGAAGGAAUCGUCGAAGUUGUUUGUAGCUGCUAUGAUCUCAACUAGCGAGAAACGGUAGCAUAGAUCAGAAGGGAGAGAUGGCCUAUGGGUCUUUGUUGAGUUUCUUGAAGAGGAAACAAGAGGGCUUAUGUGUUUGAAGCUGCAUCACCAGAAACCAAGUCCUUGAAUUUUCGGACUCUUCUCCGGAAAAUCAAGAGAAAUAGAACUGAGACGACAACAAUGCCCGAAACAGCAGCACCAAUAAUGGCGACUGUUCUUCUUCGACUAUGCUUUGGCUUUGUUGAGGUCGCGCUAGGAGUAUUACUAGCGGGGCUGUCCGGAAACGCGUCAGGAUUUGGUCCGGCAAGAUUGUCUGAUUUGCUCAAUUUGAAGAUUUCAGCUCCAUUCAACAUUGCAUCAAAGGCUUUAGCAGACUCAAUAGGGUGCAAUGCAAUCGACAAAUUCUGUAUCCCUUCGUUUCCUCCGGCAUCCAUCAUCACGACGUAAUCUUUGUAUAUGGGAACCCCAUAUCCAUCAGCCCAAGAUAUUAUAUCUGCGUUACGCUCUGCCGUUUGAUUAGCGAUAUAUAUUUGAAAGAUCAUAUCGUUUUUUUGCGAUAGAAUCGGCAUAAACUGACAGAAAUGAAGCCUAACAAGAUAGGUGAAUGUGGAGUGGACCGGAAACUCCCAAGUCAUAUUGUAUUUCUCAUUUACAGUAGAAUCGUUCCCCAUGGUCCUAGCAGUUCGAUAGAGGACGUCAGGUGCAGCAUAGCGAGUGUGGUUAUACUGAAGUUGAAUAGUGUCAUUAUAUAACACAGCGCUUGGUCGAGCAUCCGUCAAGUAAUCAACAUCGCGUAACCAACUUCGAAACAUGCCAUUGUCGUCGGGCGGUGGGAUAUCUUUCCAACCCACGUUUACUCGGUACAUGAUCUCUAAAGCAGUUUCAUUUUGAAGGGGAAGAUAGACCCCCUGGUCAAAAUUAUACAGCUCUGGGUUAUCUCCUGCAGUGUAAUAAAGAUUGGUGGGCAUGGAUACGAUUUCAAUCCCGUUGAUGAAAGCAUAUGCAUCAGCUACAUGAGGGCUUGGCGUGAACGUUAUGCUCAGAUUUUUCUGCUCAUCUUCAACAUUUAAGAUGAAUUCUCUGGCGUAACCUCGUUCACCAAGAGGGUCAGUGUAAUGGAAGCCACUGAAGUUGCUAAGAAAGGUAUAGCGACGGGUUGUGACAGAAAAAGAUGCUUUAGACCUAUUGAGACCAGUGUAGGAAGCUGGAUUGAAAUAGAGGCGAACAAACUUAGGUCCCGUUGUAUUGACACGAAACGUGUAGGUGAAUUUGGAGAGAGAGACGCGAGCAGUAUAAUAAGGUACAGAGCUAGUGGAGGCUCCAUUUGCUGUGGAAUUUGUUGAGGGGCCGUCUUGAUCUAGAAGGGCCACUCUUGAGUUGAUGUCUGCAGUCCAGUUUCUAGCGUUUCCAAUACUAUCGGAGGAUGAACCACAAUCAAGCGCUAUGCUAUCGAGGGGGACGUAAGGUGGUGGUGGAUCCCCGGUUACAAGGAUGGUGAGAUGGAGGAACAGGAAGGAGAGGUGCAGAGGAGUGAAGAGAGAUAAGCUUGUGAGAGAGAGAGAUUUGCUGCUGCUGCUACUCAUUUUGUUUUUGGCCAGAGGAGGAGAGAUGAAGAAAUCAAGAGGAGAAGCUCCUUUUAAUUAAAUGCUGAGAGGAGUUCAAGUCAUGCUAUAGUUGACUGAUUCUUUUUUUUAUUUAUUUCUUAUGUAAAAUCGUUUUCAAGUAUCAGUAAUUAUAAAAGUCUCAUGGAGUAGUAUCAAUGUAGCAUUUGGCAAAGGGACAAUAUAUGAAAACCUUUGAAAGGUCUUUGAUAGUACAAGUGGGGUAUGAAGGACUUCCAAGUCGUUGGUUGUAUUCUAUCAACUUUAGAGAUUUCCGUGUUUUUAGAUUUUUCCAUUUGAUUAGAUUGAAUAAAAAUCCAUCAAUUUCUUAUUUGAUAUAUAUUUUUCUUUAUUUUUCUUUUAGGAAUAUAUAAUCUUUAAAGAUGUUGCUUAAUUGAAGCAAUUUGGUAUUCCUUUAUAUUAAAAGCAAUCUUGGAUAAUUUCAUGAUCAAAAUAAUAUAUUUGUAUAAACAUUUUAGAAUUAUUAAAGAUUUACAUAAUGAUUAACUUUAAAAUUCGUGUUAAUUAAAAAAAUAAUCCAAAUAAUCUAAAUAUAAUCCAAUGUAUAAUAGAACUAAAACUAAAAUAAACUAAUAAUAGAACAAAAAAAAGAAAUAAAUUGACAACUAAAUAUUUGAAAAUAAAAUAAAAUAGUGAUAAGUUUUAACAAUGUAUAUUUAAUAAUAAAAACACUGUUGAAGACUAGUAAAACACCUAACUUGAUAAAAUAUGAUUGAUCAUUGGUUACCACAGUUUAUCAAUAUUGUCAAAUAUAUUUUGACAAAUCUUUUUUUUAGGGUUGAGUAAAAAAUUAAUUAAAUCGAGAAAAAUAAUAAUAAUAAUUAAAACAACCGAACCGUGAAAAAAAAAUCAAUUAAACCACUUAGAAUAGUUAAAAAACUAACAUGUUCGAUUCGGUUUCAGUUUUAUAAGCCUGAAAAAUAAAAGCCAAACCGAACUGAAAAUAAUAACCGACCCAAACAGAAAAAAAUCGAGCCAAACCAAAACCACACCCAUUAGAAAUUACCAAAAAAAAAUAUAGUUUUUUAUUUUUAAUAUAAAAUAACCAAACCAAACCUGAACCCAAACCGAACUGAAACCAAUCGAUUGAGUUUUGAUUUUUUUUCUAAAAUAACCGAACUUAAUCGAAACCGGUCGGUUUGAACUGAUUUUCGGUUUGUUUUUUUUUAAUUUGAUUUAAUUAUUUUUUUUAUUUGAUCUUUGAAAUUUGUUAGCACAUUCAAAUAUUUCCAGCUUGAAAGAAAAGGGAAGUUGAUUCGAAAAAUAUAAAAAAGGAAGAAGAAAUAAUAGGGAAUAGGAUGUCGCCGUCGAGUGGCCAAAUAAAAAGAAAAAUCGGUUCAGAUCAAUGUUGAUUGUGCUACUGACGCCCUGGUGGUGCAGUGAAUCCUCAAAACUUAUGGUGGAGACUUUCUUUCUGGAGUUCAUGCUGUUGUACUUAAUUAUCAAACAAGUAGAUAGAUUGCCGUUGGGGAAAAGUUCAUUAUGCAAAAAUACGAUUGGUUGAACAAAAAAAAAUAUAAAGGGUCAAUUUUUAAAAUAGGAUGCCCACUCCACCAUAUACAAGUCGUUGGCAAAGUUUCAUGUAAAUAUCCAAUGCACGUUAUAAGGCAGCAAACAGAGUGGACCUAUUGGCCAUGGAAGAAGACCUUUGAAAGGUCCUCUGUAUUGUGUAGUCGUUAUCUGGACACCAAAAACAGUUGAUAUUUAGAUUUUUUUUUUUUGCCGUGAGUUAGAUAUUUUCUUUUAACAAAACAUUUUAUAUAUAGAUUUUUUUCAACUUUUUAUAUUUAAAAAAUUCUAAGUGAAAAUCAAAAAAUUUAUACAUACAUAAAAUUAAAUAAAUUGAGAAUUAUGUGUGUUAUUAAGUGAAAAAAAAACUAUAAACAAUAAAUAAAAAUAAAACUGGAAAAAUCAAGAAAGAGAAGUAGAUUAAGAUAUUUAAUUUUAUAAGAAGAGAUAUUUAUAUGAUUGUGUUUGCUAAAUUUAUUGAUUAAAAUAAAUUUUUUAUUCAAUUAAACGAUAAUAGAAAUAAAUACACACACUUUAAAAAUAGUUAUUGUAUCUUUAGCUUCAUGGUAUUUUCCGCAUUCCUUUAUAUGGGUUUCUCUCGAUCUCAUAUCACAGGUCUUAGAUUUUUUAUGGUAUUUUUUAAUUUUUUUUAUUUCUUCAUUUGAAAUUACAUUAUUUGGUCUUGAACUUUUUUAUUUUUUUUAUUUUUCUUUAUAUAGGGUUAUCUUAGAUCACAAGUUUGUCAAGUUAACAUAGAUUAACUUUUGUUUUUUUUAUAUAUAUUCCUUUUAUUUUACUUUGAUCUUUUUGUCUAUGUGCUUUUAAUUUAAAAUAAUUUUUUUUUAUCUCGAUCACAUUCUGUGGAUUGCGAGUUAGUUAAAUAAACCUCAACUGACUCAAUUUUUUUUUAUAUUUGUUUUUUUUAAAUGAAUUUUUAUUUCAAUUUAAUUCUUUGACAUUAGAUUGUUAGGCUAUGAUUUUAUGAUUUUAUGAUUUUUCUCACUUUUCUUUAUGUGAGGUUGACCCGAGUCAUAAGUUAGUCAAGUUAACCGGGUGAACUCAAUUGUUUUCUUGGCAUUUUAUUUAUUGAUUUAACUUCAGUUUUUUUUUAAUUAUUAUUUUUUAUUUUAAUCUCAUAUCAAGGGUAGUUGACUCGUGUUUUUUCUUUGACUUUUCUAGUUUUGAAUUUUAAUUUUCCAGUUUUAUCUUUUGACAUUAGAUUAUUGAGCCUUAAGUUUUAUUAUUUGUUUUUUGUUUUCUUUUCUCUAGUGUUCCUAAUUUUUUAUUAUUCUGGAUAAUGGGUUAGUUAAGCUAACCAAACUUAACUUAGGCUAUCAUUGCCUGGAUAUUUGUUUUGACGUAACGUGGAUCGUUGUAUUAGUAAAAUAAAAGAGAGAAAUGAAUACCAAAUUCUUUUAUUUGACAUGCAUAUAUAUAUAUAUAUAUAUAUAUUGGAGACCAAAAGUAAGUUUGACAUAUUCAUGAUGAAUAAAAAUACAAAAUUAGAUUAAUUAAAAUAUUAUUAGUUUAGUUAUAUAAACAUUACGUAAAAUUUGAUGUCAUUCAUCAACACAAAAGAAGAAGAAGAAGAAGAAGAAGAAGCUAAAAUGUUGGUAGAGAUUAGAAAUGCUAUUUUUCUUGACAACACAAACUAUUUUUUUAAUAAAAAAAUUCAUAUGAAUUUAUGAUUCACAUAUGUAAUUUUUUUUGCUCAUUAAAUUCUGCUGUGUUUCCUAUAAUAUUGUUACUGUCCUUACAGUUCUCUCCCGCAUCAACAAUGCUUUGAGUUGGCUAAUUAUUAUUUUUUAUUUCAUAUUAAGUAUAAACAGGCAGGUAUUGAAAGGGAAAUUAAGAAUUAUGCAGAAUAUAACAAAAAAUAAAAGGUCAAUUUUUAAAAUAGGAUGCCCACUCCGGCAUGGAAACUGGAAUAUGAAAGGCAAAUACAUGUUGUUGGCAAAGUUCCAAGCCUUCGAAAUGUCGAAUGCACGUUAUGAGGCAACAAAUAGAGUGGACCAAUUGGAAAUGGAAUAAGUGACCUUGAAAGGUCUUCUGUGUUGUGUAGUAAGUGACCUUUGAAAAGCAUCAAAGACUUCCAAGUCGUUGGCGUUAUGCAAUUAAUAAUUCAACAUUAAAAAAAAUCCGCACUUUCCAAGAAAAUUAACUUUUAAGACAUCAUAAUCAGACUUCUGUAUAUUUACUUGGAAUUGUUUUUUUUUUUUUUUAAAAAAAAACAAAUUAUGGAAAUAUAUUGGUAACGUUCUAGAAAUGAAACGGCAGAAUUUUCGUCCUUAACAUGUGGACUUUUCUUUAUUGAUUUUCAUAAAUUUAGAUAUAACUAGCAAAUUCACGUUGUUUUAUCUUAUUAAUAUAUACAAUCAUUUUAAUUCUUAUUUAAUAUUUUUUUUCUUAUUUUCUCUACAAUAUCACAUGAUAAUUUUUAAUUCAAUCAAUAUUUUUACUCUUUAAUAAUUUUUCUAUAAUUCAUAAGAUGAUAGUAUUAUAAGCUGAAAUCUUCAAGUAUCAAUCUCAUGAGUAUCAAUAAUAAGAAGAAUUGUUUUUAUAAUUAGUAAUUAAUUAUAAAACUACUAGAAUUUUUAGAUUUAAUGAUGAAAUUUUAUGUUAAUAUUUAUACUCACAAUCUAUCGACACAAAUUUUCUCGACGCAAUUAGAAAUAAUCCGUCAGAAAAACUCUGGUCGUUGAUUUGUGAUCUGUCAGUAAUAAUUUUACCGAGGGAUUUAUUGACGGAAAAAACAUGUAAAAAAAAAAUUAACUAUUUUAUUCCAUCAACAUUUUCAUCGAUGAAUAUAAUAUAUCAUCGACAGAAAAACCAUAAAUCAUUCCAUUGGUGAUUUUUAUUUUUUCGUUAGUAUUUUCUUUGGUGAAUUUAACAUAUAACCAUCAAACAGACUAUUUGUUAUUCAGUCGAUGAGUAAAUAGUGGUAGUGAUACUUGUAGUAAUUCUUUUCCAGCUCUCUAGAAUAUAUCGACGACCUAAGUUCGUUGGUAAUUACCCUGUCAAUAAUAAUUUAGAAUCUUUUUAAAAAAACAUUAAAAAAAUUGAAAAUCAGUGGCAUUUGCAGUAAUUAAUCAUUUUACAAAUCUUCAUUACAAUCUUCUAUGUUGAUUUCAUCGCAAUCAUCAUCUUCAUCGAUUUAUGUAUGUUUAUUUUUCUUAAAACAUCAUUUAACUCCUUAAUGUUAAUAUCAAUCAAAAUAUUCUCGGCAACAUGAAAAUUUGAGUUUUCUUCUAAGUCAUUAGAUGAAGUAGCUCAAUAUGGAACAAUUAACUCAUCAAGUUAAAAGACAUCAUCUUUGUUGUUAUCUUGAACAACUUAGACACGACCCUGAGUUUGAUUUUCAUUACAGAUAAUCAAUCAACUCUUAACGAUUAUUUCUAGAAAAAAAAGGAGUGUAUGUAUCAUAAUUUUAUUGGCAUUGCUUGGUGAAAACAUGUUAUUGAGUCUAACCUUUGUAUUAAUUUGAUCAAUUAUAAAUUUGAACAAUUAUUUGUGUAUAAAUAAUAAUUAGUAAUAAAUUAAUUUCUGAAUGUAUUUUGCAUUUUCUUUUCUCAUGUAUUUACAAUUAACGAUAGAAAUCCUCUUUUAGAAAAAUAAUAUUGUUUGCAGUUCUUAUAACGUUAGUAAUAAUAUCUAAGAUUUUUAUUAAUUGACUUUAUUAUUUUUUCACAGGUGAAAUAUUCUUUAUAGAUUAUUUUAAAGUUAAGAAAAAAAUAGACCAACGUCUUGUAUUUUAUUUGAAUCUGAGUAUGCACGUCAAAUACAGAUUUUGAAAAUCGAAUCUUGUUCUUAUAUGAACAAUAAAAUUUGGUUUUAACAUAUUGAGGAUUUUUGGGGAAAAAGUCAGCUUUUGUAUUUUGUAGAGUUGAUUGCAUAGACACAACAAGAAUUCACAGUUUUACCGAUGAAAAUAUUCUGUCGGUCUGUGAUUGAUAGUACAUCGGUAAAAUAUUUACCGACGGAAUACGUCCAUCGGCUUACCGUUCGUCGAUGAUUCCCUAUUCCAUCGCUAUAUCGGUCGGCAAAACAAAAAAAUAAUUUACCGACGGUUUUACAGACGGAAUUUGCGCGCCAAAAAAAAAAAAAAUUCCCGCUUCAAUAAUACCGACGGAUUGUUAUUCCGUCGGUGAUACCGACGGUUAAUGUCCGUCGGUAACUUAGUCGGUGAAUUGUUGACAUACCGACAGAAUAUAUUGUCUGUGAAUUCGUCGGUAAUAUAUAAUACCGACGGAAUUAAUCUGUCGGUAAAUCUGUUGGUAAGACAUGAAAACACCGACCGGAUUUAUCCGUCUGGAAAUUUGUCGGUGAUGGUCGCGGCUACUGUCUAAUGCCGACGGAUUUAUUCCGUUGGUAAAUCCCUUUGUAAUUGUUUUUUAUUUUAUUUUUUUAUAAUUAUUUAGAAUACAUAAUAUAAAAUGAUAUAAAUUAAUGGUAAUAAAAACUAAUUAUGCAAAUAAAAUUUAUAUUAAGCAUCAAAAACAAAAAAUGUAAGAUAAAUAAUAUUCAUUACAAAAUGAAAUUGUUCAAAAAAACAUUAAAUGAAAUUUUAAAUGUAAAUAAUGUUUAUCAAAAAUUAAUAUAAAGGAGGUUGAGGAGGAUCAGGAGGAGGAGAAGGCUGGCUGUUAUGCGGCCAACUUGGAUUGGGUGCACAUGUUCCACCUUGUGACAUGUUUAUGACCAUUUGACGAAGCUCUUCAUAGGCCGCUCUUUGUUGUGCAGAUUCUGCUGUGUAUUGUUCUUUGAGUUGUGUGUACGCCUCUGAUAUUGGUCGCACCUUUGCUGCAAGGCCACGAACUCCUUAGAUUGGGAGCUCGAUACUGAUUGGAGCUCCGACGGUUGAAGCAGUACGGGUCGUCCGCAAGUUGUCGGCCCUAGUGUUGGAGAGCCCGUAAACCCAUUCUUAUCGGGUCCACCUGACGAUCCAGCCUCCAUCCAUAAAUCCGGAUCAAUUCCGGAUGGGUCGAAGGAUCGUCCCCGUAUGUCUCCCUCAACAUUAUUAUAGGUCUCCUGAAAAUAAAAAAAAGUAAUAAUCAUAUUCAAUUCAAUAAACAUAAUAAUAACUUACAAAAUAAAAAUGGAUGAAUGAAUAAACAUACCACAAAAGUGGCGCGACUGUCAACGAACUGUUGCACCCCUUUGGCGGUCUUGACUCCGCACGUGCGUCUCCACAAACAACCCAUAGGGCUCGGCUCACGUCCAAGAGACGUAGCCUAUAAUGAAAAAAAUUUUAUUAACAACAAAUUAAUUGAACGAUAUAUUUCAUUUAAAAAAUCUUACCAUCCGUUUGCAUGUGCAGCAAACGGAACGGAGCCGCCGGUGUGCGUUGUCACCGAGCCAUGAAUUGGCCGAUUUCAGUUGCCAGCACCGACUGUGAGUGUCCUGCAAAGAUAGUGCGGCCAUAUAUCCUCCGGGAUGUAUUCGGUUUGAAAUCCCUCCAAACUGCAACAUCGUUCCAGCCUUGAACCCCCUAUCCCUCGCAGUUUUUUGCCUUUUUUGGGCUUCGUACCAAAAUCACGCAACCUACUUAAACGCAAUAAAAAAUUACAUUUCGAAACAUAAAUUUUUUGUAAAAAAAAGUUGUAUUGUUUUCGAUGUUACCUAGUUGCCGCGUGAUUUUCCCACACCCUCCUCACAACAUUGUUAUGUUCGUCGUCCCAGCAGAAUCGAUUCUGUGUAUAACAAAUAAUUUUUAAAAAUGUUAAUAAUUUAUUUACAAUUAUAUUAAGAAUUUAUUAGAAAUAAGCUGAAAAUUAUAUAUUAACACGAACCUCAAAUCUGGAAAACCAUGCAUUGAUUUGAGGCAUUCAUUCAGGAUGUCUGGAUAUCUGACUCCAUUGAAACAAUGGAAUCUUCAUCGACGCUUUAAACGCCGAUGAUAUUACUCGGGCGGCCUCAAUGUUUGCGAACCUGAAAAGAAUUGAAAUUAAUUAAAUAGUGAGUUCAUAAAUUUUAUUUUUUUUUUAAAAAAAAUUAAAACCUUAACAAACUUACAUUGAAAGAUCGUCCUUCCAUUGUGCCUCAUACUUGCGGCUAAAUCGAUUCCGUUGCGAAGGCAGGCCGCUUCUGCGAUGUGAAGCAGUGCUGGAAGAGGCAGCAUCAGCUGACGGCGCAAGUGGUGUAGGUGCCUCUUCUUGAGAGGCACCUAAGGAAAUGUCUUCGUCGCUGCUAGACGAACUUGAUGCGACCGGACGUGAAGCUCUGGAUUUCAUUCUCUGCAUCUAACCAAUUUUAUAUAAAUAAAUAUAUAAUUCAAUUGAAAUGUUAAAAAAAAUUCGGCAGCACCUCCCCCAUACUUGGAUACUACCCAAAUCCACAAAUCAAUUGACAACAAAACUAUAAAUUCAAAAUAAAUAUAAACAAUUAAACACAAAUCAUCAGGUUAGAGUAAAAUUAAUAAUUCUUCCAACAUAUUCAAUUACUAAAUCUAAGAUAAAUUCAACAUUAACAAUAUUAAUUCAACAAAUUAUUAAAUAUUCAUUAUGGCAAUACAACAAUAAAAUUAUUCUAAAGUAAAUUCAACAUUAACAAUAUUAAUUCAACAAAUUAAUCAAUAAUUAUAUAUGGCAAUACAACAAUAAAUUAUAUUCAAUAAAUUAAAAAAAAUAUAAACUAACAAUUAAAAUCAAUGGAAAUAAUUAAAUACAUAUCAUGCAAUAAUAGAGUAAAAUUACUAAUUAUUCUAACAUAGUCAAUUACUAAUUCUAAGUUAGAUUCAACUUUAACAACAAACAUCCAAUAAAUUAACUAAUACCAAUUAUAACAACACAACUCAAAAAAAUAUUCAAAAAAAAAACCUACAUCAAUAAAAGGAACGAAAUAUACAUACCUUAAUAAUAUGUCCAAUUCAAAACUUUAUCUACAUUACAAAAAAAUACACCAAAACAAAAAAAUAACAAAAAUAAAAACAACUACAACUAAAAUAAAAGAAAAUAGAAAAAACCACAUACCUUUAUUCAAAUCUUGCAAGAGAUUCAAGGUGAAAGCCUUGAAGGAUUGAGAGUAAAAAGCUGAAAAUUUGCUUGUCCGGAGGAGCAGAAAAACAGAGGAGAAGAAAAAAUGAGGGGAAGCGGCGGGCGUUGGAAGUUAUAUGUUAUAUGGCAGAUUUACUGACGGAUAUUAAAAAAAUAUUAUGAAUUUCACACCGAAUUUUUUAAUUGCCCUCCAAAAUUUUCGCGGUCCGUCGGUGAUUCCGUCGGUAAUCUGACACGGUCAGAGGUGCAUUCAAUUCACACCCUUUGGAAUUCACGCAGUCCGUUGGUAUUUUGGUCGGUAAAAUUUGCCCACCGACAACUUACCGACGGACAAAUUUCGUCGGUAUAGACGUCGAUAUAUUCGUCGGUAUGGACGUCGGUGAUUGUGGCAUUUCGGCGUAAUUAUUUUCGAACUCUCUGUGAGAUGCCGACGGACCUCAGUCCGUCGGUAUGGACGUCGGUGAUUGUGGCAUUUCGGUGUAAUUAUUUUUGAACUCUCUGUGAGAUGCCGACGGACCUCAGUCCGUCAGUAUCGACGUCGGUGAUUGUUCAAUGUACAAGAGUUAUUGUGUUUGUAUUUUCUAUUUACCUUCCUGCAAAAAAUUCAAUGAUAAAUUGUCCAUCGCACAAAACAAUAGCAACAGUGCUCAAACAAUAAAUAUAUAUUUCAUGUUACAAAAUAUAUCAUCCAUAAUGUAAAUUACAUGAAGAAAAAGGUUUUACACAGGGCUUCGUUUUGAUAGUUAGUCAGAAUUAUCUUCUUCUUCGUCAUCAAUUGAAUUGUCAUCACCUUCAUCGCAAUCUUCAAUAUAGAUAUCAUCUUUUUCAUCGACAUUUGCUUGUCCGCUAGAGCUCAAAACAACGUUCAACUCCUCUACGUCAACAUCAACAAGACUAUCAUUGGAAACAUGAAAAUUUGAAUUUUCUUCCAAUUCAAUCGAAGGAGCAACUCGAUAUGGUUCAACCAACUCACUAACUUGAAAGACUUCAUCCCGCACACUUGUUUCCUCGUUCUCAUCCUGAACAACCUCGACACGACCCCAUGGUUUCGUUUUUAAAACGGACAACCAAUCAACUCUUGAUCGAUCCUUUCUAAAUGAAGGGGUGUAUGUGUAAUAAACUUGUUGACAUUGCUUUGCGAAAACAAAGACAUCGUUUAUGUUGCGAAGUCUAGCUUUUGAGUUGAUUUCGACCAGACCAUGGUGCUUAUCAACUCUGAUUCCACUGUCCGUCGUGUCAUACCAAUAGCAUUUGAAUAAAAACACUGUAUUCUGCUCGCUAUGAUAUUGUAGUUCGACGACCUCUUCUAAUCUACCAUAGUAGUCAACUUCUAACUCACUACUUGUGGAUCCUUUAACACAAACACCGUAGUUGUAUGUCUUUCUUCCUUCAUAACCAUGUUUCUGUAAGGAUUAGUGUUGUCAUUUGCCGCUUCAUGCACGUUGCUAGCACUAGAAGUUGACCCAACCACCGUUUCUCUCAUUCUCCUAUUACUAACAAAUACCUCUCUAUGUGCAUACCAACACUGUUAAUCCUCCAGAAACCCUUUAUGUAGAAGAUGCAUCAUUACAACAUCUGGAUGCAGAUACUUUUUAUUUUGACACUUCCUGCAUGGACACUGUUGCUACCCAUUUUUUUGACCCAUGUUUUUGAUAUAUUUUCAAAAAAAUCCAAAAAUAGAGAAAAACAAAGAAAAUCCAAAAAAAUAUAUUUUUUAAUAUAUUUUCGUCAUUUUAGCAUUUCCAACGUCGUUUAAAAAAAAUAAUUUUAAGUGUCUUUCAAACGCAUUCGACUUUUCACGCGUCAUUUUUAAAAUCGUUGAUUUUUCUCAUCGAGUCGACGUUGAUAUUGCUCGUUUUAAAAAAAAAUACAAAAAAAUAAGAAAAAGUCAAAAUUUACAAAAAAGAAAGAAGUUGAGGGACCAAGUUUGAAAACUUGGCAACAUUUUUGCCUAUAAAUACUGGUUUCCAACACUUGCAAGAAAGGGGGGGGCUAAUUUUGGAAACACCAAAAAUACAAAAAGAAAACCCUAAGUCUAUCUCUAACAAGAGAGCCGCCGGCCACCCCUCUGGGUUUUUUGAUCUUCUCCUCACAGCUACCUCUGAGCCGGCUAAACAAAAAAAAAAACCAAGCUCUCUUUUUCCCCAAAACCGAACAGCCCCCCUUUUCACGGCAGUUCCCCCCAUUUUCUUCUCCUUUUUCAGCCGGAUCCCAGCCUCUCUCCGACAGACACCCAUCUCCCCUCAACCCAAAAAUGCAGCCGGCCCCUCCACCGGUUUUGAAUUUUUUCUCCACCCCUCCGGAGCCGAUUCCUUUUCUUCCCAUUCUUCUCCCUCACCGGACCCAAACCAGUUGGCCAAGACAGCUCCCUCAUCCCCCUCUCAGCCGUUCCUUUUCUUCUUCUCCAUCAGCGACCAAACCAGGCUCUCCGACGCUUCCCCCGUCAGCAGCCUCUUCUUCGGCGGUUCCUUCAACAACAACGGCGAAGCAGCACCGAGAACUAGCCGUCCUCACCGAAGGCCCAGCGACCACCUGAUCCCUGUCAUCUCCUCCUCUCAACAGCAGCAACCUCUUCAUCUCCUUCAACCAGCAGAGUUGCGCCUCUACCAUCGGAGAGCCACACCCGUCUCCACCGCGGCUUCAGCGGCCACAGGCGAUCUACCCGAUCCAGCGGGUAACCGACCGCACGAGCCGCCCGGUGAGCCACCCAACACCCACAACAGAUCUGCUACCCGAAGAAGAAAGAGAGAGAAGCAGAUCUAAACAGAUCUAAGGAGGGAGUCAAUUGUGUUGUCUGUUGUUGUUGCGUUUUUUUUUGCAGGUCACAACCUCGUCGCCAGCGAAAAGAGGAAGAAGAGAGGAAGACGUGACUGACCCCCCCUAUUUUUCGGUGUUCGGUGGCGCGUGGGGAGACGCGCCGCCACUUUCCUGCUGCCCAUGAUUCUUCACAGCACCGUUUCCAGCAAUUCUAGGAGGCUUUGAGGGGCUAUUUUGUAAAAUUUAAAAUUGUUGAUGUAUUUUUUUAUUUAGCAUUUGAUUUUUUUUUUUUUUUUGUACUUUGUAAAUAUGGAUGUAAAAGAAAAGGAAAAGAAAAGAAAAGAAACAAAAAUAGUGAAAGUGUAUGAAUGUGAUUGUAUUUUGUUUUAUUUAUUUGUAUAUAUUUUUUUAAUGAUAAAAUUGCAAAUAUAUUAAAGAAGAAUUUAAUAUUUUGAUCGGAUCACGGUUAAGAAUUAUUAACUUAUACGUAAGUGAUAUUUCUAAUUUCCGAUGAAAAGACAAUUAUUAAAACUUCUUUAACACAUCAAAUUCACGAAGCAGCUUACCUCAGGUAGGGUGCGUUAGGGGUGCUAAUACCUUCCCUAACCACAACCAGUCCCUUACCCGCGAAUCUUUGACAAGACCAGUACAUCCGGUUUCCUAGUAGCCCGCAAUCAAUUACUAGGUGGCGACUCCAACGAACCAAAUUCAAGCAAACGCAACAACGAGACUUAAAUCGCCAGCCGAUGCCGGCGCCAGAUUUUUUUGGGGUGCGACAGACACCUAAUACCGCCUCCAGUAAAAUUUCAGGGAAUAGAUGUUGCGAAAUUAAUAAAACCCUGAACCCCGUUACAAUAAUCCAUCCUCCGCAAUCCUUGGGGUGAAUCUAAAUACAUCCAUGAACGAUCAUCCAUGACUUCUAUCGAACCUCUAUAAAAUUAUGAUGACAUCAUGUAUAUAUUAAUUAACUAAGUUAGGUAAAUAAACUUGUAAAUAUAUUACUUUACCUCGAGAUUAUCUAACAAACCAAUCACAACUUCUCAUAAAUAUUAAAUAUUCAUUAUCAUUUAUCAACGUCCAUACAAAUUUAUAUAUAUAUAUAUAUAUAUAUAUAUAUAUAUUAAUAGAAAUUACCACUCUGCAAUACCAUCGAUAAAACUUAAAAAGGACCCAUUAAGCAAGCUAUUAAUUAUUUCAAAACAUAACAUGUAAUUCGGUAAUUCCAUAAAGUUUUAACAGUUUACAAACAAAUACAAUCUUACAAAAUCUAAAACAAACCAUAACAGGUAUAAAAUUAUAUACAUUCAUAAACUACAAGUUUGUUUGAGAAAUAACAAUAAAACAUGUACAUCUACUAAUAAAAAUACAUAUACUAAAAAAACAAUAAAAUUGACAUUUAAAUGUUAAAAUUUAAACAGAUAGAAUUACUUACAAAAAUUGAUAAAAUCCGUCGGUAAAUCAGAACACGGAUACUAUGACCACAAAACUUCAAGAAAUACAACUACUGAGAUGAGAAAGAUUUUUGUUUGGGGGCGAGGGGGGGCUGGUUAUUUGCAGAUGGGGAGACUUAGGAUUAGGAAGAAGAAGGAGAAAUAGGGGAGGAGAGUGUCGGCAGGGCGGCCAUAUAUUCACUUUUUCCGAUGGACUCACCGACGGAAUAACUCCGUUGCUAAUUGUGACGGGGAAUCGACACGUCACCGCACGAACCUGUUUUUUCAAAUCCCUCGGUAAUUCCAUCGGUAUUUUUUAACGGUGCACCUGUCACGUCACCCGUACGAAUCUGGCAUUUAAAUCCGUCCGGAGUCCGUCGGUAUUUUUGCCGGUGAACCGGUCACGUCACCCGUACGGGUCCCAGGUUUUGAAUUCGUCGGUGAUUCUAUCGGAAAAAUCACCCGCGAAAACCUCCGCCUCAGGUACCCGCCCUUUUUUCAGUAAUUCUGACUUUCCGUCCGUAAUUCGGUCGGUAAUUACCGACAUAAUAAAAUCGUCGGUAAUUACCAACCGAAUUACGGAUGUAAAUAUUCUGUCGGUAAUUUUGACCGAUAAAUACCGAUAGAAAUAUUCCGUCGGGGAUUCCGUUGGUAUUUAGCGAGUUUCUGGUAGUGAGAAAGAAUCUUUUCAGUCUAUUGAUUUCCUUUCAUCCAAGUGAGCUGAAUUUUGAAUCAGAUAGCUUGAGCAUCCCUAACUUCUUAAUUUCUAAGCAUGCACUUGUUCAUAUUGUUAGCUUGAAAUUGUGGUGAUCUUACGGCUGAGUGGCCAAAUAACAUGAAAAAUUGGUUCCAAUUAAUGCUGAAUAUGCAGAGUACUGCGAUGAAAUCAUUCUAAAGUCUUAUGACAACCUCAAAACAUUUUUUUUAAGACAUGAAUGGCAUUAAACAACUAUAAUAAACCAAACAAGUCACCCUAAAGUCUCGACAAAUCAAAUUCAAGUUUAAACCCCCACACAACAUCAAACUCAAGAUUACUAAAAAUGAUUACUUUAAACUUGCUUACAUAUGGUAAUGCCAGAUUAAUAUACAUCAUCAUUAUUCAAAAUGACACUUGAAGUGAAAGGUAGUGAUAAAGAUUAUACCUAAAUGGUUUGAAUCAAUGGAUUCCUAAUGGUUUUAAAGACAUUAAUGUCUAAUUGAUGAAAAAUUAAGUUUGGGAGCCCAAUUUGAGCUUAAUUGAGAAUAUUGAAAUUUAAGAGACCAAAUUUAAUUUUUACCAAGUUAAUUGAUUGAAAUCAGGAGCAAAAUUGCAAGAAAAAUAAAAUUUUAAGAUCAAUUAGGGGUCAAAUUGAAAAAUUUUGCAGCCAAUAAUCAUUUUGCAAAAGACGUGGAACUAUAGGGGCUUAAUUGACAAAAACCGAGGGUGAAAUUGAAGAAAAUUAAAAAUUUCAUGGUUAAUUGAGGGUCAAAUUGCAUAAAUCUAAGACCAAGGAUUAAAGUGCAAAAGCCAUUAAAACUGAGGUUCAAAUUGAAGUUCGGCAGGAAUUAAAUUGUACUAAUUUAGAAAUUUAGGGUCAAUCAGGGGUGCAAUUAAACUAAAUUAAACUUUGGCAAAAAAUGAAUCAGCAGGUGCACUGUUUAUUAUCUUAUUCUUUUUUACAUAGAAAAGUUACUCAAGUUAUCUACUUUCCAGGUGCAUAUAAUGCUUCUAACAUUCACAAAUUUGACAAAACAUGUAUGCAAAUAAUCACUCGACAUUUCCCUUCAACCCAGAAUGGUCUGUUCAAGCUGAUUGACACCAUAACGGUUGUGGGGCUGGCCUAAAGUGUCCAACCUAGAAUGGUUCGUUCAAACUGAUUGACACCAAAACUGCUCAGGUUACCUCCUUUGUAGGUGCAUUUAAUGCCUCUAACAUUCACCAAAUUUGACAAAACAUGCAUGCAAAUAAUCACUUGACAUUUCCCUUCAACCCGGAAUGGUCCAUUCAAACUGAUUGACACCACAACUGCUCAGGUUACCUAUUUUACAGGUGCAUUGAAUACCUCUAACAUUCACCAAAUUUGACAAAACAUGCAUGCAAAUAAUCACCUGACAUUUCCCUUCAACCCGGAAUGGUUCGUUCAAGCUGAUUGACACCAUAACGGUUAUGGCGUCGGCCUUAAGUGUCCAACCUAGAAUGGUCCGUUCAAAUUGAUUGACACCGCAACUGCUCAGAUUACUGACACGGCCAAAAGAUUGAUGUCUUCUCCCAAGUGCAGGAGUGUCGAAGUAAUAAAUAACCCAACAAAACCAGGGUCGAACCACAUGGAGAUUAAUUGUAUAAAUUAUAAAUAACAAUAAUACAACAACAAUAAUAAUAACAAUAACAACAAUAAUAACAAUAACAGUAAUAGUAAUAGUAAUAAUAAUAAUAAUAGUAGUAGUAAUAAUAAUAGUAAUAGUAAUAGUAAUAGUAAUAAUAAUAAUAAUAAUAGUAAUAAUAAUAGUAAUAGUAAUAUAAUAAUAAUAAUAAUAAUAAUAAUAAUAAUAAUAAAGAAGAAGAAGAAGUUGAUGAGAAUUUUAAGAUGAAAGAUUAAUGUAAGGAUUAAGCAAUGAUAAAAACAAAUGUCAAGGUUAGACAAUCCACUAAUGAUAUUUCAAACAAAUAUAGUAUAAACUCCUAUUAUUUAACUAGAAACCACACACAAAGGAGGUUCCAAUCAGAUGAUUUGUCAUUAAUAGCUCAUUAUAAAUUGUUAACAUGAUCAUAUUAAUUAUCUUAUUUAAGUAACACCAAACUUUUAAAUAUUAUCAAGAAUUCAUGAUGCUAACUUAUGUUAACAACAAAUCAAGUUCCUUUCAUAACACAGGUAUAGGUAAUACCAUACGGUUGGGCUAUGAGAGUGCCAAGCAUUUGUUGUACCAAGUGUUAUAUAACACAAAUCUAGAUUAACCAUUUAACAGGCAAGGUAUUAAGAAUUAGUAAGAUAAAAAGAUAAGACAUGUUAAUUUUAAACAUUAAAGUCCAUGUUGAGUUUACACUAUACUUAUUCUUAUACCAUUAGUAUAACCUUUUCACCUUAACAUAAUAAACUUAGCUAAACAUAAUGAAGAAGAGAAACAUAAAUAAACAAAAUAAGAAAAUAAAUAAGAUACAGGUUAACUAAGUAAAGGAAAUGAAAUGAAAAGCAUAAACAAGAUAUUAAUGAAAGCAAAACUUAAGAAUUAUAAAAAAUAUAAAAAGAGAGAGCAAGAGCAAGUUCUUGAUCUAAACAAGUAAGAGGCCUAAAUGCAUGGCAAAUUUCUCCUUUUAUAGGCCAAAAUUUGGAAGUAUUGAUUUGAUGACUAAUUGUUGAGUGGGUAACCAACUCUUGACUUGGUGAAAAUCAUUAUCUUCUUGUUUGAAUAAAACGUCAUUGCUAAAAUCAGAACUAGAACCAACUGUACUCAUAAAAGUUAUAUGAAAUUGUGUUAUCUUUCCAGAAAAAAAAAUUGAGGUCAUUUGGACUUCUAGAACUCGAGAUAUGGGCUGAACACUGAAUAGUGUCUGGGCUGCAGGACAGAUUCAGACUUCUCUGUUGUUGCUAUAAUUUGGACUUGAAAACGGCCUUUUUAAAUCUUGAACUCCACAUGAAAGUUGUAGGCCUAUGUCUUAUCGAAACUAUCCAAAAAAUUAAGAUUAUUUGGACAUCUAGAACUCAAGAUAUGACCCAAUUACCGAACAUUGUUCCAGUUUGGACUGCACCAACAUCUCUUUUCUAAGUUUGGCCCUCUCUUUGUCCUUUCAAUUUCAAUCUUUCAUUUAUGUGAUAGGCCUGCAUUUAUGAUGAAUAUUUACCAUAAAUUAAAGUUAUCUUAUAUUAUUAUGUAUGUUAUUAUAAAACAUGCUUUGGUUAAUGAGUUAUUGAUACUUCAAGUGCAAAAUGAUCAUAUAAAACCUUAUAAAAAUGCACUUUUAAAUACUAAUCAAUUAUCUCAUUUGCAGGUGCAUUUAAUGCCUUUAACAUUCACCAAAUUUAACAAAACAUGCAUGCAAAUAAUAUUGUUGUUGGCAACUGGAAUAUCAAAGGCAUAAACAAAAAAAUAAAAAGUCAAUUUUUAAAAUAGGAUGCCCCCUCAGGAGUGGAAACUGGAAUAUCAAAGGCAAAUACAUGUUGGCAAAGUUAUCAGCCUUUGAAAUGUCUAAUGCACGUUCUGAGGCAACAAAUAGAGUGGACCAAUUGGAAAUGGAAGAAGUGACCUUUGACAGGUCGUCUCGUCUGUGCUGUGUAGCAGUGACCUUUUAAAGGCAUCAAAGACUUCCAAGUCGUUGGCGUUAUGCAAUCAAUAAUUCAACAUUAAAAAAAAUCCGCACUUUCCAAGAAAAUUAACUUUUAAGACAUCAUCAUCAAACUCCUGUAUAUUUCCUUAGAUAUUUUUUUUUUUUUUUUAAAAAAAAACAAAUUAUGGAAAUAUAUUGGUAACGUUCUGAAAAUGGUACGUCAGAUUUUUCGUCCUUAACAUGUGGACCUUUCUUUAUUGAUUUUAAUAGAUUUAGACAUAACUAGUAAAUUCUCGUAGUUUUAUCUUAUAUUGUGAGCUUGAAAGAGUGGUGAUGUUGCGGCCCUAACUUCUUAAUUAACUGCAGAGAUCGUAGCAUCCCUAACUUCUUAAUUUCUAAGCAUGCACUUGUUCAUAUUAUUAGCUUGAAAUUGUGGUGAUCUUGCGGCUGAGUGGCCAAAUAACAUGAAAAUUGGUUCCAAUUAAUGCUGAAUAUGCAGAGUACUGCGAUAAAAUCAUUCUAUCAGGCACACUAAUUACCACUACCAAAAUUAUUCAAACAAGUAAUGCAUAUAUAUGCAUCGAUAGGUAUUUCAGCUAGAAACCUUUGUCUUGAGGCCUAUACUAACUUAACAUGCUAACUAGCUUGCUUCUCAUCGCCCCUUUGGGUUCACGAUCUCGGAGAACACAGCACCAGACAUCAUUUUCUCCGACUCGUUGCUUAGAAAACUCUGUUCGUCGCUGCUGCUUGUUGUUCCCAUUUCCAAAAUGCGGGAAUUCACAACUAGUUCACUGCCAGUACUAAACAAAUGACUGCUGUCAUCGAUUGAGGAGCCUUUCAGAGUAGUCACCAUGUCUACACUCUUUCCCUACACGACGCUCUUCCGAUCUCACAUGACAUUCUCUUCCGCGCUCUCUUGCAAUUGCAAUGCAAACUCAAGGCCCCAACCACAUCGGUCAUCGAUGGCCUUUCGAUUCCAUUCCCGAGCAAGCAUCUCACUGCAACAUCAACAAAGUUUUUCAGACAAUCUGGUGAGAUCUUUCCAUCCAGAAACGGAUCAAUGAUUUCAUUAAUCGUUCCGUUGCUGUGGUUUUGUCUAGCCAACUCUGCUAGACUUGCUGGCACUGCUGAUCGGUUUAUUGCUGGUCUAGCACACAAUACCUCGAACAACACAACCCCAAAUGAAUAGACAUCAGAUUUUUCUGUCAAUUGCUGGCGUUGACAAUAUUCGGGAUCCAAGUGUUGGUGGGAGGAACCACUGGUGGUGGCUUUGAAACACUCAGAGGGGAUAAAACACACUGGUUUUAUUACAAAAUCCGAAGCUUACAAUUAAUUAAAACAAAAGCUUAAACACACCCUCUUUCUCUCUUUCUCUUUCAAGUGUUUAUCUCUAUACUUUCCACACAUAUAACAUAAGCUGGGCACUCUAUUUAUACACGAAAUCAAAACAAGAAAAUUCAACCUUCAAGUGUGAAGGCGGCUGGCGGUUGUGGCAGCUGUGGGGGCGGCUGGCGGCUGCGGCUGGUGGCUGGCGGCUGGUCGGUUGGUGGCUGGUCGGUGGCAGCUGGUGGUUGCCUUCCUUGACCAUCUAGAGGUUGAGUUUAAUUCAACAAAUCUCCCCUUUAAACUCAAUCGAGAGAUAUCAUGCCAAGCAUGAACACUUCUCUCUUCAAUGCCUUCUCUCUGCUUGUAGACCCUUUUGACACCUAUUGCUUUCUUCUUUUCUGGUGGGUCCUUAUCUGCAUGGAAACAAAACAGAGUUGUAUCUUCCAUGACCUGAGUGGUAUCGUACAACUCUUCAAGAUUCCGCAUCUUUCUUGGUCCUUCUGACGAGGAUGCUGAUGGUGGUGUUGAUGAUGAUGCUCCUGGUGUGUUCCUCCUGUUGAAUACAGGGAAUCUGUGUACCGGACUUUGUGGUUCAGCUGCUGGUAUAAACACUGGACUUUGUGGUUCAGCUGCUGGCACAAUCGGUUCUUCUAUAAGUACUGUUGGUACUUCUUCACCUUCAAGGAUCAAAUCAGUGUUGAUCCAUCUGACUGCUUCUUGAUCAUCAUUCCAUGCCCAAGAUUUAUCUUCUUCAAAGAUAACAUCUCUACUCGUAAUCACCUUCUUCGUGAUGGGAUUAUACAGCCUGUAUCCCAUCCUUCUUUCACCAUAUCCGACAAAGAUGCAUUUCUCGCUCUUAUCAUCGAGCUUUCUCCUUCUUGCAUCUGGGAUCUUUGCAUAUGCCACACAACCAAAGACUCGUAGAUGAGUAACACUUGGUUUGUGACCACUCCAUGCUUCUUCUGGAGUAACUCCUUGCAAACUUCUGGUUGGGCAGCGAUUCAACAGAUACACUGCACAUGAUACAGCUUCAGCCCAGUAUUGCUUGGGCAGCUUCUUUGCUUUGAGCAAACUUCUGGCCAUGUCAAGAAUCGUGCGAUUCUUCCUUUCUGCUACACCGUUCAGCUGUGGUGUAUAAGCUGGCGUCGUCUGAUGUCUGAUGCCUUGUUGUGUACAAUAGGCUUCAAAGUCAUUGCUGUAUAUUCUCCACCUUGAUCAGAUCUUACGGUUCUGAUCGUGUAACCAGUUUGCUUCUCCACAAUUGCUUUAAAAUCUUUAAAACAAUUGAAUACUUCUGACUUCCUCUUCAGAAAGUAUAUCCACGUCUUUCUACUAAAAUCAUCAGUAAAAGUGAGGAAGUACCUAUUUUGUCCAGUCGACAUAGGCGUAAUUGGGCCACACACAUCUGUGUGUACUAACUCCAGUGGCCUCUUUGCUCUCCAGUUGACUUCUUUGGCAAAACUGGAUCUGUGUGUUUGCUGAGGACACAACUCUCACAGACUUCAUCUGGAUGAUCAAUGUGAGGCAAACCUUUGACCAUCUUCUUGCUUGCUAGCAUCUUCAUACUCGUGAAAUUCAGAUGUCCAAGCCUCAGGUGCCAAAGCCAUUCUUCACUGUUGGUGAUGGCACUCAAACACCUUGUUGCAUCAUACUGGAUGUUCAAAGGAAACAUCCUAUUCUUGGACAUUUUCACGUAGGCCAUUAAUCUCCCAUUGUUGUCUCUAAUUGUCAGAUGACAAUUCUUCGAGUAAAAACUAUAUCCUCUCUCCAAAAGUUGGCCUAAGCUGAUCAGGUUCUGCUUUAUGGCUGGGACAUAAUACACAUCGGCGAUGUAGCUGGAAUCGCCAUUCUUCAACUUGACUGGGAUGUUGCCUUUACCUUUGAAUGGAACCUUUGUGGUAUCUCCAAAAGUAACUAGACCUUGCUUGGUCUCAUCUAGAUCACCAAAUAACUCUCGGUAGCCGCACAUGUGAUUGCUGGCUCCAGUAUCUAGAUACCAUAUCUCCUUUGUUUCUCGCCAUGUCCUUGUUGGACAAGAAAUGCAGAUGCUUCUCCAUCAUGCUUCUCUACAUAGUUGGCUUGCUCACGUGUCUCCAACGGAGCUUUCCAUCGCAUUCAGUGCUAUAGUGCCCAAAUUGAUUGCAGCUAUAACAUUUGAUAUUUCUCUUCACGGUUAUUGUAACCGCCUCCUCUUCCUCUAGGAGUGAAUGCUUGUUGGCCUCGGCCUCCUCUGGUGGUGUUUCUGCCACCUCUUCCUCUAAAGCUUGUAUUCCAAGAACCUCUUCCUUGGAAUCUCUGGAAUCCUCCUCUGGAUUGUUGACUUCCUCCUUGAGUGGUGUAGCCACUUGAUGAAGUCUCCCCUUGCUCAUAUCUGUCCUUGAAAGACAGCUUUGCUUGUAAGGCAUGCUCAAUGGCCUUAUCUUCAUUUCGCAUUACAAUCUUCUGCUCAUGAGCUUGCAAAGAACUCAUAAGCUCAUCCACUGUCAACUUGUCCACUUCCUUGGACUCUUCAAUUGCGACAACAACAUGAUCAAAUUUUGGAUCUAUGGAUCUCAAAAUUUUCUCAAUAAUUCGAGUAUCGAUGAGGGCUUCUCCAUUUCUUCUCAUCUGGUUGACUAUCACCAUAAUCCUUGUGUGAUAAUCAGAAAUAGACUCCGAGGACUUCAUUCGUAAUAAUUCGAAUUCUCCUCUCAAAGAUUGAAGACGAAUCUUCUUGAUUCUGUCAGCACCUUUGUAUUUCUGUUGGAGAGCCUCCCAUAUAUCAUGUGACGUUUCAGCGGAAGCUAUUAUCUCGAAUGUAUCUUCAUCAAGACCUUGAUAGAUGAUGGUCUUUGCUUUGUUGUCCUUCUUUCUGUUGACUUUAAGGACUUGCUUCUGUGCCUCUUGUAAAGCAUCUUCUCUUUCUUUGGACUCUGGUUCAUCAUAACCAGUUUGUACAAUAUCAAAACACUCUUGUGACCCAAGAAAUGCCUUCAAUCUGAUGCACCAACUAUCAUAGUUGUCUUUGGUCAGCUUCGGGAUGAGUGUAUGUGUACCUUCUGUAGUCAUUUUGCUCUUUUAAUGACUAUAUCGCCUUCUGGGAGCCGAAUUUGACCAAACGGACACUGUAGAUCGAUCCGGAAUGGUCCAAAUAGUCGGGAACCGGUCUGACUUUGUUGAAAUCGGGUCAGAAAAUGGGUGAACCGGUCAAAAAACCAAUUCUGUACGGCGGGCGGUUCGCUGGGUUGAACCGGGAAUAUUCUGGGGAAUAUUCUUGGGAAUAUGCUGGGGAAUAUUCGUGGAAUAUUCUGGGGAAUAUUCCUUCGGCUCGGCUCGGCUCGGGGUACGGCUCGGCUUGUGGCUCGGCUGGACUCGGCUUAGGCGGCUUACACGGCUCGAAUAUGGCGCGCGUGUGGCUCAGUCGUCUUCAACCUCGGGGCGCGUGGGAUGCGCGUGGGCGAUCUGGCUGAAUAUUCAGGAGGCGCGUGUGGGCUACCCCGAACUCCGAUUUGGCUGAUUUUUGCGGCAGUGAGUUCGUCUUGAUGAGCUCUACACUGUGGAAUGAUCAAAACUUGUUUUGGACAACUUUGAAAAUUCGGAUAUACCCCAAAACUCUUCUGUUUUCCGACGAACGGGGCUCUGAUACCAAUUGUUGGUGGGAGGAACCACUGGUGGUGGCUUUGAAACACUCAGAGGGGAUAAAACACACUGGUUUUAUUACAAAAUCCGAAGCUUACAAUUAAUUAAAACAAAAGCUUAAACACACCCUCUUUCUCUCUUUCUCUUUCAAGUGUUUCUCUCUAUACUUUCCACACAUAUAACAUAAGCUGGGCACUCUAUUUAUACACGAAAUCAAAACAAGAAAAUUCAACCUUCAAGUGUGAAGGCGGCUGGCGGUUGUGGCAGCUGUGGGGGCGGCUGGCGGCUGCGGCUGGCGGCUGGCGGCUGGUCGGUUGGUGGCUGGUCGGUGGCAGCUGGUGGUUGCCUUCCUUGACCAUCUAGAGGUUGAGUUUAAUUCAACACCAAGUACCCUAGGCUACCUUUCACAACGGUGCUCACGUGGCCCUUCGAUGUGUUCGUAGGGCCUGUUUUGGACAAUCCGAAAUCCGAAACUUUGGCCACCCAUUUCUCAUCCAGCAAGAUAUUUGUUGUCUUCACAUCACGAUGAAUGACAGUGUGCUUGGCACCUGUGUGAAGGUAAUGCAACCCACGGGCAGCACCGAUGCAAAUCUCUAGGCACUGAGUCCAUGAAAGUGGAGGAUUCUCAGUUCUGUAGAGAUGAUCACGAAGCGUCCCCCGAGCCAUAUAAUCAUACACCAGGAUCAUCUCAUUAUUAUCAUUACAGUAACCAAUUAGAGAAACCAAAUGGCGGAAUCUAAGCUGGGAGAGCAUCUCAAUCUCUGUCCUGAACUCGGUUGCACCCUGCCGUGAACUUGGAUUCAAUCGCUUGAUCGCAGCACGAUUGACUCCACCAUCAAAUAAUCCUUUGUACACGUUACCAAAGCCACCAACACCAAUAAUGAAUGAAUCGUCGAAGUUGUUUGUUGCUGCCAUUAUCUCAACUAGCGAGAAACGGUAGCAUAGAUCAGAAGGUAGAGAUGGCCUAUGGGUCUUUGUUGAGUUUUUCUUGAAGAGGAAACAAGAGGGCUUAAGUUUGAAGCUGCAUCACCAGAAACCAAGUCCUUGAAUUUUUGGACUCUUCUCCGGAAAAUCAUGAAAAAUAGAACAGACACGACAACAAUGCCCGAAACAGCAGCACCAAUAAUGGCGACUGUUCUUCGAUUAUGCUUGGUUGAGGUCGCGCUAGGAGGAGUAUUACUAACGGGGCUGUCCGGAUACGCGUCAGGAUUUGGUCCGGCAAGAUUUUCUGAGUUGCUCAGUUUUAAGAUUUCAGCGCCAUUCAACAUUGCAUCAAAGACAUAAUUAGUAGAAUGAAUAGGGUGCAAUGCAAUCGACAAAUUCUGUAUCUCUUCGUUUCCUCUGGCAUCCAUCAUCACUACGUAAUCUCUGUAUAUGGGAACCCCAUUUCCACCAGCCCAAGAAAUUAUAUCUGCGUAAUGCUCUGCCGUUUGAUUAGCGAUGUAUAUUUUAAAGACUAGAUCGCCAUUUUGCAAAAAAAUCGCUAUAAACUGACAGAAAUGAAGCCUAACAAGAUAGGUGAAUCUGGAGUGGACCGGAAACUCCCACGUCAUAUUGUAUUUCUCACUACUUACAGUGGAAUUGGGCCCCAUGGUCCUAGCAGUUCGAUAGAGUUCGUCAGGUGCAGAAUAGCGAGUGUGGUUAUUUUACUGAAGUUGAAUAGUGUCAUUAAUAAAUUGAAAAGCGCUUGGUCGAGCAUCCGUCAAGUAAUCAACAUCGCUUAACCAACUUCGAUACAUGCCACAUUUACUCGGUACAUGAUCUCUAAAGCAGUUUCAUUUUGAAGGGGAAGAUAGACCCCCUGGUCAAAAUUAUACAGCUCUGGGUUAUCUCCUGCAGUGUAAUAAAGAUUGGUGGGCAUGGAUACGAUUUCAAUCCCGUUGAUGAAAGCAUAUGCAUCAGCUACAUGAGGGCUUGGCGUGAACGUUAUGCUCAGAUUUUUCUGCUCAUCUUCAACAUUUAAGAUGAAUUCUCUGGCGCAACCUCGUUCACCAAGAGGGUCAGUGUAAUGGAAGCCACUGAAGUUGCUAAGAAAGGUAUAGCGACGGGUUGUGACAGAAAAAGAUGCUUUAGACCUGUUGAAACCAGUGUAGGAAGCUGGAUUGAAAUGGAGGCGAACAAACUUAGGUCCUGUUGUUUUGACAGGAAAUGUGUAGGUGAAUUUGGAGAGAGAGACACGAGCAGUAUAAUAAGGUACAGAGCUAGGGGAGGCUUCAUUUGCUGUGGGAUUUGUUGAGGGGCCGUCUUGAUCUAGAAGGGCCACUCUUGAGUUGAUGUCUGCAGUCCAGUUUCUAGCGUUUCCAAUACUAUCGGAGGAUGAACCACAAUCAAGCGCUCUGCUAUCGAGGGGGACGUAAGGUGCUUGAUCCCCGGUUACAAGGAUGGUGAGUUGGAGGAACAGGAAGGAGAGGUGCAGAGGAGUGAAGAGAGAUAAGUUUGUGAGAGAGAGAGAUUUGCUGCUGCUGCUGCUGCUGCUCAUUUUGUUUUUGGCCAGAGGAGGAGAGAUGAAGAAAUCAAGAGGAGAAGCUCCUUUUAAUUAUAUGCUGAGAGGAGUUCAAGUCAUGCUAUAGUUUUCUGAUUCUAAUUUUUAUUCUUUUUUUGAUUUCUUAUGUAAAAUCGUUUUCAAGUAUUAGUAAUUAUAAAAGUCUCAUGGAGUAGUAUCAAUGUAUCAUUUGGCAAAGGGACAAUAUAUGGAAGACCUUUGAAAGGUUUUAUUUAUUUAUUUAUUUACAUGGGUGUUCAGGCCAGCUUAUGCGUAUCACGACUAAUUUCAUGGUCCACUAAAUAUUCUACAAACCUAGUGAGCAUGUAAGGUACCGCGAGGAUGACAGACAUGCAUGAGAUUUGAAUCUAGUGCAGGAAAAAAAAAAAAAAAAACUCUUUUCACUAAUAGGCCAAAACGUCAAGUGUACUUUGAAAGUUCUUUGAUAGUACGAGCGGAGCAUGAAAGACUUCCAGGUCGUUGGCUGUAUUCUAUCAACUUUAGAGAUUUCCGUGUCUAGGGGGGCAUGAAGGUCUAUCAUGACUCUCAUCUAAACUGUUAGGGUCUCAUCUAAACUGUUAGGGUCUGGUAUAUAGGGUGAGAUAAUUGAAGUGAUAAUCUUAACGUAUAAAAUUUAUUAACUCCAAACGAGUGAUAGGGUAAAUAUUUUUUAAUGUUUUCUCUCAAAGCAAAUUAAAGAAAACUUGAAUGAUUUUGGGUGAUUGGGUGCCUACAAGGAUACAGGCGAGAGGAGCGACAUGACCAUUUGCUUCCCAUUAUACUUGAUGCCAUGACACUAAUAAUUAAAUAUUUCGCUUCUGGUUUGUAUUUGGACUAACCAAAUUCAGAGGACUCUCCAUGUUAAAAUAAUUUGUAUGCUAAUUAGAUAUAUGUGAUUUGAUUCUUUAAGCCGCGCUAAUCCCUCCUUUUGUAGUCGAGCAAAUUUAACGUUACUUUUGACUUAAAAAGAAAGGAUGUAUAUCAUAUUUAUAUUUGUUCUAGUUUCAAACACAUUUAAAUAUUGAUUAAAAUUUAAAACUAAAAAACUUUUUAAAUUAAAUUUGUAUUUUUCAUUUAUUUACGGUUGAAAUUUCUUUAUUUUAUUUUUUAUGUGGUCAAUUUUUUUUUAUGUUUUAAUUUAAGAGGUCAAAAAAGUUUGAUUAAAAAUCUCUUUUGUAGAUUUUUACUUUUUAUUUUUAACUCUCAUUAAUAACGGGUCAUCAUUUGGAUCUUAAAUGAAUAAAAAGAUAGUUUAAUAAAAUUUCCAGUGAAGGAUAAGAUGAAAGAAGUGCAGACGAAACAUACUUGAUGGUGUUAAAUGUGUAAAUUUUCAUAGACAUGAUUUUCUAAUUUAUUUUUUCAUGAUUGUUUUUAUUUACUCGAGCUUUUUUAUUUUUAAAAUAAAAUUUAUUUUUUCCUAUUGUUUUUCUUUGCAUCUAUAAAAAAAACAAAACGUAUCUAUAAAAAAUAAGAAACAAUAAGACAUAAGAAGAAUUUUAGAAUAAAUAAUAAUAAAAAGAUCCAACAUUAAUUCAAUAUUUUAUUUUAUUUUUAUUGAAACUAGCACUAAUAAAAAUCUUACACGUAUCCUUAUAUGUUUUUGAAAUUUAAAAUUAAUAAAAAAAAAUUGACUUGAUCAUUGAUAGAGAAACUCAUAUUGUCCAAUGAACUGUAAACAAUAUUGAAUUAUGCAAUGUGAAAUCACUACAAUGUAUAUAUAUAUAUAUAUAUAUAUAUAUAUAUAUAUAUAUAUAUAUAUAUAUAUAUAAAAUGAUACUAAUGGAGCCUCUAGUCUAAUCAAACCGGCUAAAUUCCAUGUAAAAUCGUUUUCAAGUAUCAGUAUAUGAAAGUUUCCUAGAGGUUUAAAGUCAUUGGCAUACUCUUUUAAAUGAUGCUUCUCUUUUAAAUGAUGCAAUGAAAUAUUAGAAAGAGGUUCGUUGAAACCAAAUAAUAUUGAUAUCUAUACUCUUUUAAAAGAUGCUUCUCUGUAUGAAAUGAUGUUAUGCUAAAGAGCAAAAAACAAGUUAUUAAGAGGAACUUAUUUAGUUGGUUAUUUGAAUGAGAUAGUUAAGGACAGUUCAAUAAUUGCCUUGGAUUUUGAUGAAGAGUUUGAGGAAGAUCAACAUUAGCUAAUUUCAAUCGCAUAACUUAAGAAUGGAUGAUUGUUCGAGGAUGUUAUAGAAAGAAAUCAUGAAGAGGCUAGCAAACAUGUUAUUAAAGAAACAAAAGCUAUCAAUAUGGUCAAUAAGGGAAAGAACACUCUUUUGAUAUCAAAAGAGUUGAAGAAAUUUUUAACCAAUUAAUAUGUGAAAGGAAAAUCAAGCUCUUUGGUAUUCACAUGAACUCCAUUGCUGAACAGAUCAAGAGGAAAUUAUAUUACAUGUGGCAUAACUAAUAGAGACAUGGCAUCAAUAGUUGUGCUGUCUUUAUAAAUCAGAUCUAAAAAGCACUUGAGCCUGAUCAUAUUUGCUUCCAGAGAAAGAAAAUUAUGAUAGAUAACAAUCAUUUUAGCAAUUACGCUAACGCUAGAAAAACUCAAUGGUAAAAUAGAUUUAUAGAACACAAUGCCUUGUCGACCACGAAAAAAGCUAGAAUUAGUCAUGAAUACUACUACUAGAAAAAGCUAUUUCAAAUAUGACAAGGCUAAGGAGUUGGCAUUAGAAGAUUAGUAAAUACCUUCAUAUGAGGUGGGUGGGUAUGCAUGUAUCAUAUUGUUAUAGAACUCUAGAUAUGGGGAAAAUACCAUUAAGAGGUCAAGUUGUUAGUAACAAGACAAUUUGGUGAUCAGAAUUAAAACUAUUGAUGGACAUAGAAGAUAGCUGUAACAUUUCAUAUAAAAGUUGUAGAGGAAUGAGUUAGCUAACAUUUGGCACUAGCAUUACCUUAAUUGGACUUAUAAAACUCCAGAUAUAGGAAAAAUACCAUUAAGUGGAUAAGCUUUUGUAACAUGACAUAUUUCACCACCUGACUUCUAAAUAGUUUUAAAAUAGAUGAAUAAUAGAAUUUUGGGCAAUCUUAUACAUGAAAGUUGUAUUUAAAGAUGUUAAAUUUCAUUAGGAUUUGGCAUCACCUGAAUUGAAGCUCUAGAAUUCCAUUUGGGGACUAGAAAUUAUAGACUGAACAUGUUGUGAAUUGAUGGAGAGAUUUACAUAUAUAUAUGUGUAAAAGACGAGUGAUUUUAGGCAUGCUAAUGAUUCAUGUUGAAAUUAAUUCUUCUAAAUCAUGAUAUAUAUAUAUAUAUAUAUAUAUAUAUAUAUAUGUGUGUGUGUGUGUGUGUGUGUGUGUGUGUGUGUGUGUGUGUGUGUCAACAUUCAAAAGAAACAUAUAAAAGGGUCUAGACGAAAAUAGAUGUUGAAAUUUCAUUAAUGCAAAACCAAGUCAUAGAUAUUGAAAUCUUGUUGAUACAAAACUAAGUCAAGGACACCGAAAUUUUGUUGAUGUAAAACAAAUUUUGAGUCAUGCGGACACUAACUCUAAAAAUAUACUUGAUAUGUAUAUUGACACAACCAAAAGAUUGAUGUCUUCUCCCAAAUGUAAAAGUGUCGAAAUAAUAAAUAACCCAGCAAAAUUGGGAUCGAACCACAGGGAGGUUAACUAUACAAAUUAUAAAUAACAACAACAACAACAAUAAUAGUAAAACUACUACUAGUAGUAGUAGUAGUAGUAGUAGUAAUAGUAAUAAUAGUAAUAAUAAUAAUAAUAAUAAUAAAGAUGGAGAAGAAGAAGAAGAAGUUAAUGAGAACUUUGAGAUGAAAGAUUAACGGAAGGAUUAAACAAUGAUAACAACAAAUGUCAAGGUUAGAGGAUCUACUAAUGGUAUGUCAAACAAGUAUAAGAUAAACUUUUAUUAUCUAAUUGAAAACCACACACAAAGAAGGUUCCAAUCAGAUUAUAAAUUAUUAACAUGAUUACUGUGAAAACCCGCUAAAUUAUAAUAUGAGUAAAAUAAAUAAAGUAUUGAAUAAAUUAAAUAAAAAGAUUUUAAGUAUUGUAAUUGGAUACAAUAGAAUAAAAUAUAAGAUGUUAUGGUGUGAAUUAAGUAAAAGAAGAGUUGAGUGACAAAAAUAGAAAUAAGAAGAAAUGAGGGCCAAUGUGUAAAUUGGUAAAAGUUAGACUAUAAAUGCUUCAUCUUUUUCUCUUUUAGCCGUGAGUUUGAAACAAAGAGAGGGGGAAGAAUUGUGUGAUUUUCUACUUAAAUGCUCAUUGAUUUCACUAAUUAAAGUGAGUAAUUAGAGUGAUUAACUUAAUUAAACAUCAAAAGGGGGUUGAUUUUAAGGUGGUGAGUGCAUUGAAGGAAGGAUUUCAAGCUAGGGUUUGAAGAGGGAGAAUAAGAAAACUUGUUUUUCUUGCAUUCUUUCCUUAAAUCCUUAUCAAAGUGAGGUAAAUAACAUGUUCUAAAUGAUUAAUUCCUUUAUUUUUAUGUUUGAUGAAGGAUUAUGCAAAAUGAUGAUUAUGUGAAGUUGUGGAUUUAUGUUAUAAUUUAUAGGAAUAAUGCAAAUUAUGUUUGAACCAUGUUAGAAAGCAUGAAUUAUGAUUGGGUAAGUGUUUAAUUUUAAAUAAAUGAAACAAAAAUUAAUUUUCCCCAUUUUAAUUGAAUAUUUGGCCAAGAGAGGAAUAAUUUAGGGGAUUUGAGGUUUAAUACAAUUGUUUGGAAAAUAUGGGAAGAUGAAAGUUUAUAAGUGUUGUUAUAUGAAUGGAGUAGGAAUUUUUUUCAAGGAGAAAAGAAAAAUAUUCACUUCCCUCCCUAAGUUGUUUUUGGCUAAAUGGAGAAGAAAAUUAGAGAAUGGAGUUUAAAUGAUAUUAUUGAGGAAUCUUACUAAAUUUAAGACAAUUGAUGUUGAUAGGUUAAAUUGAAUAGAGACUUUUAUGGAAAUAAUAAUAAUAAUAAUAAUAAGAAAAUGUUUCAAAAGGGGGGGGGUUUAUCCCCCUUGAAUUAAAAGUCAAUUAAACUUAAUGAAGGGUAUUGGAUUUAACAAAGAAUAUGUCAUGGGUAUUAGAAUUUUACCGGUUCAAAUGAAUGAACAAAUGACAAAGUAAUUUUGUUGGUGCAGAGGAGGCCGCAGGACCUGAUCAGCAACAAGGGACCUCUUCACGCGCACAUACACCAGGUAGGUGUUCAACACCUUUGAGUGAUUAAUCAGUUUAUAUUUUUUAUUGUACAAGGAAUUUUAUAGAUUAUAAAUAUUAGUGCUGGUUACUAGAAAUAAUGCCCUGGUGAAUGGGCAAGCCUUGAAAAAUUAUUUCCUGGUUUCUGGAAAUAAUGCCCUGGUGAAUGGGCAAGCCUUGUAAAAAACUUAUUUCCUGGUUACUGGAAAUAAUGCCCUGGUGAAUGGGUGGUUACUGGAAAUAAUGCCCUGGUGAAUGGCAGGCCUUGAAAAAUUAUUUCCUGGUUACUGGAAAUAAUACCCUGGUGAAUGGGUAGUUACUAGAAAUAAUGUCCUGGUGAAUGGGCAAGCCUUGAAAAAUCAUUUCCUGGUUACUGGAAAUAAUGCCCUGGUGAAUGGGCGAGCCUUGAAGAUCAUUUCCUUAUUAUUGAAAUUUAUGCCUGGUAGAAUGACCAUGUUAAGAAAAUUAAUUUUUCAAAUUAAUGGGAUAAUCACUCGAUGUAAAAUAAAUCAUAAAACUUUGAAGUUAAAUAUGCUAGGUUGUGGGAGACACUCUUGAUAUUUUUAUUUUAGUAGAUUUAUCCCUGUCUAGAAGAGAAUUUAUGAAAUUAGAAAUUUCAAAAAGAAAAUAAGACAAUUAAUUCUAUGAUAUGAAAAUCACCUUAAUGUAUAUAAAUAAUUAGUUCUUAAUCAGUUACUUAUUGAAAUGUGCAAUUGUUUUAAUCAUGUUUAAUGCAAUUAUGUUUUUAGGUACAUCGCACCCUCGAUCUGGAAAGUAGAUGCUCGGAUAAAUAAUUUUGUUAUGUGAUUAAUGUACUUGGAAGAACUAAUAUUUUGUCGUAAUAUGCUUCCAUAUCUAAAAUUGUAAUGUUUAACUUAUUAUCUUGUGUAUGAUAUAAUUUGUAAGGUUAUUAUUAUUAAGUUGAAUUAUGGUUGGUUGUGUGUGUAUAUAUAUAUAUAUAAAGAGAUGAUGCAUGUUAAGAAUUUAUUAGUUUUAUUGUAGUGUUCUAUAGAAAAUAGAAUUGUGAUAUUGAAAUAUGCUUGAGUUUUUUGAUGUCCAAAUGAUGGGACGAAUAUUGUGAUUGAUGUUACAGGUUGAGAAAUGAUUGAGUCGAUAACUUGGUACCUAAAGAAUACAAAGGAAACUCUGCCGAAAUUUCGAGAAUAUAUAUAUAUAUAUAUAUAAAAAAAUGGUAACUACGAAUAUAUCUAAUAUAUUUUUGAGUUUACAAAUUGAGACUGUUACAAUUACAUUAGUUAUCUUAUUCGAAUAAUGCUAAUAAUUGUAAAUGUUGUUAGGCAUUCAUGAUUAUAACUUAUGUUAACAACAAAUCAAGUUUUUUUCAUAGCUUAGGUGUCGGUUAUACCAUACAGUAUGGGCUAUGAAAGUGCCAAGUAUUUGUUGUACCAAGUGUUAUACAACAUAAAUCUAGAUUAACCAUUUAACAAGCAAAGUAUUAAAAGUGAACAAGAUAAAAAAUAUAAAACAUGUUAGUAUCAAACAUUAAGGUCUAUGUUGAGUUUACACUAUACUUAUUCUUACACCAUUAGUGUAACCUUUUCACUUUGACAUAAUAAACAUAACUAAACAUAAUGAAAGAAAGAAAAAUAAAUAAACAAAAUAAGAACAUAAAUAAGAUAAAAGUUAACUAAGUAAAGGAAAGGAAAGGAAAGGCAUAAACUUGAUAUUAAUGAAAGCAAAACAUAAGCAAUACAAAGAAAGAAAGCAAGAGCAUGAUCUUGAUUUGGAAACCAAGAUGCCUUAAAAUUUGAAACUAUUGAUUUGAUAAAUAAUUGAUGAGUGGGUGGCCACAUCUUAACUUAGUGAUAAUCCUUAUCUUCUUGUCUGAAUAAAACAUCAUUGAUAACGUCAAAAUUGGAACCACUUGUACUCAUGAAAGUUCUAGAAAAUUGUCUCAACUUUCCAGGAAAAAAAAGGUCAUUUGGACUUUUAGAACUCCAGAUAUGGGCCAAACACUGAACAGUGUUCAGGCUGCAAGAUAGAUUCGGACUUCUUCGUUGUUGCUAUAAUUUGGACUUAAAAAUAACCUUUUUAAAUCUUGGGCUCCAUGAAAGUUGUAAGCCUAUGUCUUACCUUUCCAUCCAUAUAAAGUAGACCUAAAUUUGAGAUCUACAACUCCAGAUAUGACCCAAUUACCGAACAAUGUUCCAAUUUGGACUACACUAGCAUCUCUUUUCUAAGUUUGGCCAUCUCUUUGUCCUUCCAAUUUCAGUACUUAAACUCAUCAAUCAAUCCUUUCAUUUAUGUGAUAGGUCUGUAUUUAAUAUGAACAUUUACCACAAAUUAAAGGUACAUUAUAUUAUUAGAUAUGUUAUUAUAAAACAUACUUUAGCUGAGUUAUUGAUACUUCAAUUGCAAAAUAAUGAUAUAAAACUUUGAUAAAAAUACACUUUUAAGUACUAAUCAUAUAUAUAUGUUAUGAUAAGAAAAUGAACAUAUAUAGAAAGUAUCAUAUGUAUAAUGAAUUAAUAUGGACUGCCUAUAACAUUUGGCUUGAAGGAAUCAUGACCAAAUACUUCUUUGUGAUUCAGAAGGAGCGACCAGGGAUUGGAUGUUCUAUUAGAGAAAGUCAUGAGACAUGUGGAGCAGGUAUGUGGUUUCCCUCUUCUUCACACUUAUAGAAUUAUAAUAAUGUUAUGUUCAAUAUAAAUAAAGUCUAGUGUAUUAAUGAGAUUAGUUUCAGCUAAUGGUAUCUGUGAUAAGAUUUUUGGGAAAUGAAUUACAAUAUUAGUUUCGGCUAAUGACAUUCGUGAUAGGAUUGCAAAGAAAUGAAUUAGAAUAUUAGCUUUGGCUAAUGACAUCCAUAUUGGGAUGCUCGGGAAUGAUCGAUAAGGCUCGAUUUGUAAAGGGUAUCCGUGGUUGGAUGACCUAGAAAAUAUUAUAAGUAUAAUUGCCCAAAAAUAUCCAAGUUGGACUAUGCAAGGUUAAAGAUCUAGUAAAACCAAUUAAACAAAGUUACUAGGUUCAUGUAAGAAAAUAAUAAUAUUAAAUUAAGAAUACAUAAAUGAGGUCUAAUUGGGUUUUAAAUGAUUCUCGAGACAUUUAUAAGUUGCUUAUUAGAAUUCCUAGGAAACCAAUAGAAAACUUAUGUUUUAUUUGUAUUCAUUACAUGAUCAUUUAUAAUUUUACUGUCAAUAUAAUUUUAUAUUUAUUAAGUUGUUUUUGUAACAAAUCUAUCUAGUAGCCAGGGAGCUCAUUAGUUUUUAGGACUUUACUUUGCUAAGUUUAUGUAAAAAUUUAACUUAUGCAUAAAAGUAAUAACUAGAUUAUGCAAUAUGUUUUUUGUGUAAACUCAGAUAUAUAUUGUAUGAAUCAGAACUCCUUAGUUAUUUGGUAAUUAAUCCUUUUGAAACCUUUAAGAAUACUUAUGUUAUGUUUUAAAUUCUCUUGUUACAUGUUAGUAUAUAUAUAUGCCUUAUGAACAAGAUCAAUAUAAACAUAGCCCAUAUAUUUUUUUAUUUUCAAAAAUAAAAUUAAUAUAUACAAAAGAUUCAAAAAAAUUAUAGAUAAAUCAGAAGAACCUCCUAAAAAAUUAAAACAAUAAUUAAAAAAUAACUUUCAUUUCAAAGAGGCUCUUUAAACAACAUUAAAAAAGGUAUUGAUCUAAAUAUAAAUAAAAAAAUAUGAAAUGAAUUAAUUUUUUAAAAAUAAAAACUCAAAAAAUAAAAACACAAAAAAAGGCCAAGAAUUGUCGAACCUAGCAAGGUAGGUCAGCCUACUUAGCCCAUUUUGUUAGGGCCCAUGCGCACUGACUUUUUUUUUUUUUUUUGCAAAUUAUUUAUGAAAAAAACAAAUAAGAUUAUGUGUCACUCGUGGGCUAUAUAUUUUUCUCUCUUGCAAAAACGUUGUACAUGCAUGCUUUUUUGAUGCAUUUUUUACAUAAAAAGAUUUAAAGUUUAGAUUAAAAAGCUUAUGCAUUUAUGUAAUCAAACAAAUCGACAAUUAUGUGAAUUAAUAAUCGAAAAAAAGGUAUUGAUGAUAACUAAAAAUAAAAUUAGAAGAUUCAGGUAUGUUAAUAAAUGAAAUAUUUACUUGGUUGUGUAUUUUUGAAUUUGUUUAUUAAAAUUAAUAUUUUUAUUCAAUUAAAUGAUAUUAAAAAUAAACACACAUACUAAAUUAAUCAAAUAAAAUAAAAGUGGAAAAAAAUAUUAUGCAAAGUUAUACAUAUUAUGUUAUCUGAAAAUAAAUAUUUUUAUUUUUAAAAUAAAAUUCUUGUAUACAAAAAGAUAAAAGAAAAAAAUUGUCGAUGAAUUAGAAUGAGUUUUUCAAAAAUUAAAUACGAACAACACUAUAGAAAAAUAAUCUCUAUAAAAAAUCAACAAAAAAAACCCCACAAAUAAGAGAUAUUAAUUAAAACAUAACUUUAAAAAAUAUUUAAAAAGGACACAUAAAAAUUAUCAGUAGAAAAAAGCAAUAUCAAAAAAACAAAAUGUCUGGUUGUUGAAGCUUAACUCGUUAAACUCAUGAUCCGAACAAUAAACUCAAUCAGGUUCAAUAGUUUUUCCCCUUAAAUAUAUAUUCAACUUUUAACAUGAAAAAAUUAAACCCGUAACCCGGAUCAUGAACUCAACUAGACUUAAUAUUUGUUUCCAUUAAAUUUUUUUUUUUAAAAAAUAAACCCUUUACCUGGACCAUGAAUUCAAAUGGAUUCAAUAAAUUGUUUCCCCUUAUGUUUAUAUUCAACCUUUAAAAAAAAUUUAAAAACACACAACAUGAUAAAAAAAAAAUGAUAUAAAAAAUGUAAAAACAAAUCACAAAUAAAUGAUGUUAAUGAAACAUAAAUUUAAAUUAUUUAUAAAAAGAUACCAAUAAAAAAAAGGAAAUAUCAAAAAAAAUAUCCAAUUAUUAUGGCUUAACUUAUUAAAUUCAUGUCUCAGUCUAUAAACACAAUUAAAUUCAAUAUUUUUUCUUUCCAAUUUAUAUUUAACUUUUUUUAAAAAAAACACCACGUGAUCCGGAUCUACAUCUGAAACAGGUAAAGUAUAAUGUUGUUGAUCCACGCUAGCAUGAAAUUGAUCUCUUGUGAUAUCAUUUAAUUUCAUGUAUAGGAAAAUAUGACCUAACCAGUCAAUCAUUGCCACAUUCCUCUUCUUUCUUAGCUGCUUGCUUUUAUAUUUGAUUAGAUAGACACCAUUAAAAAGAGCUAGCUCAAAAUAAAAGAGAUGCUAUUAGAGGUCUAGGCGCGAGGACGCGCCAACAAAAGCACACUGCCUAGAAUUCGGUAGCGAUGGACAGCAGCAGAGACGAAUUCAGCAAACAGUGUGCAAUGGUCUGUGCAAGUCUUUGAGCUGGCGACUUGACAUGGACAUAGGGGCUUAGAUAAUGGACCUUCUAAGUCAGCAGCUGACGCAGCAACAACUGGUAGUUUGACUGCUAGGUGGACAGCCAGAACGUGGGUGAAGUGGCAGCUUCAUGGCCUAGAACAUGGGUAACUUGGCAGCAUCCUGUGGCCAGAACGUGGGCAUAACUGGGGUGCUCUCCAAGCUACUAGGAUCAUGGAGAUCAUGGGGGAGAAAGUGUCCCACUAUGUCUUGAAAAAUAGGAGUCAUGAGUGAGCCUUGCAGCUCACAUAUUUGUCUAUAAAUAGGCUGCAAAAGCCUUGGUUGUGUAGCAUGCAAUUUAUGUGCAAAGCUCACACACUCUUAUUGUGUAAUCCUUUGUUGAUGAGAUAAAUAAAGGUUGAGAGCUAUUCUUGUAAAGUUUGGUGUGCUUGCUUGUGUUUGUUCUUUGUUUACGACGAGGCGAUUGUAAGAACCUCUUUGAAUGAGCGAAACACAUAAUCGUAGAAAACACGAGUGAAAGGGGAGGCUAGGCUGAGUCUAGUUGGGACUAGACUGCCGCAUUGGGUUGAAUUUGAUUGCGAAAAAUUUAACCCCAUGACAGAUACCAUGAAGAGUCUUUCCUUGUCAGCUCUAACAUUAUCGUCGUUGUUGUUGAUGAUGUUGCUAGUAUAUUUCAUCAUGAACUCAACUGGACUUAAUAUUUGUUUCCAUUAAAUUUUAGAAAAAAAAAAUUUUGAAUCUUUUGCGAAAGGGACAAAACCAUCGAUGUUUACUAUCAACACUCUAAUUUUUUAGAGAAGAAAGACACCAUGAAGAAAUGGAGACCUAUAUUUCUCAGGUACGUGUACAUGCAUAUAGAUCAUAAUGCAUUGUUUUCAACUGUCGCACGUGUGCGGCGGCGCGGCGAUCGUCCACCCUCAAGGAAAAAUUGGAAGAAUAUUUAUUCCUGGAAAAUAGGGAGAGACAAGGAAUUCUUGUCUCUACAAGUGAAAAUAUGGACUGGGAGUCGCCACCUAGUAUUCUGGUUACUAGGAACCUUAACUGGUCUUUAGAGAUCGGGUACGGAGACUAGUUGCGUAAAGGGAAGGUAUUAGCACCCCAACUACGCCCUACCUAAGGUAGGCUGCAUUGUUUUAAUGUCUGAUAAAAUCUAAAAUCAUGUUAUGGUUUUUUAAUUAUUGGUUCGUUUACGGUUUAAGAAAAGUCCUCCUAUGUAAGGAGAUCCUUAUCUUUAUCGGGUAAAAACCUAACUAUUCAAAGUCGUCAAAAGAAAAUAUCUUUUUAAUAUCAGGAAUACGAUUUACGUAUAAAUUCAUAAUCCCUGAUACUAAAAUCAAACAAAAUAAAAUUUUUGUUGUUUUUGAGAUUUUGGUCAAUGUUCUCUUGACUUUAAUAAACUGGUUAUUAAAGCCAAAAUGCAUGCUAAAAUAUUGUUUUUUGACAUAUGAAAAAUAUGAUAUGAGUUUUUAGAUUUGAGACACUUGGCCGUAUGCACAAAAAUAUUUUUUUUUAGUUGUUUUUUUGUAUUUUUGGAAGUUUUUGCCGAAAAUCGGGUAUUUUAAUACCGGAUUUGUAUUUUACGACAUAAAAAUACUGGCCGAUAUUAAUCAAAAUGACAUAAAAACGACGCGGAAAAAUUAUAAAAUGUUCAAACAAAUAUUUUUGAUUUUUUAUGUUGUGUGAACAGUACCGCGGGACGAAAACUGGGUAUUUUAAUACCGGAUUUAUAUUUUUACAAUGUAAAAUACAGAUCGAUAUUAAGCAAAAUUGAUAAAAAAAAAAUGUGCUGAAAAAAAUUGUAAAAAAAAAAUAAAAAAAAUUGAAAUGGGCCGGACCCGGCCCAUUUCAGUGGGCUGGGCCCACCCGACCCAUUUCUAAAUGGGCUGGUUACUGUGCAUAGCCUAUCAUCAGUUGCAGAACGUGAAUUAAUUCACGUUCUGCAUGAAAACAAAAGAAGGCAGAAGGAGAAGGAGACGGGGCAGCGGGAGGUUACCUGCGGUGGCGUCGAGGCGGUGCUGGUGGUGGCAGCGGAGGCGAUGGUGGCGGAGGCACAGUGGUUCUGCGUUUCCCUUCUCUCUCUCUUCUGUUUUUCUUCGUUUUCUUCCCUGCUUCUUCUUCUUCUUCUUCUUCUUCUUCUCUGCCCUCUCUCUUCUCUUCUCUUCUCUCUCGGUUCGUCUCCCUCUUCUCUCUCCAUCGGUCUCCCUUCUGUUUUUCUUCUCUUUUUUUCGGUGCCCCUCCCCUGUUUUUAUAGGCAAAAACAGGGGGGUGGUGUCGUGGUGGGGCGGCCACUGUCGGUCGCCCCUCCACUAUCGACUCAAAAGGAUAAAAAGGAGGAGACAAGUGGGUGAUUGCGGGCGUCUUAUUGCGCCAAAUCCGGGUGGGAAGUCGGUGCGAAAUAGAGGAGAAAAAAAAUCUUUGUCUCCCCUGUUCUCUGUGUGCGCAGGGAAGAAGACGAUGGUGCCGUUUCAAAACGACACCAUUUUGCAUUUUCCUUUUUUAUUUUUUCAAACAGUGCACGAAACGGCGCUGUUUUGGUCAAAACGCGCUGUUUCAUUUAAAAGGAAAAGGCGCCAAAACUUGUCAGAUUCAAAUUCCGGCCCUCCAUUUGCGCGCGUUUUACAAUUUAGUCCUUGGUCUCGGAUUUCUUCAAUUAAGUCUCUAAUUGGCCAUUAAACUUCAAUAUUUAUGCAAUUAAGCCCCUGAUUUGACCAAAUUAACUUCCAAAAAUUUAAAUUUGACCCCAGAAAAUUAAUUUCUCCUAAUUAAAGCCCAAAUUAACUCCAAAAUCAAUUUUUCUUGCAAUUAAAAUCUUUAUAAAUGCAAUUAAACCUUUAAUAAAAUUUAAUUGAGUCCAUAAACUUCUGAUUUUGCAUUUUCUUCCACAAAAUGAAUUUUCUUUAUCAUCGGGGCUCUCAUCAGUCAAUGAUAUACUGUCAAAAAUUAAUUUUUGAUUUUUGAACAUCCUCAAUCAAUUUUUGAGCAUUUUUAGGGCGCUCCGGCAUUUUUUCACUGUUAUAUUUUUUGAUAAUAUAUUUUUUUGAAUUUUUUUGUAUUUUAUUAUUUUUUAUGUGGGGACCCAGAAAUGGGUUACAACAGUUGCCCCCCUCUUUACAAUGCUUACGGAGCAAAGAUUUGUGCAUAGUAAGUGUUGUAAAGAUAAAACAAAAUUGGUUUUCCAAAACGGGUCGUCUCAAACUUUGAUUGACCUAAAACUUCAACCGGACCCAAAGUCCUGUGUGUGGUUGGGCUAAACUGAGAUUCCUUUUGCCAAUCCCCUUUAACCCGAAACUUAAAUAUUAUGUGUGUGUGGUUAGGAUAGACUAAGAUUCCUUUCGGCAAUCCCCUCUAACCAGAACCAAAAUCCUCUGUGGUUGGGAUAGACUGAGAUUCCUUUCGGCAAUCACCUCUAACCUGAACCAAAAUCCUCUGUGUGGUUGGGAUAGACUGAGAUUCCUUUCGGCAAUCCCCUCUAACCAGAACCAAAAUCCUCUGUGUGGUUGGGAUAGACUGAGAUUCCUUUCGGCAAUCCCCUCUAACCAGAACCAAAAUCCUCUGUGUGGUUGGGAUAGAUUGAGAUUCCUUUCGGCAAUCCCCUCUAACCAGAACCAAAAUCCUGUGUGGUUGGGAUAGACUGAGAUUCCUUUCGGCAAUCCCCUCUAACUAGAACCCAAAAACCUGUGUGUGCUUGGGAUAGACUGAGAUUCCUUUCGGCAAUCCCCUUUAACCAGAACCAAAAUCCUGUGUGUGGUUGGGAUAGACUGAGAUUCCUUUCGGCAAUCCCCUCUAACCAGAACCAAAAUCCUGUGUGUGGUUGGGAUAGACUGAGAUUGCUUUCGGCAAUCCCCUCUAACCAGAACCAAAAUCCUGUGUGGUUGGGAUAGACUGAGAUUCCUUUCGGCAAUCCCCUCUAACAAGAACCAAAAUCCUGUGUGUGGUUGGGAUAGACUGAGAUUGCUUUCGGCAAUCCCCUCUAACCAGAACCAAAAUCCUGUGUGGUUGGGAUAGACUGAGAUUCCUUUCGGCAAUCCCCUCUAACAAGAACCAAAAUCCUGUGUGUGGUUGGGAUAGACUGAGAUUGCUUUCGGCAAUCCCCUCUAACCAGAACCAAAAUCCUGUGUGGUUGGGAUAGACUGAGAUUCCUUUCGGCAAUCCCCUCUAACCAUAACCAAAAUCCUGUGUGGUUGGGAUAGACUGAGAUUCCUUUCGGCAAUCCCCUCUAACCAGAACCAAAAUCCUGUGUGUGGUUGGGAUAGACUGAGAUUGCUUUCGGCAAUCCCCUCUAACCAGAACCAAAAUCCUGUGUGGUUGGGAUAGACUGAGAUUCCUUUCGGCAAUCCCCUCUAACCAUAACCAAAAUCCUGUGUGGUUAGGAUAGACUAAGAUUCCUUUCGGCAAUCCCCUCUAACCAGAACCAAAAAUCCUGCGUGUGUAGCUCGGUCAACCUAAAAUCCCAUAUGGAGAUUCCCUGCUACAUGAGAUCCCAUCUGGCAACCUCAUUUAACCAAAACAAAAGAAAAUGUGAAAAAAAAACGGUCUCAUUGUAAUGGGUGACCUACCUAGAUGAAAAAAAGGAAGAGUGGUCGUGUUGUAAUGGGUGACCUACCCACGUGGAGGAAUGGUCUCAUUGUAAUGGGUGGCCUACCAAAAAAAAAACAUGGAGAAAUGGAUGGCGAGGGCUCAAAGGCGCACUCGAAAAGAGGUAGGGUUAGAAAACGCACUACCAAAGGAUGAGGGCUCAAAGGCGCACUCAAAAUAGAGGUGAGGGCUCAAAGGCGCACUCAAAAGGAGGUAGGGUUAGAAAACGCACUACCAAAGGGAUGAGGGCUCAAAGGCGCACUCAAAAGGAGGUAGGGUUAGAAAACGCACUACCCAAGGGAUGAGGGCUCAAAGGCGCACUCAAAAUGGAGGUGAGGGCUCAAAGGCGCACUCAAAAGGAGGUAGGGUUAGAAAACACACUACCCAAGGGAUGAGGGCUCAAAGGCGCACUCAAAAUGGAGGUGAGGGCUCAAAGGCGCACUCAAAAGGAGGUAGGGUUAGAAAACGCACUACCUAAGGGAUGAUGUCGAAACAUUGAUUGUCAAUGUUGAAAAGCAAAUGCAUUAUGAUUGAUAUGCAUGUAUACUUACCUGAGAAAUAUAGGCCCCCAUUUCUUCAUGGUGUCUUUGUUUUCUCUCAAAAGUUGUAGUAUUGGUAGUAAACUUCGAUGGCUUUUCCACGUUUGCUUACUCGGGUUACACAUUGUGAUCUUGACCUCUGGGAAGGGUUUGAUGUCAUCAUACAUCUUUGUCCUUCACCCCUUGAUCUCAAGAGUUACCAAUUUUGCCCGACAUUUUUCUUAGAACAGGAAUCAUGGAGCCAGCCCUACCAUGUGUUUUUGAUUGCCCCCCAGCUUGAUCAUGCCCCCCAAGUGUUCAACUUAGGUUUAGUGUGGGGUGAGGAUAUGUGAAAGUAGGUUUGAGUUUUUUGUACAAUGAAAUGUUUUCAUGCAAAAUAUUUGGAACUUCCAAGUUAUUUCAAAUCACAAAAAUGAUUUUGAUAUUGGUUCAAAAUAAACUUGUUCUCAAAAAUUCAAGCGAUUCCUAUGGACAGGUUUCUUGAAGUGAUAAAAGCUUUUUGCUUUUGGUUUAAAGAUGAAGGUGACAUCUGGUUGGUCACAAAAUGUUUAAAUGUCAAUUUGAGGGUUAUUGAGAACCGAAUUGAUUCAAAACAUUUAUUUUAUUUGCAUGAAUAAUGAUUUGACUCGCACGAGAAAGCACUGCAUACCGAUCCAGAUUGCUUGCCUUUGAUCAAAAAGGGCUUGAUUAGGUACGUAAUGUAGGCUUGAGUUAUUGGUUACAAAGAAAAGGAUAUGUUGCAGGCUCAAAAGGUGUUUAAGGGAUUUCAAGACUAGGGAUCACUUGUGCUCGUUUCCUGACCUUUUGUCUUUUGGAUUUGUUUUUUUUUUUUCAAAUGAGUUCUCCUGCCCCCUAGUGUCGGGUUUGGGCUUUUCUCUUUGUUUUCUUCGUUUUUGUUUGGUUGAGCACAAUCAUAUCAGUUGUUUGUAUAAGAAGCUCAAAUCUUUUAGAUCCUUUAGAUCUUAUUCUUUAACUAAUCAAUGCUUCAUUUAGAUGAUAAUGAAAGAUUAAAAAUUACAUGAUCAAAUCCAGCACCCAUCUUCACUGCUUUGUCUAGAUGGGUAAAAACUCUAUUAUUUUUCCCCCCAGUGUGGGGUGUGAUCCUAGUCAAGGUUAUUUCCAAAAAACAUUACUAGGCUUAAAAUGGGACUGCAACGGAUAUUUUUUUAUCCUUGUGAAAGGAUUAUCAAAGAUGGCAUUUCCUCAUCUCAAACUCAUGCAUUGAGGAUCGAUAGGUCUUGCUUUUGAGUCACCUCAUAGUGUUGUUUAUCUUUGUUGUCUUUUUUUCUUUCAAGUUUUCUAGGUAUAUGUGUACCUAUUUAAGGAAUCACUUGAAAUUUCAAAAUGCAUUUGUUUUGGACAAAUAUCAACACGAUUUUUGUUUUUUUUGUACUCACUUUGGAGGUCCCAAAAAAAUAUCCUUGAAAACAUAUGAGAUUAAUGUAUGGGUUUGGAAGAAAGGAAAACCAAAGGAUUCUUCAUGCUGUAGUGUUGUGAGGAAAGUUGCGCUCAAAAUGUUAUUUACAUGUAAUAACAACAAAGAAGAGUGUAAUGUGAACACAAGAAAACACAUGAUCUUAUUUCACAAGAGAAGCAUAUUAACAGAGAAAGUCUUGUUAAAAAGCAUUAACAAAAGGCAAUAACAAGGCAGGCUUCAUUCCUCUAUUUUGGCGAAUCUGUUCAUAGGCUAACCUCCUCUUAAAAGCUCUGCAUAGAGGACUCAAAGACAAUGCGGAACAACACCAUGGUUAAAAUUUGAGUUCUACAAAAUUCAAGCUAUCAUGCUGGACCAUUGAUGCUUCCCAAAUCCCCAAAACAUUCCAUCCUAAUAUGCUUCAAGCAUGAUUAGGCAGCGGGUUUGUAUUCAUAUUAGGGGUAUCUUCCAAUUUUAUCCACCCAGCCUUAAUUAAUUGCAGAAGCUUUCUCUUGAAGGCGUUGCAGGUAUAGAUGUUAUGCCUAGUAAUACCGGCAUGGUAUUCACAAUUGAGUUCUGGCUUGUACCAAUUAGGAUAAGGUGGUUGCAGAGGUGUUAGAGGUUCUGGAGCUAUUUGCCCGAUGCUCAAUAGCUUUUGAUACAUCUCAUUCAGGGGUAACGGUAGUGGAGGUAAUUGUUCUUGAACCCUUUGGAAAUUUCCAAUUUGGCUUUUGGCUUGAAAGUUUUGGGGUUCAGGUUUUCUGAUGUUGGCAAUUUGGAAUGGAGUAUGGUAAUUUUGGGAUGUAUUUGUUUUGCCCCUGUAGCCAUCUUCAACAUGGUGAACCUCUUUUCUUUUGACGCCUCUUUUCUCGGUUGGUGCAGCAAUUCUACCACUCUUGACACCUUGCUCUAUGCGUUCACACACUAUCACAGCAUCAGUGAAUUGUUGGGCUGAACUACCCAUCAUAUGUUCGUAAUAUGGUGCUUUGAGUGUGUUGGCAAAUAAAGAGACCAUCUUUUUGUCCAGAAGUGGGGGGAUGUACUUGAGCAGCUAAUUCUCGCCAUCUUUGAGCAUAUUCCCUUAUGCUUUCUUUAUCUUUUUUCUCUAUAUUGGACAAACUGGUUCUGUCGGGCGCAAUGUCCAUGUUUUACUUGUAUUGCUUGACGAAAGCAUCCACAAGAUUUUUCCAGUUGGGAAUUUUUGUGUUAUCCAAUCUCAUGUACCAACUCAAAGUUGCCCCACUUAAACUGUCUUGGAAAAAGUGCAUUAGUAGUUUUUCAUCAUGUACUACCUCAGCCAUUUUAUUGCAGUAGGACCUGAGAUGAGUCAUGGGGCAUUGUGUUCCACUGUAUUUGAUGAAUUCAGGAACACGAAAUUUCUUUGGGACAACCACAUUUGGGACCAAACACAUCUCUGCUGCCCGAACCGGGUCAUAUAAGUCUAUCCCUUCAAUGGCUUUAAGUCUGGCUUCCAGCGCCUCUAUCUUAGCUUGAUCAAUGCUAUCAGAUGACUUAGCCUUGUGGGACUCAUUAGCAGAUGCCUUCACUACUGUUGGGGAUGGUGCAGGUGUCGUUGACUGCACAAAUGUUGGAUUUUGCUGAGGUUCUUGACCAUGUUCGCUCAUUCUUUCCUCAAGCUGAACUGUAGUAGGAGCCGGAUCAAAGGUGAUCGGUUGAUUAGAAGGACCUUCAUCAGAGGUAUUUCUUAGUGUUUGCUUGAGUAAGCUAGUGAGGUGAGCCACACUUAUUUUCAGAGACUCCAACUCGUCGUGCAAAUAGGCCUCACAUUGAGCACGCUCUUCAUCUUCCAUGUUUCUUGCUCGAAGUCGGGUGUUGUAGACUUUUUGGGGACCUAUAUUUCAAUCUGCCAUGUAUGCAUGUUAAAUGUAUGAACAUGUAAUUUAUAUGAUAAACUUGCCCUUCGAGGGAUGACAUGAUUUUUUUAUUAUUAUUAUUUUUGUAUGACAUAUUCUGUAAAGAAAGAUAGCGCAUACAAACUAAAGACAGGGUCUAUUCAUGAAUAGGUUUUCUACCUGGUCUCAAAAGGGUCUCAUAUCUGCCUAGUGACGUCCUUCGUAAAGGCAGUAUGAGGGCGUUGCAAAGAACAGUUAAGGCACGUAUGCCCACCAUUACCAAGCAGGCUCUCAGAUAUAAGUUGGGUGUUUCACGCAUCUGAACCCGACCAAUAGUCAUAGGGCAGAUCAUUAAUUCCCCACUUAACUUAAAGGCUUGUGUAUGCUUUGAAAAACAUGUACAGAAAUUAAAGCGUGUAAGAAAAAAAAAUAAAUAAAGGAAAUGCAUAUUUAAAAAUAAACACGCAAACCACAAUAAAAAACACAAUAAUCAGACAAAAACAAAGCUUAGUCCACAAGGUCCCCAGCGGAGUCGCCAUUCUGUCGCACGUGUGCAGCGGCGCGGCGAUCGUCCACCCUCAAGGAAAAAUCGGAAAUAUUUAUUUCUUGCAAAUAGGGAGAGACAAGGAAUUCUUGUCUCUACAAGUGAAAAUAUAGACUGGGAGUCGCCACCUAGUAUUCUGGUUACUAGGAACCUUAACUGGUCUUUAGAGAUCGGGUACGGAGACUGGUUGCGUAAAGGGAAGGUAUUAGCACCCCAACUACGCCCUACCUAAGGUAGGCUGCAUUGUUUUAAUGUCUGAUAAAAUCUAAAAUCAUGUUAUGGUUUUUUAAUUGUUGGUUCGUUUACGGUUUAAGAAAAGUCCUCCUAUGUAAGGAGAUCCUUAUCUUUAUCGGGUAAAAACCUAACUAUUCAAAGUCGUCAAAAGAAAAUAUCUUUUUAAUAUCAGGAAUACGAUUUACGUAUAAAUUCAUAAUCCCUGAUACUAAAAUCAAACAAAAUAAAAUUUUUGUUGUUUUUGAGAUUUUGGCCAAUGUUCUCUUGACUUUAAUAAACUGGUUAUUAAAGCCAAAAUGCAUGCUAAAAUAUUGUUUUUUUGACAUAUGAAAAAUAUGAUAUGAGUUUUUAGAUUUGAGACACUUGGCCGUAUGCACAAAAACAUUUUUUUUAAUCGAUAUUAAGCAAAAUUGAUAAAAAAAAAGGUGCUGAAAAAAAUUGUAAAAAAAAAUAAAAAAAAUUGAAAUGGGCCGGACCCGGCCCAUUUUAGUGGGCUGGGCCAACCCGGCCCAUUACGAAAACUGAGAAGGAGACGGGGCAGCGGGAGGUUACCUGUGGUGGCGUCGAGGCGGUGCUGCUGGUGGCAGCGGAGGCGAUGGUGGUUCUGCGUUUCCCUUCUCUCUCUCUUUUGUUUUUCUUCGUUUUCUUCCCUGCUUCUUCUUCUUCUUCUUCUUCUUCUCUGCCCUCUCUCUUCUCUUCUCUUCUCUUCUCUCUCGGUUCGUCUCCCUCUUCUCUCUCCCUCGGUCUCCCUUUUGUUUUUCUUUUUUUUUCGGUGCCCCUCCCCUGUUUUUAUAGGCAAUGUCGAUCUGAAGAAGGGCGAACCGAUUUGCAGAGAAACAGAUCAAAGAGAAGCAGAUCUGAAAUGAAAAGAAAAAAAUAAAAUAAAAUCGACUGUUUGUGGUGUUUGCUUGGCUUUGCAGGUGACGAUGGUCUUCACCGCCGGUGAGGAGAGGAAGAAGGAGAGAAGCCGAGCUCGACCCACCUCCUGUUUUUCGUUUGAGGCGGCGCGUGAACCCACGCGCCGCCAGUGGCGGUGGAGCGUGGGAGGACGCACCGCCACUAUUCCCGAGCACUGUUUCCGGUGCCCAGAAACCUUCCAGCACUGUUCGGGCUUCCCUACAGUUACUAUAGAUUUUUGGGUUUUUAUUUUGUAAUUUUUGAAAUGUAAUAUUUUUAUUAUAGUAUUGAAUUUUAUUUGUAUUUUGUAAAUAUGGAUGUAAAAGAAAAGAAAAGAAAAGAAAAAGAAAAAAGAAAAGAAACAAAAAUAGUGAAAGUGUAUGUGUGUGUUUGUAUUUGUUUUAUGAAUUUGUUAUUUUGUUUUAUUUAUUUUUUAGGAUAAAAUCGCAAAGGUAAAAGAAGAAUUUAAUAUUUUGAUCGGAUCACGGUUAAGAAUUAUUAACUUAUACGUAAGUGAUAUUUCUAAUUUCCGAUGAAAAGACAAGUAUUAAAACUUCUUUAACACGUCAAAAAUCAUGAAGCAACUUACCUCAGGUAGGGUGCGUUAGGGGUGCUAAUACCUUCCCUAACCACAACCAGUCCCUUACCCGCGAAUCUCUGACAAGACCAGUACAUCCGGUUUCCUAGUAGCCUUCAAUAAAUUACUAGGUGGCGACUCCAACGAACCAAUCAAAGCAACAAACACAACAACGAGAAAAAUCGCUAGCCGAUGCCGCGCGGGAUUUUUAGACGUGCGACAGAAUGGCGACUCCACUGGGGAAGGUACUGUUUCUGACAUUAUUGGACUAAGCUUUGUGUAUUUGAUGUGUUUAAAUUUUUGCAUUUUUAUCUUUUUGUUAAUAUUUUUUUUCCAUGCAUUUUAUAGAAUUGUUUCAUGCAUCACCUGUAUUUAUUUUUGAAAGCACACACAAGCUUCUAGGUUAGGUGGGGAACUAGCGAUCUGCCCUAAGACUAUUGGUCAGGGUUCAGAUGCGUGAAACACCCAACUCAUAUCUGAGUGCCUGCUUGGUAAUGGUGGGUAUACGUGCCUUAACUAUUCCUUGCAACGCCCCCAUACUGUCUUUACGAAGAACGUCACUAGGCAGAUAUGAGACCAGAUAGAAAACCUACCCAUGUUCACAUAAUAAAUAGAACUUGUCCUUAAGUUGUAUGUGCUAUCGUUAUUUGUAUCAGAGCAAACCCUUCUUGAAGCAUCUUGAACUCAAGACUUGUGGGUGACACAUUGGCCGUCACUCCAAAAAUUUUCAUUGUAGAGUUUGGGAAAAAAUCACAAUUUUUGUUCCAUCAUACAAGAGUUACGAACAUAUUGUCACCCCUUGAAGAGCGAGUUCAUCAUAUAGAUUACAUGUUCAUACAUUUAUCAUGCAUGAACCGGGUUGAAAGGUAGGUCCCCUGUACAAGUUGUGCUGCACGUGAUUGAAGAAAGAUGAGGGAAGUGAACAAAGGAGUCAGAUAGAGGCUCAUUAUCAGAUUAAGGUUGAGAGCAUCAAAUUUGAAGUAGCUGGACUCAGAUUUGCCCGAACAAGUGUUGAGCAUCAAAUGGAAAGAGAGUGUCUGCAUAGUCUUCUGUGGGAACACUGCUUGUUCACGACCAAUUGAAGCUGUAUCUCUCCUUUUCCGUCAUGAACAACAACAACAAUGCCUUUAGUCAUCAACUAAUGACAACUCUGGUUCUUGUCCAGUUGCACUGUUAAAUGUUGAUCGCCUCCACAUCAUCUAAUGGAACCAAACAACUACCGGUCUCCUGUACAUGGUGCAUUAGUCUUCUUUGAAGCUACCCCAAUUAUGAGCUCAAUUCCAUUCAGCAGCACAAGAUGUUGGUCUGAAAAACCAUGAUUAGACACUGAACUUCUACGUGGUAGAGCUCUCUCUGUAGAGAUUUAUUUGUGGAUCUGCCAAUGGAAAUGCAAAAGGGAUGUAUUAAAUAUGCUUUGAAACUUUUUCCCAUCAGUGGCACGAGCAAAACAUUAUAGUAGGCAGAGAGUCAGGCCUGAUCUGAAAAUGAGUGGUCGUCGAACUUCAACGUGGCAGAGCUCUCUCUACAAAAAUCUGUUUAUGAUGCUGCAAGUUGAGAGUGCAAGAGGGGAUUUACUAAUUACAUAUGCUACAAAUAUUUGUCUCAACAGUUUCAGCAUGAAGAAACUGUAACAGGUUGAAGAGCCAGACUUGGUUUGAAAAACAUGAGCAUACAUCAAACUUCAAUGUAGCAGAGAUCUCUUGGCAUGAAUCUAUUUGUGGAUAUACAAGUGGGAAAUCCAAGAAGGGAUGCAGUGGUUUCAGAUUGUCCAUAAUUGUUUCCUUCCAAUAUCGGCAUUAAAACGCAAAAGUGGUUAUUUGCUGCACCAUCAGUGAGGAAUCAAAGAGGAAAUAGAAGAUGUUGUAGAUUCAUCGGGUUCUCUUCCAAUUUUGACAAAAGGUGAUUCCACACGCUUUUGUUUUUGUGCGCUGCCGGGAUUACAUAUCUAUUGAGAGGUUUCCAAGAACAACAACAAUAUCAUUGGAAGAUUGACAUGAAGUUGUGUGGAUUGCCAAGAAAGAAUUGAAUAUGUUAUGAAGAGAGGAAAGAUUGAAGGUUUUGUCAUGGAUUUCAGAACAAUGAUGAGAAAUGAAUCAGAAGAUGACUCUGACGGUGGGAAACCUUAAUUAUGUGGUCUAAGCCAAGUCUCGCUGUAUCAUCGACCACUCCAAUGUCUUUGUCAAAGAUAGAAGUUCAUUUGCCAUAUGGUGUAAUCCAGACAACAUAUGCGAUGUGGUGGUGGGGUCCUCGACCAUUUCAAUGGAAUAGUUGCAAGAAUUUCAAUUGCACAGUGGCCAUGUGGGUUUAUUUACCAGAAUUUGCUAGAUUCUAGACUUUUGCUAGACGCCGACAGAUCCCAUGCAACCACCAAUUUCUAGGUGGUAUAAUCCAGAUAAAAGUUGUGAUGUCAUGGUGGGGUCCUCAACCAUUUCAAUUGAACAGUUUCAAGAAUUGAGUCCGAAAGUUGGUGAGCAAGAAACAAGUGGAGUCGGUGAAGGAGGUUGUCAUUGGCUAUAUUGUCCCCCGAACAUCUUCAAAAUGACAUGAUUGAUCGAGAGUGCUUGGCAAAACACAGAUAUAGCCAGAACAACUAAUUCAAGAAUGGUGAUGAACGGCCAAUCAUAUUGUUAUGGAAUUUUGCAUUUUUGUUUUGAGAUCACAUCUCAUCCUUCAACGAAACAUGCCUUGCUUUUGUCUCUUUGUUGUUUUGAAAUCAACAGAUGUUUAACAUUUUUUCUAACAAAAUAUUUUGAUCAAACUCCAACAUGCGAUAAAGGUUAAUCAAUCCUGAAGAUUAAAAGUGUUUUGAUUCCAAAAUGACUUGAUGCUUGUUGAAAUGACAUGAGGUGACCAAACAAAUUUUGAGCUCACAUAAAAUUGAACCACACAUCAUUAACUAAGUUUUAGCAGUAUGCAUAAUGACAUGUAGUGGAUUCGGUAGCUAUGGACUCGUGAAUCAUUGACUCUUAUAAGUCUAAAUCAUUACAAUGGAUGAGGUCAAAAUUUAUCAGUUCUAACCGACCUUGCUUGAAAUGAGAAAAGGCCAUCUUUGUUAUCCUUCCACAUUUCUCGAAAAAUUAUCCUUUGCAGUACCAUUUUGAGCCUGGUGAAAUAUUUUCUUUCAAAAAGAAACCCUGACUAGGAUCACACCCCACACUGGGGGCAAAUGAGAGAUGUUUUGAAGGCAUUGAUAUAAUUAAUGGAUAAAGGGGAAGACUUAGAACAAAAGUCCAAUGAUUGAGAGAGGGCUAAAAGAAACACCUAAACUGGGGGCAUAUAAGAAAAUUUUGAGGAAGGCUAUGAGUUGAAAUUGCCUUCACUUAAAUACAAGUCAAAGAUAAAGGAAGGAGAAUGCCUAUCAAGUCUAGGAAGAGCAAGAGAAAUUUCAAUCAAGAAAAGACACAACAACGUCAUAAUGCAUGUCGCACGUCGAAAAAUUCCGCACGACAUCGACUGGCGAUUUUUUAUUAUUUGUGUUUUGCUUGGUUUGUUGGAGUCACCACCUAGUAUUAUGGUCACUAGGAACCUAAGGUCUGCGAGAAUCUGAGUAAGGGACUGGUUGUGCAAGGGGAAGUCGCAUCACCCCUAGUGCACCCUACCUAAGGCAAGCUGCAUUAUUGUUUGAUUGUUUUUGUAGGUCGAGUUUCUAUUCGCUGGUCUUUUCUAAGGUUCAAGGCAGAUCUCCCCUCGUGAGGAAGUCUCUACCUUAUUCGGUUAAAUCCUAACCAUUCUAAAGUCUUAAUUUUAAAAUUUGCUUUUAUUUACACCUUGUAUUUUUAAUACCCGAGGAUGUACAUUAUCGCGUAAUUUUACACCCCACAAAUAUUAAAGUCUACAUCUGGAUCCUAGAAAAAAAGGUUGGAAAAAGGUUUUUGACAUUUUGGCCAAAUCCUAAUGGACAAUCAUAAUCUGGUUACGAUAUCCAUUUUAAAAAACAUGAAAAAGAUGCAAUUUUUGUUUUUACAAAAAAUAUGCUUGGAAAAAUUUUAGGAUUUGGCCGUAUGCAAUGAAAUAUUUUUUUCUUUUGAAAAUGUUUUUUUUUUUUUUUUUUUGAAAUAUUUCGGAGAAAACCAGGUAUUUUAAUACCGAUUUGUAUUUUACAAUGUAAAUAUACAACGAUAUUGUGCAAAACUUGGUGGAAAAAUAUUUAAGAAAACCACAAAUUUUUAUAUGAUUUUUUGAAUAUUUUUUGAAAUUUUUUUUUUUUUUUUUUUGGGCCGGGCUGGGCCAGAACCGGCCCGGCCCGGCAGUGGCUAAUUAAUUAGCCACUGCAUGCAGAAAUGAAUUCUGCAUGCAGCGGCUACAAGAACGAAGAAAAAAAGGUGGAGCAGGGAGGAGAGAGUUACCUGGCGUGGAGAGAGUCGGCGCCUGGCUGGGGUGCGCGGUUCUGGUGGCGGCGAGGCCGGCGGCGUGCACGGUCCCGGCUGGAAGAAGAAGGAAACGAGUCCUGCAGAGGAGAGGGAAAGCUCACGGCUGGAGCUGUUGGUGUGGCUGAGGAGGGAAAUGCUACCCGGGCUGCUGCUGAUAAGGCAAGCCGCUGGAAAGGGUGGUUGCGCUGCUGUGCUGCUGGGUUGCGGUGGUGGAGAGAAAAAAGUUUUGCAGAGAAAGAGGGGGAGAGAGAGAGGUGUUGCAGGCUUCGGUGAGGUUGCUGAGUGAUGGAUGGGAUGUGGUGUUUCAGGGGAAGGAUGAUGGCGAGAUCAGUGGUGGCAACUAGAGGCCACGGCGGAGAGGAAAAAAAAAGAGAGAGGACUGGUUGCAGGAAAACCGGGCAGGAAAAGCUGAUUUUCGGGCCAACUUUGAGUUCAGUUCUCUCCUCUCUCAGAGCAUUAAAUUGGCCCCUAUUUAUAGGGAUGGAAAGAGGGUAAUCUUGUGUUCAACGGGGAAAAAGUCUCAGCCUUUGAUUCGACUCGAGGAAUCCAAGCCGUUGGUUCAAAGUGUGCACCUCGAACUGCCAAAUUUGGCAAUCCAAGGCUGCAGACUGCCCGAGGGUGCCACUUUGGGCCAAUAAACGGAGUUGUCCCCAAGUUUUUACACCCGACCGGACCACUCUACGAGAUAAAGAUGUUUCAGGGGAACAUGUUGGUGCACGCCUUGUCGGCUUUGGGGGCCAAACGAGUGAGAAAACGCGCCUGGAAAGCAGCCACUCGGGCAGCUUUGUGAGGAAGACGAUGAACAAUACCCGGGCGACGCGUCGACGGGUCCCUUCCCUCCACAAAAACGGCGCCGUUUGGGAUAAAAAUUAGGGAUUCUUGCUGAUUUUCAAUUUAGCCCUCCAGCUUUCAAUUGCUUUCAAUUUGACCCCCGGAUUUUGUCAAUUAGACCCCUAUAGUUUGGCGCCUUUUGCAAGUUGGUCCUUGUCUUUGGAUUUUGUCAAUUUAACCCCUAAUUGACCCCAAAACUUCAAUUUGCUUGCAAUUUGACCCUUGAUUUCAAUCAAUCAACUUGGUAAAAAUUAAAUUUGGUCUCUUAAAAUUCCAAUCUUCUCAAUUAAGCCCAAAUUAAGCUCCCAAACUUAAUUUUUCACCAAUUAAGCCCCAAAUAAAAUUAAUUUGACCCAUUUAAAGUAUAAUUAAGUCCUUGCACUUAAUUAAAUCCUUCAAUUGGACCCAAAUUAAUUCUUAAACAUAAUUAAAAUUCAAUUUGGCCCAUGAUUAAAUCAAAUUGGCCUAUUAAAAAUUUAAUUAUGUCCUUGGACUUAAUUUUCAUGCGAAUUCGUCCAAUAAUCAUUUAAUAUGACCUUGAAUUUGCAUUGUAUUCUUCUAAAAAUUGCAGCUUGAUUUCCCGACCUACCUUCUCCACGUUGUCAGCCUUUAUUUUAUUUUUUGAUUUUUAUUUUGAAAAAAGAAAUUGAUUUUUGGGGAAUAACCCAGAAUUGGGUUAUGACAAUGCAAAUCCUCAUUUCCAUGAUGAAUAACCAACCUUAAUCAUUUGAUAACAUCAUAAUGGUUAUCAAAAGUAAAAAAGACUAAGCUAUAAAAGUGACUUUUGAUAACCAUUAUGAUGUUAUCAGAUGAUUAAGGUUGGUUAUUCAUCAUGGAAAUGAGGAUUUGCAUUAUGACGUUAGUUAUUCAUCAUGGAAAUGUGGAUUUGCAUUAUGACUUAUGUUAAUAGAAGUCUGAUCUUUGAGGUUAACAAGGUUCUAUGUCAUUUCCUCUAUAAAGACAACAAUAGAAAACGAGUUGAUGAAUAAUUGAUGUUGAUCCUAGGUUUUUGAAACCCUCAAACACCUUUUGAGUCUUUGAAAUUCUUUUCUUUCAUAGCCAUAAACCAUAGCCUGCAUUACAUGCUUUUUAAAAGCCCUUUUUAAUCAAGCAAGCAACUUGAACCGAUAAAUGACGCUCUCAAAACUUGAAGAGUUUUUCCAUAAGAGUCGUGGCUUCAUAAAUUAAGUUACUGGUCGUUAUGCAUGUUGAUAAAAUUAUUGCUAAAAAACAAAACAUUUUUCCUUCAUGAAUCCUCAAGUUUUGACUUGAGCCUGUUGUUUUCCUUGAAAUUAACAGAAGGUCACCUCAUCGCAGACCAUCAAAAGAUAUACCUAAAAUCAGAGUUUAAAGUGGACACAAAGAACCAUGGAAAAGACCAUUUUAAUCUUACAACGGGUCGAUUUCUAUUUUCAAAAUACAAGACAAUCGAAGGACUACAUUGAAUGAUGUGUGUUGGGUCUUUGAUCAAAGAAGCUUGAAUUUCAAAAAUACUUUUCAAAAAAAAAACUGAUAUCUCUCUGAUUUCAUCUCAACAACUAGACUUUGAAUAAACAUGAUCUUUGAAAUAUGAGAUUUGAUUCUAGAACAAGAAAGAUUUUCAAACAAGAACAUCGAUGGAGUUUGCAAAAUCCUUGACAAAAAUGACAUCAACAUUUCUCGACACUCCUUGAAACGUUGACCACUUGGGGGCAAUACAAUGGACCUUAGAAAAAAACAAACAACAUUCUGAUCAGCUGGGGGCAAAGAAAGAAUCAGAUGAUGAGUCGUCAAAGUUCAUCAAAGUUAUGUUUAGCAUCUGACAAUGACAAGGAAAAACCUUCUUGAGUAUAAACCGAUGAACGAACCUUCAGAUCAUAUUGGGGGCAAUGUUGUUCAAAGACAAUCCAUGAUCUAGUGCAUUUCAGCAGCAAUUGAUGAGCAACGCUGCACUAGAAUGAUAUUUUCAUAUCUUCAUUUUGGUUUAUCAUCUUCAACAUGGUUAUGACUUUUGAUCGAUGCUAUCACUAGUUGCAUGUGCAUGAAUGCUGGAAGGAUGCACCCACCAAGACUGACUGUGGGACCAUUUGUUUUGAAGCUCAAAUGUACACUUCAUCGCAUGAAUAUGGGUGAUAACAUGAACAUCAUUGAUGAUGCCAAUACAUUUCUUUUCAAGAUCUGAUUAGAUGGAUGAGAAGAACUUUUUGAGGAAAACAUUGAGCUUACAACAAUGAGCCUUUCCCUGCAAAGUAUGAGAUGCAUGUCGGAAUGACGUGGCAGUCCCAUGAUUAUGGAUGACCAUAUAUACUUGAAUGGUGUUUCAACUGGAGGCAGUUUCAGAUUGGUUAACAAUCUUGAUGGGUGUUGGCAUGAUGCACACAAUCAAUCAAAGGAUAAUCCUCGAAAGAAUCUAGGAGAGAAAAUCCUUCAUAAUGAAUCAAGCAGCACCACACUUGGGGGCAGGGUCAAGCUUGAUGAACGAUGCGAGCAAUAAUUGUCGAAGACAGCCCGGGAUGGGCACUGCAUUUACAGCUGAGUGGAUGGCUAGCACAUGAAUGAGCCAAUACAUCGAAAGAAUAAGGAAAGCUUUGGAAUGCAAACAAAGGCACCUUGUGACGAUGAAGCAUCAAAGAGGGGGGAGCCUAUAUUUCAAAUCAGGUAAGGAUGCAUGCAUAUCAUCUAACCUAAAAAAAAAAGAAAAAAAAACAAACCAUUUGCAUAUAUUUUUGAAUUGUUACAGGAAAAUCCUUAAUGAGGUCUAGCAAGAUGGUGGAAAGAGAAAGAAGCAUUGUGGUGAUGAUAAUAAAGAAUCGGUUUUGAUCAUGGAAUAAAAGGAUGAUGGGAUGAACCCUACCAUUAGGAAAAUCCCAAAGAAAUGAAUAGAUCAAUCUUGCAAUCGGGAAGCCUCGAGUUUUCAACCCUUGUAGUCAGGAAAUACCGAUUUUCAAACCCUAUGAUCAGGAAUUAUCAGGAAGCACCAAGUUUUCCAGCCCUUCUUCUGUCAUCCCCUCAGGACUUCGCCAGGUAAGUCCUAUUUUGCACACUUCAUAUUGUUUCUAUUUUGGGUAGGUCACCCAUUACAAUGAGACCACACUUCAUAUUUUUUUUCCAUUUUUGGGUAGGUCACCCAUUAUAAUAAGACCGCACUUCAUAUUCUUUCCAUCUGGGUAGGUCACCCAUCAUAAUGAGACCGUUUUUUUCAUAUUCUUUCCACCUGGGUAGGUCACCCAUUACAAUGAGACCAUUUUUUUUUUACACAUUCUUUUGUUUUGGUUAAAUGAGAUCACCAGAUGGGAUCUCAUGUAGCUUUGGUUAAAGGGAAUCGCAAGAUGGGAUUUCAGGUUAACCGAGUUACACAUAUUUUCGUUCCAGUUGAAUGAGGUCGCCAGAUGGGAUCUCAUGUAGCUUUGGUUAAAGGGAAUCGCCAUAUGGGAUUUCAGGUUAACCGAGUUACACAUAUUUUUGUUCCAGUUGAAUGAGGUCGCCAGAUGGGAUCUCAGGUAGCUUUGGUUAAAGGGAAUCGCUAGAUGGGAUUUCAGGUUAACCGAGUUACACACAGUUUAGUUCCAGUUGAAUGAGGUCGCCAGAUGGGAUCUCAGGUAGCUUUGGUUAAAGGGAAUCACCAGAUGAGAUUUCAGGUUAACCGAGUUACACACAGUUUAGUUCCAGUUGAAUGAGGUCGCCAGAUGGGAUCUCAUGUAGCUUUGGUUAAAGGGAGUCGCCAGAUGGGAUUUCAGGUUAACCGAGUUACGCAUAUUUUGUUCCAAUUGAAUGAGAUCGCCAGAUGGGACCUCAUGUAGCUUUGGUUAAAGGGAAUCGCUAGAUGGGAUUUCAGGUUAACCGAGUUACACAAUAUUUUCGUUCCAGUUGAAUGAGUUCGCUAGAUGGGAUCUCAUUUAGCUUUGGUUAAAGGGAAUCGCUAGAUGGGAUUUCAAUUUAACCGAGCUACACACCAACUUUUGUUCUUGUUAGAUCGCCAGAUGGGAUCUCAGGUAAACCCAAUUAAAAGGGCAGGUCGCCCGGGAAAAUAGACCAAUGUGAGAGUGUGGGCCAAUCGCCCGUGGAAAUAGAUCAGAGUGAGUAUGUGCGGGCAGGUCGCCCGUGAAAAUAGACCAGAGUGAGUAUGGGUGGGCAGGUCACCCGUGAAAAUAGACCAGUGUGAGAGUGUGGGUCGGUCGCCCGUGAAAAUAGACCAGAGUGAGUAUGGGUGGGCAGGUCGCCCGUGAAAAUAGACUAGUGUGAGUGUGUGGGUCGGUCGCCCCUGAAAAUAGACCACUUUGAGUAUGUGUGGGCAGGUCACCUGUGAAAAUAAAUCAGUGUGAGUGUGUGGGCAGGCCGUCCAAGAUAAUGAAAUCAUUUUCCUUUUGUUUUCUUUACAAAGCUUACUAUGCAAAAAAAAAGGAUUUUCGCUUCGUAAGCAUUGUAAAGAGGGGGCAUCUGUUGCUACCCAAAUUUUGACCCAUGUUUUUGAUAUGUUUUUAAAAAAAUUCAAAAAUAGAGAAAAACAAAGAAAAUCCAAAAAAAUAUGUUUUUUUAAUAUAUUUUCGUCAUUUUAGCAUUUUCAACGUCGUCUAAAAAAAGAAUUUAAAUUUUUAAAAAAAUAUUUCCAAACGUGUUCGACUUUUCACGCGUCAUUUUUAAAAUAAUUGAUUUUCCUCAUUGAGUCGGCGUUGAUAUUGCUUGUUUUCAAAAAAAUACAAAAAAAUAAGAAAAAUCAAAAUUUACAAAAAAAAAAGAAGUUGAGGGACCAAGUUGAAAAAACCUAGCAACAUUUUACCUAUAAAUACUGGUUUCCUCAACACAUUCAAAAGGAGGGGGGCAAUUUUGAAAUAUCAGAAAAAGAUACAAAAAAAAAAAAAAAAAACCCUAGGAGCCUAAUUUUUUUCUCCCCUCACGAAGGCAGCCGCCGCCCCCCCCCCCACCUUUUGAUUUUUCUCUUCCCCCUGCAGCCGCUCAACCAAGCCAGCCCCUCACCUUUUUGAAUUUUUCUUCUCCCACAACCGGCAAAACAGCAGCCCCCAGCCGGUUUGAAUUUUCUUCUUCCCCUUAGCAGCCGGAUAACUCACCCCCUCACCUCACACAAACCGGCCGCCAACCACCUCUCCUUUACCCAGAGAAACCCACUGGACACAAGCCUUCUCCAGUUCUCCCCUGGAGCCGCCUCCUCCCCCUUAGCCACGGCCUCCACCGAACUCCAAACUUCCAGCCCGUAGCUGACAGAUCUGCCAUCUUCAACCUGCCGCAGACCGUCCUCUAGUAGCAGCUCCGCCACCCACCAGACCUGCCAAGAGAAGUGAAGACAGAGACCAGCGUCGUCCCCCUUUGCUUUCCCCUCUCAUCGGCCGCCUGCUUCUCCUCCCACGAUCUCUUCAUCUCCAUCGACAACGAAGCCGCCGAACAGACGACAGCAGCAGCAACCCCAACAGCACCGCCCGAAGUAGAGGCUGACCAGGGGCAAAGUCGAUCUGAAGAAGGGCGAACCGAUCUGCAGAGAAACAGAUCAAAGAGAAGCAGAUCUGAAACGAAAAGAAAAAAAUAAAAUAAAACCGAUUGUUUGUGGUGUUUGCUUGGCUUUGCAGGUGACGGUGGUCUUCACCGCCGGUGAGGAGAGGAAGAAGGAGAGAAGCCGAGCUCGACCCACCUCCUUUUUUUUGUUUGCGGCGGCGCGUGAACCCACGCGCCGCCAGUGGUGGUGGCGCGUGGGAGGACGCGCCACCACUGUUCCCGAGCACUGUUUCCGGUGCCCAGAAACCUUCUAGCACUGUUCGGGCUUCCCUGUAGUUAUUGUAGAUUUUUGGGUUUUUAUUUUGUAAUUUUUAAAAUGUAAUAUUUUUAUUUUAGUAUUGAAUUUUAUUUGUAUUUUGUAAAUAUGGAUGUAAAAGAAAAGAAAAGAAAAGAAAAAGAAAAAAGAAAAGAAACAAAAAUAGUGAAAGUGUAUGUGUGUGUUUGUAUUUGUUUUAUGAAUUUGUUAUUUUGUUUUAUUUAUUUAUUAGGAUAAAAUCGCAAAGGUAAAAGAAGAAUUUAAUAUUUUGAUCGGAUCACGCUUAAGAAUUAUUAACUUAUACAUAAGUGAUAUUUCUAAUUUUCGAUGAAAAGACAAUUAUUAAAACUAGGUGGCGACUCCAACGACCAAUCAUAGCAACAAACACAACAACGAGAAAAAUCGCCAGCCGAUGCCGCGCGGGAUUUUCAGACGUGCGACAAACCGAGCUGCACAUAUUUUUUUAUUUUGGUUUAAUGAGGUCGCCAGAUGGGAUCUCAUGUAGCUUUGGUUAAAGGGGAUUGCCAGAUGGGAUUUCAGGUUAACCGAGCUACAUAUAUUUUUUGGUUUUGGUUUAAUGAGGUUGCUAGAUGGGAUCUAAAGUAGCUUUGGUGAAAGGGAAUCGCCAGAUGGGAUUUCAGGUUGACCGAGCUACCCAUAUUUUUUAGUUCUAGUUUAAUGAGGUCACCAGAUGGGAUCUCAGGUGGCUUUGGUUAAAGGGAAUCGCCCGAUGAGAUUUCAGGUUGAUCGAGCUCCACGUAUUUUUUUUAGUUCCAGUUGAAUGAGGUCGCUAGAUGGGAUCUCAUGUGGCUUUGGUUAAAAGGAAUUGCUAGAUGGGAUUUCAGGUUGACCGAGCUACACACAUUCUUUGGUUUUGGUAAAGGAGGUCGCCAGAUGGGAUUCAGGUUAACGGAAAAGAGAGAGAGAGAGAGAGAGAGAGAGAGAGAGAGAGAAAAGACAAGAAAAAGAAACAGGAAAAAAAAAGAGAGUAAGGUCUUUAGAUGAAUGGAUAUUGAGCAAGUUAAGCAGACGGAAAGAUAAGUUUUCUUUACAAAGCUUACUAUGCAAAACAUUGAGGAGUUUUGCUUCGUAAGCAUUGUAAAGAGGGGGCAUCUGUUGCUACCCAAUUUUUUACCCGUGUUUUGAUAAAUUUUCAGAAAAAAAAUCCAAAAAUAGCGAAAAACAUCGAAAAUCCAAAAAAAUAUGUUUUUUAAUAUAUUUUUAUUAUUUUAGCAUUUUCAACGUUGUCUAAAAUGAAUGUAAAUUUUUAAGGGUCUUUCGAACGCGUUCGACUUUUCACGCGUUAUUUUUAAAAUCAUUGAUUUUCCUCAUCAAGUCGACAUUGAUAUUGCUCUUUUUAAAAAAAUACAAAAAAAAUAAGAAAAAAUCAAAAUUUACAAAAAAAAAAGUUGAGGGACCAAGUUUGGAAACCUAGCAAUAUAUUUAUCUAUAAAUAAGAGUUUCCAACACUUGCACAUGGGUGGUAAUUUUGAAUGAAAAAUACAAAAAGAAAAAAAAGAAAACCUAUCUAACCCAAACAUUCACCCCCCACCCGGCUUUGAUUUUUUCUCUGAAACCAGCCGCCCCACUCCCAUUCACAGAUACAAACUAGCCGGCGGCGCCCCCCCUGGAUUUGGUUUCUUCUUCCUUCAGCCAGAGGUCCCCAGUUUCCUUCCCCUGCCAUCUCACCCUCAACCCACUCUCCCAAAACCGGAGCAGCCACUCCGUUCCCCCAAGCCACAUAUCUUUCCUCUCUCACCUGAACACCCACCAGAACCACAAAAGCCAGCCCUCGCCCACUUCCCCUCUCAACCGAACCGUUUCCCCCGUCUCCAUCGACCAGCCUUCCAGAGGCUGCCAUAAAGAGUCUUUCCUUGUCAACUCUAACAUUGUCGUCGUUAUUGUUGACGAUGAUGCUGCUCAACACAAAACGUUGCGGUGCUAGUAUUUCACUGCUGGAAAUGGACGAUGACGUCCCCUUGUACUCCAUAGCUGAUUCCAACUUAGAUUUGGAGUUCAUGAUGGAUUCCGAAAUUAAACAGGAUUCUCCUUGGCUCUCGUCGUGUUGGAGAUGGUGCUCUCAAUCCAGAUAAACAAGCAUUUGGUUGCAGGCGAGAUAAUCGAUAUGCGUGCCUAAAGAUUCUAAUAAUAUGUAAGCUGCGUAUAUUAGAAAUAUUAUUUAAAAAUAAAUAUUUUUAUUUUUAAAAAUAAAAUUUAUCUAUACAAAGAUUAAAAAAUAUAUAUAGAUAAAUCAGAAAAAUUAACCUCCUCAAAAAUUAAAUGUAUAAUUCAAAAAUAACUGUUAUUUCAAAGAGGCUCUCUAAAUAACAUAAAAAAAAGAGGUAUUAAUCUAAAAAUAAAUAAAAUACAUAUAAAAAAUACAUAUAAAAAAGAAUUAAUUUUUAAAAAAAAAACACAAAAAAUAAAAACAAAAACAAAAACAAAAAAAAGGCACUGUUGCACCUAGCAAGCCAGGUAAGCCUGCUUGGCUUAUUUUGUUAGGUUCCAUGCAUGUUGAAAUUUUUUUUUGUUGCAAAUUGUUUAUGAAAAAAAAUAAGAUGAUGCAUCACCUGUGGGAUAUUUUUUCUCUCUUACAAAAACAGUAUACAUGCAUGCUUUUUCGAUGCAUUUUUUACAUAAAAAAAUUAAAAUUUUAAAUUAAAAAGCUAAUGCAUACAUGUAAUCAAAUAAAUCAACAACUAAAUGAAUUAACAAUCGUAAAAAAAAGGUAUUGAUGAUACCUAAAAAUAAAAUUAGAAGAUUCAGAUGUGUUAAUAAACGAAAUAUUUACCCGGAUGUGUUUUUUGAAUUUGUUUAUUAAAAUUAAUAUUUUUAUUCAAUCAAAUAAUAUUAAAAAUAAACACAUAUAUUAAAUUUAUUAAAUAAAAUAAAAGUGAAAAAAAAAAAUUAUGCAAGGCUAUACAUAUUAUGUUAUCCUUAAAUAAAUAUUUUAUAUUUUUAAAAUAAAAUUCUUUUAUACAAAAAGAUAAAAGAAAAAAUUGUUGAUUAAUUAGAAUGAGUUUUUCAAAAAUUAAAUACGAACAACACUAUAAAAAAAUAAUCUCUAUCCAAAAAAAAAAAUCAACAAAAAAAAACCCACAAAUGAGGGAUAUUAAUUAAAACAUAAAUUCUAAAAAAUAUUUAAAAAAAGACACAUAAAAAAUACCAAUAGAAAAAAAUAAUAACAUAAAAAAAAAAUUGUUUGGUUGUUGUGCCUUAACUCGUUAGACUCAUGACCUAAACAAUAAAUUUAACUCAAUUAGGUUCAAUAGUUUUUCCCUUUAAAUAUAUAAUCAACUUGUAACAUAAAAAAAUUAAACCCGUGACCCGGAUCAUAAACUCAACCGGGCUUAAUAUUUUUUUCUAUUAAAUUUUAGAAAAAAAAUAAACCCUUUACCCAGACCAUAAACUCAAUUGGAUUUAAUAAAUUGUUUUCCUUUAAGUUUAUAUUCUACCUCUAAAAAAAAAUUAAAAACAUAAAACACGAUUAAAAAAAAAUUUAUAUCCAAAAUAAAUAAAAAAAUAAAAAAAAAUCACAGAUAAGUGAUAUUAAUUGAAACAUAAAUUUAAAUUAUUUAAAAACAUAUAUUUAUAUAUAAAAAAGACACCAAUAAAAAAAGGUAAUAUUAAAAAAAAAUCCAAUUAUUAUGGCUUAACUCAUUAAAUCCAUGUUUGAAUUUAUAAACUUGAAUUCAAUAUUUUUUCUUUUGAAUUUAUAUUUAACUUUUAAAAAAAAAAAAAUAAAUAAACACGUGAUCCGGAUCUACAUCUGAAACAGGUAAAGUAUAGUGCUGUUGAUCCACGCUAGCAUGGAAUUGAUCUCUUGUGAUGUCAUUUAAUUAAUUUCAUGUAUAGGAAAAUAUGAGCUAACCAGUCAAGCUUUGCCACAUUCCUCACCUUUCUUAGCUGCUUGCUUGUAUAUUUGAUUAGAUAGACAGCAUUAAGAAGAGCUAGCUAAAACUAAGAGGGAUCCGAUGAAGAGCCUUUCCUUUUCAGCUCUAACAUUGUCGUCGUUGUUGUUGACGAUGAUGCUGCUCAACACAAAAAGUUGCGGUGCUAGUAUUUCACUGCCGGAAAUGGAGGGUGACGUCCCCUUGUACUCCAUAGCUGAUUCCAACUUAGAUUUGGAGUUCAUGAUGGAUUCUGAAAUUAACAGGAUUCUUAUUACGAUGCUGUCAACAAAAAUUUUCACAUUUUGAUCAACAAAAAUUAACAGGACUCUUCUGUUUAUCUACAUUCAUCAUAAAAAAUAAAAAUAUCUAACCCGUACGUAGCGACGUAUAUUAAUAGCUGAUCUAGAACACUGUUUAGAACCUUUCGUUUUAGAGCACACUAGUUAAAUGACCCGCGCGAUGCCGCGGGUCAAUUAUUUUUUACAUUUAAAAAAAAAACUAAGAUUUAAAAUUGUUAGGUUUUUUUAUAAAGUUAUACUCAAGAGUUUUAUGUUUAGUUGCAACACCUAACCCAAUAGUAACAUCUAUGAUAUUAAUAAUAAUAUUAAAUUUGCAUGACCCAAAUUUAAGUGGAUUUGGCUGCAAUAUCAGACCCAAUAGUAUUGGAUGUGGGUCUGGUUGCAAGGUCGUAUGAUAAAAGUGUAAUAAUUAAAUUGAUUAAUUAAAAAUAAAAAAACAAAGAAAAAAAACCAAUAGGAAAAAAAAACUAAUGAAGAAAAAGAAAAAAAAUAUGAAUUAACUGGGUUAAACCGUCAAACCUUAGAUUCGCGUCGUAAAAGUUUGAUAACUAAACAGAAAAAAAAAAUUAAUGGGUUAACCCAGAAUUAAUUGGGCUAACUCGUCAAACCAGGUUAACCCGUCAAACCCGGAAUCCGUGUCAUGAAAGUUUGAUAACUAAAUAGUAAAAAAUUUAACAUUAACAGUUUAUUAAACAAAAAAAAUUAAUUAAAAUAAAAAAAUAAAAGACAUCAGCCUUUUCAUUGUGGACUGCACUAUGUAGUCCAUAGUUAAAGACAUAAAAAAAAAAAAAAACUAAAGGCAUCAGCCGAGAACUACAUAGAAAAAAAUUUGAUAUAAAUUAAAUAAAAUUAAUUAAAAAUAAAAAAAACCUCUAUGAAGUAAAAAAAAAAUAGAAAGAAAUUUAACAUUAACAAACUAAACGAAACGAAAAAAAAUAAUUAAAAAAAAAGCAAAAAAAAAAUUCAAGUUAACUCGUCAAACCAGGUUAACCCAUUAAACCCGGGAUCUUUGUCAUGAAUGUCUGAUAACUAAAUAAAAAAAGUGAACGUUAACAAAUUGAACUAAAUGAAAAAAAAUAAUUAAAUAGAAAAAAUCUGAGUUAACUCGUCAAAUCAUGUUAACUCGUUAAACUCAGGAUCUGUGUCAUGAAAGUAUGAUAACUAAAUAAAAAAAAUUAAUAUUAACACACUAAAUUAACUAAAAAAAAUUAUGAAAAUAAAAAAAUAAAAAAAUUGACAGGUCAACCUAGAAUUAACUGGGUUCAUUCGUGAAACCAGGUUAACCCGUUAAACUCAAAAUAUGUGUCAUGAACGCCAGAUAACUAAAUAGAAAUAAAUUUAAUAUUAACAAACUAAACUAAACAAAAUAAAGUAAUUAAAAGGAUAAAAAAAAGUAAAAAAAAUCUGAAUUAACUUGUCAAAACAGAUUAACCCGUUAAAUUCGAAAACGUUUAAUGAAAGUUUAAUAACUAAAUAAAAUAAAUUAAAUAUUAAUAAAGUAAAUUAAUCAAAAAAAAUUUAAAAAGAUAAAAAAAAAAAGCAAAAAAAAAUAAUCCCAAAAUGCAUAAAAAAAUAACACAACUUAAAAAAAAAAAAAAAAAAACUUGUUUUCUUCUACGAAACCCUCACCGCCUAUCCCUAUACUACGUUAACCUAACUGGAGUUAGCGUGGGCCGGAUCAAAGUACCAAUUCCCUCUGAACAACUUGUUUUUGACCCAAAUACCAGAGCAGGGACCAUAAUCGACUCCGGUACAGUCAUAACCCGAUUUGUCCAACCCGUUUACUUUGCCACAGUAAACGUAAGGCCUAGGGAUCAGUGUUUUACUGUGGACUGCACUGUGCAGUCCACAGUAAAACACUGAUCCCUUUUAGUAUAUGUUACAAUUACAAUUACAGUGCCUUUCGUUUUGUCAAGAGAAAUUAAUUGUAUAGUGCUGUUGAUCCACUCAAUUAGAGCAUGAAAGGGAUCUCUCGUGAUGUCAUUUUUUAUGUAUGAGCUAACCAAUCCAGCGUUGCCACAUUCCUCGAUCAUCUUAUCACCUUCAACACCGCCGAUCACUGCCACCCUAUCCCAUAUAUACAGAGUUAGCUGCUCGCUUUUAUCAUAGAUUAGCAUUGAAAGAGCUAGCGAAACAUAAGAGAGAUACUAUGAAGAGUCUUUCCUUGUCCGCUCUAACAUUGUCGUUGUUGUUGACGAUGAUACUGCUCAACACAAAAAGUUGCGGUGCUAGUAUUUCACUGCCGGAAAUGGAGGGUGACGUCCCCUCCUACUCCAUAGCUGAUUCCAUCUUAGAUUUGGAGUUCAUGAUGGAUUCUGAAAUUAACAGGAUUCUUAAUGCCGACUCUCUCAGGAAAGCAUAAGAUGCUGUCCACAAGAAGGGAGCAGUGUUUGGUGACGGCCCACAUCGAUACAGCUUGUUUCGUUGCGGCCGAGGCAACCGAUAUUGCGUUCCUCAUGGUCGUUUUAAAGAGAACUGCAUGUCGGUGUACAAACGCACCUGCUAGUUUCAUUAAUCUACUAGCAGUUAUUCCAUGCCCAUGCGUGAUGGAGGGAGGUCUCUCUCUAAUAUGUACUCUUUUUUUUAGGGAGUUUGUUAAAUUCCCUUACUACUACUGUUAUUAUUAUCUGUUGGAUCGAGUGGGUCUUGUAUUGAACCAUUUAACUCUCAUGCUAGAAUAAAUUCGCGUUAAACUUUAAAUUACGUUAAUUGUGGUCGAGAAUUCAAUCUCGUACCCCUUGUUAUAUAUAUAUAUAUAUAUAUAUGGAUAAGGUUUUGGUUUUGAAUUUCUUUAAUUUUGUCUUUAACUAACCCUUAAACUUUGAUUUGCUUGCAAUUUCACCCCUGAUUUCAUCCGAUUAAUCUUGUAAAAAUUAAGUCUGGUCUUUCAAAAUUUCAAUCUUUUCAAUUAAGCUUUCAAACUUAGUUUUUCAUUAAUUAAGUCCUCGGUAAAAUUAAGUUGACCUAUUAAAAGUUUAAUUAAGUCCUUGCACUUAAUUAAUUCUUUUAAUUUUGAUCUAACUUAAUUUAUAAACUUAAUUCAACAUUUAAUUAGACCUAUGAUUAAAUCAAAUUAACUUAAUAAAAAUCUAAUUAGGUUCUUAGACCUAAUUUUUAUGUAAAUGUUUCCAAUAUUCAUUUAAGUUAGCCUUGAAUUUGCAUUACUUUUCAUAUUUAGAUCUUUAAAGGGUGCAAUUGAGUUUCUAAAAAGUUUCAAAGAUCCAGUUUGGUCCCUCCAUCUCUUAUGUAUACAUGUAGAUCCCUCUUUUUUAUAUUUGUAUAAAAUAAAAGAUAAUUUUGUUUUUAUGCCAGAUUCAGUUCUUAUUUUUUUAUUGUUAUUUUGUUUUGUUUUUCUAAUUUUAGAUUAUUAGAGAUUUUGCUUGGUAUUUUUUAGAGUUUCCAUUCUAUGGUUUAAUCCUAGUCUCAUGACUCAGGUCACUAGUUUUGAAGAUUAGCUCGAUUUAAUUUUGAUAUUUUUUAUGUGCUUUUCUUAAAAUUAAUUAUUUUCCAAUUUUAUCAUUUAACUUUAGGAUAUUGGGCUUUGAGUUUCAUGGUUGUUUUCAUUUUAUUUUUUUAUGGAGUUAUCUUGAUCUCUUAUCCUAGGUCAUAGGUUUGUUGGGUGAACCCAGGUUCAUUCGAGUUUUUUUUCUUAUUUAUUUAUUUUUAUGUUAUCCUUUGACAUUAAGUUAUUGAGUCUUGAGCUUCGUUAUAUUUUCCACUUUCCUUUAUGUGGGUUUCUCUCUAUCUCAUAUCACAGGUCUUAGUCUUUUUAUGAUUUUUUUUAUUCUUUUUUAUUUCAUCAUUUGAAAUUAUAUUAUUGGACCUUGAGAUUUAUGAUUUUUUUUUCAUUUUUCUUUCUAUAGGGUUAUCCUAGGUCGCAGGUUUGUCAAGUUAACACAAGUUGACUUUGGUUUUUUUUUCAAUAUUCCUUUUAUUUUACUUUGGUUUUUAUUUUUCUAUCCCAAUCACAUUUUACGAGUUGCGAGUUAGCCAAGUGAACCUCGGCUGACUCAAUUUGUUUUUUUUAAAUGAUUUGUUAUUUCAAUUUAAUUCUUUGGCAUUAGAUUGUUGGGCUAUCAUCUUAGUGAUUUUUUCACUUUUCUUUAUAUAUGGUUGACCAGACUCACAAGUUUGUCAAGUUAACUCGGGUGGACUUAAUUGUUUUCUUGGCAUUUUAUUUAUUGAUUUAACUUUGGUCCCUUUUUAAGUUUUUUUAAAUUAUUUUUUUAUUAUGAUCUCAUGUCGAGGGUAGCGGGUAUUUGGGUGAGCCCAGGCUGACUCGUGGACGUUUCUAUUUUUGAAUUUUAUUUUUUGAGUUUCAUCUUUUGACAUUAGAUUACGAGGCCUUGAGUUUUAUUUUUUUUUUCGUUUCUUUUCUAUAGCAUUAUCCUAAACUUUUAUCAUGGAUCAUGGGUUAGUCAAGUUAACCAAACUUGACUUCGAUUAUCAUUGCCUGAUUUUUUUUUUUUUCAUAUGUGAUGUAACGUAGGUCACCGUACUAGUAAAAUAAAAGAAAGAAAUGAGUACCAAAUUCUUUUAUUUGUCAUGCAUAUAUAUAUAUAUAUUGGAGAACAUAUUGAUGAUUGACACGACCAAAAGAUUGAUGUCUUCUUCCAAGUGCAGGAGUAUCGAAGUAAUAAAUAACCCGACAAGACUGGGAUCGAACCACAAGGAGGUUAACAAUAUAAAUUAUAAAUAACAACAACAACAAUAACAAUAAUAAUAAGAUAAAGAGAGCUUUGGAAUGUGAUAUUGAUGUAAGGAUUAAACAAGCAUAAAAUAAUUGUCAAGGUUAGAGGAUCCACUAAUGGUACUUCAAACAAGUAUAAUAUAAAUUCUUUUUAUUACUCAACUGGAAACCACACACAAAGGAGGCUCCAAUCGGAUUGUAAAUUGUUAACAUGAUUACAUUAGUUAUCUUAUUCGAAUAAUGCUAAUACUUGUAAAUCUUGUCAAGCAUUCAUGAUUAUAACUUAUGUUAACAACAAAUCAAGUUUCUUUCAUAGCUCAAGUGCCGGUUAUACCAUACAGUAUGGGCUAUGAAAGUGCCAAGUAUUUGUUGUACCAAGUGUUAUACAACAUAAAUCUAGAUUAACCAUUUAACAAGCAAAGUAUUAAAAGUAAACAAGAUAACAAAUAUAAAACAUGUUAGUAUCCAACAUUAAGGUCCAUGUUAAGUUUAUAUUAUACUUAUUCUUACACCAUUAGUGUACCCUUUUCACCUUGACAUAAUUAACUUAGCUAAACAUAAUGAAAGAAAGAAACAUAAAUAAACAAGAUAAGAACAUAAAUGAGAAGAACAUAAAUGAGAAAGGAGUUAACUAAACAAAGGAAAGGAAAUGAAGUGCAUAAACUUCAUAUUAAUGAAAGCAAAACAUAAGCAAUACAAAGAGAGAAAGCAAGAGCAUGAUCUUGAUCUGGAAAACCAAGAUGCCUAAAUGCAUGGCAAAUGCCUCCUUUUAUAGGCCAAAAUUUGGAACUAUUGAUUUGAUGAAUAAUUGUUGAGUGGGUGGCCACAUCUUGACUUGGUGAAAAUCCUUAUCUUCUUGUCUGAAUAAAACGUCAUUGCUAACAUCAGAACUGGAACCAUAUGAAAUCAUGAAAGUUCCAGGAAAUUCUCUUAGCUUUCCAAGAAAAAAAAGAUGAGGUCAUUUGGACUUCUAGAACUCAAGAUAUAGCCUGAACACUGAACAGUGUCUGGGCUGCAGGACAGCUUCGGACUUCUCCGUUGUUGCUAUAAUUUGGACUUAAAAACGGCAUUCUUAGAUCUUGAUGUUCACAUGAAAGUUGUAGACCUAUGUCUCACCAAAUCUGUGUAAAAAUUUGAAAUCAUUUGGACAUCUAGAACUCGAGAUAUGAACCAAAUACCGAAUAGUAUUCCAGUUUGGACUGCACCAACAUCUCUUUUCUAAGCUUCACCCUUCUUUAUCUUCAAAUUUUAGUAGUUGAAUUCAUCAAUCAAUCCUUUGAUUUAUGUGAUAAGCCUGCAUUUAAGAUGAACAUUUACCAUAUAUUAAGGCAUUUUAUAGUAUCACACUUGUUAUUAUAAAACAUACUUUAGUUAAGGAGUUAUUGAUACUUCAAGUGCAAAAUGAUGAUAUAAAACCUUAAUAAACAUGCACUUUUAAGUACUAAUCAAUGAUUAAUAAAAGUAUAAAAUUAGAUUAAUUUAAGUAUUAUUAUUUUAGUUAUAUAAAUAUUACAUAAAUUUUGAUGUCAUUCAUCCACUCCAAAAAAAAAAAACCUAAAAUCUUGGAAGAGAUUAGAAAGGGAGAUAUACAGAGGAGAGGAGAUUAAUCAAAUACUUUGAAAGUGAUCCAAACGAUUGAUGUAAUCGAAUUUGUUGUAAUUAAUAAAGGUUAUGAGCAUUCAGAUCAAUAUAAUAUAUAAUUAAAUUAAAAUUUUAUAUAACUAGAUAGAGAUUUGAACUAAAUACACAAUAUCGAAGGCCUUACAUAUGCUUUUAUGAACCAGUAAGACACGUCUAGAUUUAAGAGGUUUUAUCGCGUUAAAUUGGAUUAACACAUUAAAACUGCAUCUCUUAUCAUAUUGUUGAAUCUUUUAGGAUUAGGAAUCAAGCCUGGAUGUUGUUGUUUGGGUCAAUUUUGUUAUUUUUAAUUUAUUAUUUAAUUUGAUUUUUUAUUUUAAUUUCCUUUGUGCUUUUGGAUUUCUAGUUUUUUUUAAUCUAUGUAUAAGUCUUGUAAACAUCUAAAAAAACAGACUUUAUUGGUUUUAUUUUCAUAUAAAUAAAUUAUAAAUUUAUGCUUCAUAUCUUGAUUCUUUUUCCAAGAUUAAAUUUAUUCUUAUAGUUCUUGCCUGCGUCAACCAUGCUUCGAGUUGGCUAAUUAUUAUUAUUUAUUUCAUAUUAAGUAUAAACAGGUAGUGAAAGGGAAAUUAAGAAUUAUGCAGAAUUGAACAAAAAAAUUAACAUAAGUCAAUUUUUAAAAUAGGAUGCCCACUCCGGCGUGAAAAAUGGAAUAUUAAAGGCAUAUACAUGUUGAUGUUGUUGGCAAAGUUCCAAGCCUUUGGCAAAGUUCAUGGUAUUGUACUUUAUUAUCAAACAAGUAGAUAGAUGAGGAUGAUUUUCGUUAAAAACUCAUUCUAUAAAACUGGGAAAAACAAUUACGAUGCUUAUUUCUUGCAUUGUAACAAAUAUUAUUUUAAAGGAUCCAUAUUUCAAUGUUAUGAUUUUUUACUACUGAAUGAAAAUAUUGAUCUAUUAAUACUAAAUAAACAUAAAGUGAAAACGUUAUUUAUUUUCAAUCAUCAUAAUUAAUAUUCUUUAUCCAACCAGAACCAAAUAUUAAAAAAGAGAAAAAUCAUUGUGAGGGAUAGUAACAAAAGUCAACAUGCAACCAUAAUUUCAAGAUAUUACAAAAUAAUAAUAAAAAAAAAGCUUGGUUUUUCACUAUGCAUACACUCAUAUUUCAUCAUUGUAAAACUAUUAUUUUUCUCUUAAGAGAAAAACUCAUUCUCUAGGUAUAUUAGAUUUAUUAGUUAUUAUCAUUUUGAAUGGGUGUAAGCAAGUUUUUUUACAUGUCAAAUGAAUAGUGUAAUAGCUUACAUACCCUUAAAAGUAUAUAAAAAAAAAAUCAGGAGAAGGAAUUUCUAGUCUUUUUGCACUUUGAAUGCAUAGUGAAAGAACCAUUUUGUCUUUGUAAGAGAACUCAUGUUUAGGGGCACUUAAGGCCUUUUCAACAUGGUUAUUUUAUAUAUAUAUAUAUAUAUAUAUAUAUAUAUCUUUUUGGAUGGGAGGAAAUUAAGUUUUGAGCAUAUAUAAAAUUAAUUUUAAAAAAGGUGAUUGGUGUAUGUCAUGCACGUUCCAGCAAUUAAGAGACAUUCACGUUUUUUAAACGACGCGUGUAGCACUUCCAAUAAUCAAAUGUUGUUGUCCGUUACAGUAACUGAAGCAGAGCAUCAUUCUUUUUGCAAUGGUAGGGCACAUGUUCAUGAUGGAAAUGAGGGCUCCAAUGAAUUUUAUUUUUUAUCCUCUCUCUUUUCUUUUUCCUAACCUCAAAGGUCAAAGGCAACAAAUUGAUUCGCAGAACUGGAAGGCCAGAAGUUUAAGCCCCAUGGAGGGACCAUCAAGGGCAGCUAAAUCUUCCUUGGAAUGUGGCUUUUCUUUUACUUGCAGUCGACAAACAAGUGAAUUUAUGUCUGUCACAAUGAAAAUAAAUGCAUUGCUGAUUGAAACCAGAGAGAACGAAACUUUCCCAAUUAUUCUCAAAAAAGUUGAAUUUACCCAAAUCAGUACAAACAAAAAUAUUUUGUUUCAUACAUAUGACCAAAUACUAAAAUGUUUUCCAUGCAUAUUUUCAUUAAAAUUUUUGGUUUUUUCUCAUGUUUUAAAAUGUAAAUUGGAUAUUGUAACCAGUUUAUGAUUAUCUAUUAGGAUUUAGCCAACAUGUCAAAAUUAGCCUCCUUACAAAUCAUUUUUUUUAGGGAUUUUGAUGUAGAAUUUAGUAUCUGAAAGUGUAAAACUGUACAGUAAAGUACACUCUCAAGAACUAAAGAUACAAGGUGUAAAAUAAAUGCGAUAUUAAAAUUUUAAAUUUUAAAAUGAUUAGAAUUUAAGCUCAUAAAAUAAAGAUACAAGGUGUGGAGACUAAAUUACACAUUUUUAGUAUCCUAUGUUCAUAGUGAUAAGAGUGGUGAUGUUGCGGCUGAGUGGCCAACUAACAUGAAAAAUUGGUUCCAGUUAAUGCUGAAUAUGCAGAGUACUGCAAUAAAAUCAUUCUAUCAGACACACUAAUUAUCACUACCAAAAUUAUUCAAACAAGGAACGCAUAUAUAUGCAUCGAUAGGUAUUUCAGCUAGAAACCUUUGUCUUGAGGCCUAUACUAACGCAGCAUGCUAACUAGCUUGCUUCUCAUCGCCCCUUUGGGUUCAUGAUCUCGGAGAACACAGCACCAGACAUCAUUUUCUCCGACUCGUUGCUUAGAAAACUUUGUCCGUCGCUGCUGCUUGUUGUUGCCAUUUCCAAAAUGCGGGAAUUCACAACUAGUUCACUGCCAGUACUAAACAAAUCACUGCUGUCAUCGAUUGAGGAGCCUUUCAGAGGAGUCUCCAUGUCAACUUCUUUCUCAGUUUGAGCCACUUUGACAUUCUCUUCCGCGCUCUCUUGCAGUUGUAAUGCAAACUCAAGGCCCCAAACCACAUCCGUCAUCGAUGGCCUUUCGAUUCCAUUCUCGAGCAAGCAUCUCACUGCAACAUCAACAAAGUUUUUCAGACAAUCUGGUGAGAUCUUUCCAUCCAGAUACGGAUCAAUGAUUUCAUUAAUCGUUCCGUUGCUGUGGCUUUGUCUAGCCAACUCUGCUAGACUUGCUGGCACUGCUGAUCGGUUUAUUGCUGGUCUAGCACACAAUACCUCGAACAACACAACCCCAAAUGAGUAGACAUCAGAUUUUUCUGUCAAUUGUUGGCGUUGACAAUAUUCGGGAUCCAAGUACCCUAUGCUACCUUUCACAAUGGUGCUCACGUGGCCCUUCGAUGUGCUCGUAGGGCCUGUUUUGGACAAUCCGAAAUCCGAAACUUUGGCCACCCAUUUCUCAUCCAGCAAGAUAUUUGUUGUCUUCACAUCACGAUGAAUGACAGUGUGCUUGGCACCUGUGUGAAGGUAAUCCAACCCACGGGCAGCACCGAUGCAAAUCUCUAGGCGUUGACUCCAUGAAAGUGGAGGAUUAUCAGUUCUGUAGAGAUGAUCACGAAGCGUCCCCCGAGCCAUAUAAUCAUACACCAGGAUCAUCUCAUUAUUCUCAUUACAGUAACCAAUUAGAGAAACCAAAUGGCGGAAUCUAAGCUGGGAGAGCAUCUCAAUCUCUGUCCUGAACUCGGUUGCACCCUGCCGGGAACUUGGAUUCAAUCGCUUGAUCGCAGCACGAUUGACUCCACCAUCAAAUAAUCCUUUGUACACGUUACCGAAGCCACCAACACCAAUAAUGAAUGAAUCGUCGAAGUUGUUUGUAGCUGCUAUGAUCUCAACUAGCGAGAAACGGUAGCAUAGAUCAGAAGGUAGAGAAGGCCUAUGGGUCUUUGUUGACUUUCUUGAAGAGGAAACAAGAGGGCUUAAGUUUGAAGCUGCAUCACCAGAUACCAGGUCCUUGAAUUUUUGGACUCUUCUCCGGAAAAUCAAGAGAAAUAGAACUGAGAAGACAACAAUGCCCGAAACAGCAGCACCAAUAAUGGCGACUGUUCUUCUUCGACUUUGCUUUGGCUUUGUUGAGGUCGCGCUAGGAGUAUUACUAACGGGGCUGUCCGGAUACGCGUCAGGAUUUGGUCCGGCAAGAUUGUCUGAUUUGCUCAAUUUGAAGAUUUCAGCUCCAUUCAACAUUGCAUCAAAGGCAUUAGUAGACUGAAUAGGGUGCAAUGCAAUUGAUAAAUUCUGUAUCCCUUCGUUUCCUCCGGCAUUCAUCAUCACUACGUAAUCUUUGUAUAUGGGAACCCCAUAUCCAGCAGCCCAAGAGAUUAUAUCUGCGUAACGCUCUGCCGUUUGAUUAGCGAUAUAUAUUUUAAAGACUAGAUCGCCCUUUUGCAAUAUAAUCGGUAUAAACUGACAGAAAUGAAGCCUAACAAGAUAGGUGAAUGUGGAGUGGACCGGAAACUCCCAAGUCAUAUUGUAUUUCUUAUUUAUAGUAGAAUCGGGCCCCAUGGUCCUAGCAGUUCGAUAGAGUACGUCAGGUGCAGCAUAGCGAGUGUGGUUAUUAUACUGAAGUUGAAUAGUGCCAUUAAAUUGAAAAGCGCUUGGUCGAGCAUCCGUCAAGUAAUCGACAUCGCUUAACCAACUUCGAAACAUGCCAUUGUCGUUGGGCGGUGCGAUCUCUCUCCCACCCACAUUUACCCGGUACAUGAUCUCUAAAGCAGUUUCAUUUUGAAGGGGAAGAUAGAUCUCCUGGUCAAAAUCAUACAUCCCUGGUUCUUCUCCUGCAGUGUAAUAAAGAUUGGUGGGCAUGGAUACGAUUUCAAUCCCGUUGAUGAAAGCAUAUGCAUCAGCUACAUGAGGGCUUGGCGUGAACGUUAUGCUCAGAUUUUUCUGCUCAUCUUCAACAUUUAAGAUGAAUUCCCUGGCGUAACCUCCUUGUUCACCAUGUGGGUCAGUGUAAUGGAAGCCACUAAAGUUGCUAAGAAAUGUAUAGCGACCGGUUGUGACAGAAAAAGAUGCUUUAGACCUGUUGAAACCAGUGUAGGAAGCUGGAUUGAAAUAGAGGCGAACAAACUUAGGUCCUGUUGUUUUGACAGGAAAUGUGUAGGUGAAUUUGGAGAGAGAGACGCGAGCAGUAUAAUAAGGUACAGAGCUAGUGGAGGCUCUAUUUUCUGUGGGAUUUGAUGAGGGGCCGGCUUGAUCUAGAAUGGCCACUCAUGAGUUGAUGUCUGCAGUCCAGUUUCUAUCGUUUCCAACACUAUCGGAGGAUGAACCACAAUCAAGCGCUAUGCUAUCGACGGGGACGUAAGGUGGUGGUAAAUCCCCGGUUACAAGGAUGGUGAGAUGGAGGAACAGGAAGGAGAGGUGCAGAGGUGUGAACAGAGAUAAGUUUGUGAGAGAGAGAGAUUUGCUGCUGCUGCUGCUACUCAUUUUGUUUUUGGCCAGAGGAGGAGAGAUGAAGAAAUCAAGAGGAGAAGCUCCUUUUAAUUAUAUGCUGAGAGGAGUUCAAGUCAUGCUAUAGUUGACUGAUUCUAAUUUUUAUUCUUUUUUUAUUAUUAUUAUUUCUUAUGUAAAAUCGUUUUCAAGUACUAGUAAUUAUAAAAGUCUCAUUGAGUAGUAUCAAUGUAGCAUUUGGCAAAGGGACAAUAUUGUGAAAUAUAUUUUGACAAAUCUUUUUUUUUUUUUUUGAGAUGAGUAAAAAAAUUAAAAAAUUAAUUAAAUCAAGAAAAUAAAAAAAAAAUAAUAAUUAAAACAAUCGAACCGUGAAAAAAAAAUCAAUUAAACCACUUAGAAUAGUUAAAAAACUAAAAUGUUCGAUUCGGUUUUAGUUUUAUAAACCUGAAAAGAAAAAAAAACCAAAUUGAACCGAAAAUAAUAACCGAGCCAAACAGAAAAAUAUCGAGCCAAACCAAAACCAAACCCAUUAGAAAUUACCAAAAAAAUCUAAAAAAAAAUAUAUAAUUUUUUAUUUUUAAUAUAAAAUAAUCAAACUAAACCUGAACCCAAACCAAUAGAUUGAGUUUUGGUUUUUGUUUUAAAAUAACUAAAUUUAAUCAAAAUUGAUCGAUCUGAAAUGGUUUCGGUUCGAGUUUUUUUUUAAUUUGAUUUAGUUAUUUUUUUAAUUUGAUCUUUGAAAUUAGUUAGCACAUUCAAAUAUUUCCAGCUUGAAAGAAUAGGAAAGUUGAUUCGAAAAAUAUAAAAAAGGAAGAAGAAAUAAUAGGGAAUAGGGAUGUCGCCGUCGAGUGGCCAAAUAAAAAGAAAAAUUGGUUCAGAUCAAUGUUGAUUGUGCUACUGACGCCGUGGUGGUGCGGUGAAUCCUCAAAAAUACGAUUGGUUGAACAAAAAAAAAAAUAUAAAUGCACAUUAUGAGGCAGCAAACAGAGUGGACCAAUUGGCCAUGGAAGACCUUUGAAAGGUCCUCUGUAUUGUGUAUUCGUGAUCUGGGCACCAAAAACGGUUGAUAUUUAGAUAUUUUCUUUUUCUAUGAGUUAGAUAUUUUCUUUUAACAAAACAUUUUAUAUAUAGAUUUUUUUAACUUUUUGUAUUUAAAAAAUUCUAAAUGAAAAUCAAAAAAUUUAUACAUAUAUAAAAUUAAAUAAAUUGAGAAUUAUGUGUGUUAUUAAGUGGAAAAAAAAACUAUAAACGAUAACUAAAAAUAAAACUGGAAAAAUCAAGACAGAGAAGUAGAUUAAGAUAUUUAAUUUUACAAGAAAAGAUAUUUAUAUGAUUGUGUUUGCUAAAUUUAUUGAUUAAAAUAAGUUUUUUUAUUCAAUUAAACCAUAACAGAAAUAAAUACACACACAUUAAAUUGAUUCAAUAAAAUAAAAGAAAAAAACUAAUAUGCAAGGCUGCACAUAUUAGAAAUAUUAUUUGAAAAUAAUUUUUUUUUAUUUUCAAAAAUAAAAUUAAUCUAUUCAAAAGAUUCAAAAAAAUUAUAGAUAAAUCAGAAAACCUCCUAAAAAAUUAAAAACAAAUAAUUAAAAAAUAAUUGUCAUUUCAAAGAGGCUCUUUAAACAUCAUAACAAAAGGUAUUGAUCUAAAUAUAAAUAAAAAAAUAAAAAAAGAAUUAAUUUUAAAAAAAUAAAAACUCAAAAAAUAAAAACAAAAACAAAGGCCAAGCAUUGCUGGACCUAGCAAGCCAGGUCAGCCUGCUUGACCCAUUUUGUUAGGGCCCAUGCGCAUUGACCUUUCUUUUUUUUUGCAAAUUGUUUAUGAAAAAAACAAAUAAGAUGAUGUUUCACUCGUGGGCUAUAUAUUUUUCUCUCGGCUAUAUAUUUUUCUCUCUUACAAAAACGUUGUACAUGCAUGCUUUUUCGAUGCAUUUUUUACUUAUACAUACAUGUAAUCAAAUAAAUCGACAACUAUGUGAAUUAAUAAUCGGAAAAAAAAGUAUUGAUGAUAACUAAAAAUAAAAUUAGAAGAUUUAGGUGUGUUAAUAAAUGAAAUAUUUACCCGGUUAUGUUUUUUGAAUUUAUUUGUUAAAAUUAAUAUUUUUAUUCAAUCAAAUGAUAUUAAAAAUAAACACACAUAUUAAAUUGAUUAAAUAAAAUAAAAGUGAAAAAAAAUAUUAUGCAAAGUUAUACAUAUUAUGUUAUCUAAAAAUAAAUAUUUUUAUUUUUAAAAUAAAAUUAUUGUAUACAAAAAGAUAAAAGAAAAAAUUGUUGAUGAAUUAGAAUGAGUUUUUCAAAAAUUAAAUUCGAGCAACACUAUAAAAAAAAUAAUCUCUAUAAAAAAAACCAACAAAAAAAACCCCACAAAUAAGAGAUAUUAAUUAAAACAUAAAUUUUAAAAAUAUUUAAAAAGGACACAUAAAAAUUACCAGUAGAAGAAAGCAAUAUCAAAAAAACAAAUUGUCUGGUUGUUGUGGCUUAACUCGUUAAACUCAUGACCCGAACAAUAAACUCAAUCAAGUUCAAUAGUUUUUCCCCUUAAAUAUACAUUCAACUUUUAACAUAAAAAAAUUAAACCCGUAACCCGGAUCAUGAACUCAACCAGACUUAAUAUUUGUUUCCAUUAAAUUUUAGAAAAAAAAUAAACCCUUUAUCUGGACCAUGAAUUCAAAUGGAUUCAAUAAUUGUUUUUCCUUUAUAUUUAUAUUCAACCUUUUAAAAAAAUAAUUAAAAACACACAACACUAUAAAAAAAACAAUUUAUAUAAAAAAAUAAAAAAAAAUCACAAAUAAGUAAUAUCAAUUGAAACAUAAAUUUAAAUUAUUUAAAAAAAGAUACCAAUAAAAAAAAAGCAAUAUAAAAAAAAUAUCCAAUUAUUAUAGCUUAACUUAUAAAAUUCAUGUCUCAGUCUAUAUAAACGCAAUUAAAUUUAAUAUUUUUUCUUUCAAAUUUAUAUUUAACUUUAAAAAAAUAUAUAAACACGUGAUCCAGAUCUACAUCUGAAACAGGUAAAGUAUGGUGCUGUUGAUCCACGCUUGGAUGAAAUUGAUCUCUUGUGACGUCAUUUAAUUUCAUGUACAGGAAAAUAUGAGCUAACCAGUCAACCAUUGCCACAUUCCUCACCUUUCUUAGCUGCUUGCUUUUAUAUUUGAUUAGAUAAACAGCAUUAAGAAGAGCUAGCCAAAACUAAGAGGGAGACGAUGAAGAGCCUUUCCUUGUCAGCUCUAACAUCGUCGUCGUUGUUGUUGACGAUGAUGCUGCUCAACACAAAAAGUUGCGGUGCUAGUAUUUCACUGCCGGAAAUGGAGGGUGACGUCCCCUCCUACUCCAUAGCUGAUUCCAUCUUAGAUUUGGAGUUCAUGAUGGAUUCUGAAAUUAACAGGAUUCCUUGCCAAGAGUUGGUUUCUUCUUCCCCUCAAUCGCUCUCUCUCUCUUUGUUUUUUGUGUUCCAUAAUGCUUUUCUUUUCCUCCUUUUUCCAUCAUUAUCUGUACGAUUUGAGGUUUUGCUGCAUCACUGUCUGUGUUCCAUCAUCUUUUCCCCUUCCUUUUUCCACCAUUAUCUCUUUGAAUGGGGGUGUGGUGUUGUCAAGAACACACCAUGUGUUGUGUUUUGUGUUUUAUGUUUCAUUUAAUUAAUUGUUAAUAAAUGUUUAUAUGGCGGGAGCUUCAUUCAAUUUAGUGUUAACGCGAUAUAUAUCGUGUUAGUUUAAUUUUAGUCCUUCCAGUUAAAUGAAGGGCUAAGAUUUUAACAGACAAUGUUCACCUGCUUAACUAAAUUUAUUUUCUUUUAUAUUUCAAUUAUAUAAAAAAUAUGUAUUUAAUGCAUAAUUUGUAAAGAUAAAAAGCUUCUCCCAUCUAAUGGGUUUUUUUAAAAAAACAAAUCUCUUCUUUAACCAUUCAAAUUAGUGAUGGAAACCUCUUCUUUUACCAGUGAAAAACCCAAAUCCAAUAUAUAUGUAUAGUUUUUUCAUAUUUUGUCCUGUAUAUUCCCGAAUAAUUUAUCUUUUGAGGUAAAUUUGUUAUUAGGUUGAUAUUUUGAUUAUUUAUUAGAGUGAUAAUAAAAUUCAAUAUUUAUAACAACAACAAUAAUGCAAGGUAAAUGAGCUUCUUGAAUAAAAGUCAUGGACCAUUCUUUGGUGUACUUGAGAAAUUCCCUUAUGAUGGUUUUAUCUGUUGCUUGAAAAUCUAAUGGCCUUGAUGACUUUUAGUAAGUCAGUCAUUUUUUCUAUAAAAAAGGGUAUAAUGUAAAGAAAGCAAGAAAAAAAAAGGAGGGAAAAAGGAAAUGGAUACUAUUACUACCACUAGAGAAUGAUUGUGAUAUUGAGAUAAAAAAGAAAACUUACGGUUUUUGUGUCUAAUUUCUCUAUAUCUUGGAUAAGAGAAAGCCAUUGUAUGAAUCAAUUAAUUUGGUAAAAAUUAAAUUUGGUGUUUUAAAUUCUAAUAUUCUUAAUUAAGCCCAAAUUGGGCUCCUAACCUUAAUUUUUCAUUAAUUAGGCCCUUAAUAAAAUUAAUUUGACUCAUUUAAAGUAUAAUUAAGUCAUUGCACUUAAUCAAAUCCUUCAGUUGGACCCAAAUUAAUUCUUAAACAUAAUUAAACUUUAAUUUGGCCCAUGAUUAAAUCAAAUUGACCUAUUAAAAAUUUAAUUAUGUUCUUGGACUUUAGUUUUAUGCAAAUCCAUCCAAUAAUAAUUUAAUUUGACCUUGAAUUUGCAUUGUUUUUUUAUUUUAAGGCAUAAUGAGUAACAAUCAAGCCUCAAAGUUUCUUCAAAAUUACAGCUUGAUAUUUUGUAUUAUUUUGGCAUCCUCCCCGACCUUCUUUCCCCACAUCACCAUUUUUUCUUUUAUUUUUUAGUUUUUAUUUUGAAAAAAAAUGACUUUCAAAGAAUAAUUCAAAAAUAAAUUAUGACACUGCUCAUAACAUCUUAUCACAACCUCAAACAUUUUUUUUUAAGACAUGAAUGGCAUUAAACAACUAUAAUAAACCAAACAAGUGACCCUAAAGUCUCGACAAAUCAAAUUCAAGCUUAAACCCCCACACAACAUCAGACUCAAGAUUACUAAAAAUGACUACUUUAAACUUACUUGCAUAUGGUAAUGCCAGAUUAAUAUCUUAGGUUUAUACACAACAAUGGACAUCAUCAUUAUUCAAAAUGACACUUGAAGUGAAAGGCAGUGAUAAAGAUUAUACCUAAAUGGUUUGAAUCAAUGGAUUCCUAAUGGUUUUAAAGACAUUAAUAUCUAAUUGAUGAAAAAUUAAGUUUGAGAGCCCAAUUUGGGCUUAAUUGAGAAUAUUAAAAUUUAAGAGAUCAAAUUUAAUUCUUACCAAGUUAAUUGAUUGAAAUCAGGGGCAAAAUUGCAAGAAAAAUAAAAUUUUAAGGUCAAUUAGGGGUCAAAUUGAAAAAUUUUGCAGCCAAUGAUCAUUUUGCAAAAGACGUGGAACUAUAGGGGCUUAAUUGACAAAAACCGAGGGUGAAAUUGAAGAAAAUUAAAAAUUUCAUGGUUAAUUGAGGGUCAAAUUGCAUAAAUCUAAGACCAAGGAUCAAAGUGCAAAAGUCGUUAAAACUGAGGUUCAAAUUGAAGUUUGGCAGGAGUUAAAUUUUACUAAUUUAGAAAUUUAGGGUCAAUUAGGGGUGCAAUUAAACUAAAUUAAAAGAUGGAGGACUCCAUUAAACUUUGGCAAAAAAUGAAUCAACCAGUGCACUGUUCAUUAUCUUAUUCUUUUUUACACAGAAAAGCUGCUCAAGUUAUCUACUUUACAGGUGCAUUUAAUGCUUCUAACAUUCAUCAAAUUUGACAAAACAUGUAUGCAAAUAAUCACCCGACAUUUCCCUUCAACCCAAAAUGGUCCGUUCAAGCUGAUUGAUACCAUAACGGUUGUGGCACUGGCCUAAAGUGUUAAUUAGAGAUUAAAAACCUUUUCCUCAUGAUCAGCAUGAACUUUUGAGUGAUUCAAACCAUGCUUUGAGUUGAUUAAUUAUCCUUGUUUUUUCACAUCUUAUGAAGUAUAAAUAGGCAGUGAAAGGGAAAUCAAGAAUUAUACUGGAUUGAACAAAAAAAAUAUAAAGAGUCAAUUUUUAAAAUAGGAUGCCCACUCCAGCAUAUACAAGUCGCUGGCAAAGUUUCAUGUAAAUAUUCAAUGCCCUUUAUGAGGUAGCAAACUGAGUGGACCUAUUGGCCAUGGAAGACCUUUGAAAGGUCCUCUGUAUUGUGAAGUCAUGAUCUGGGCAUCAAAAACAGUUGAUAUUUAGAUAUUUAUCUCUUGGCAGCACAGACAUUAGCAGCCUGCAUGUAUAUAAGAAUUCGGCAACACAGGAAUUGGCACCCUGCACACAAAUGUGAAUUCGGCAGCGCGAAACAGGUUGUGCAAGUAAUGGAUUUGACUUGACACGAUCUUGGAUGAAGGAGUGUCCAAGACAUACGAGAGACCAGUAGUUGACGUAGCACAAACUGGCAGUUGAGGCUGCCAGGUGGGCAUGCAGAACAUGGUUUAGUGGGAGUUAUGGGCAUCCAAGAUCAUGGGAUCAUAGGAGAUGUGCUGGAGAACAUGGGGGUAUGGUUGGAAGUGCUCUCAACCCAUUAAGACCAUGGGAGAUCAUGGGAAAAAACUACCCCCUACUUGGUAGAUAAUGCGGCCACUUUGUUCAUGGGUGAGAUAGUGACCCGCUACUUCUGAAAAUAUAGGAAUGGAAUUUGUGCCUUGUAAAUGCUUGUUUAUAAAUAGUUGUUGCAGCUAUUGGUUGUAAGGGAUGUAAAGCAUGAGAUAGAGAGAUUAGCUUGGUGCAACAUGCAAUCUUUAUGCAUAGCACUCAUACGGAAUUGUGUAUAGUUUCCUUUGUUUACGAGAUUAAUAAAGGUUGGGAAAGAGUUCUUACAAAGCUUGUUGUGCACUUUGAUUAUCUUAUUCUACUUGUGUAUUCCGCUUGUCUUUUAACUUGGAAAAGUGGGGAAACCUAUCGGGUGAGGAAAACACUUAGUUACUAGGCAAACACGAGUGAAAUUGGUGAGGGAAGGCUGAGUCUAGUGAGGGACUAGGCUGCCACACAAGUUUAUUCAUGAGGUGAAAAUUUACCCCAUGACAAUUGGUAUCAGAUCGUGGUCGCAUUCUUGGCAGAACAACAAGAUCGUUCUAUGGGCUGAUCGAAGGACUAAUUUGUUGAAGCUAUCAUUGGAAUAGUUUGUGAAAUUGUUGGCUUGAAGCUUUAUGCCAGUAGGUAUGGAGGCAAUCCGAGAAAGACUGGUUCGACUUGAAGAGUUGAUAGGGCCAAUUCCAGAUGAUGAAGAACAACGUUAUAUUAAUGAUAGGUUGAGGGAAGCUAUUAAAAGUGCUGAACGGGCAGAAAACUUGUACAUUAGUCUUACGGCAGAAACAAGUGAAAAGUUGGAAGCUGCGAAGGAAGCAAUUAUAAUCUUGAAAAAGGUUGUGGCAAACACUUCUGUUGGGACAGGUAUGUCUAAGCCCAAGAUUCCAGAACCAAAAGCAUUUAGGGGUGCUAGAAGUUUCAAGGAACUAGAAAACUUCUUGUAGGAUAUGGAACACUAUUUCAGUGAUGCAAAGGUCGAGUUGGAUGAGCAAGUGAACAUCGCAAUGAUGUAUCUCAUGGGAGAUGCAAAAUUAUGGUGGCAAAGAAGAUCCAAGAAGGACUUAAAUGUUGGGCCAAAAGUGGAGACGUGGGAGACUUUGAAAUGCAAGUUAAGAGAGCAAUUUCUGCCCAACAACACAUCUUGGAUUGCGAGGGAAGACUUGAAAAGGUUGUGGCAAGAUAGGUCGGUAAGGGAUUAUGUAAAGAAGUUUAGUUCUUUAAUUCUGGAUAUUGAUAAUAUGUCAGAGGAGGACAGAACGUUCAAUUUUCUGUCAGGACUUUAGCCGUGGGCACAGUUAGAGUUGCGUAGGAAGAAAGUUUUAGAUUUGUCUUCGGCUAUUGUUGUUGUUGCGAUGUUGCGGUCGCACAAAUUAAUUACCCUAGCUUAAAACACAACACACAAGAUAGUAUAGAGCAAGCAAGGGGUCGAUCCCACGAGGAAGAUUUAGUUCAGAUUUUUAUGUUAUACGUUAUGUAAUUGGGGGGGUCUGAUUUAUGAUGAUCUAAAAUAUAGAAGAAAUUAAACUAGCAAACAAAAUCAAUUGAAACCGAAAUUUAUCAAGAAAACAAACCUUGGUCGCAAGCACACAUCCACCAAUGGAAAUUAGAACUGAUCCUUGAAACGAAACUCCAGUUUAAUCAUGAAUUUUAUCUUUUUUUAAUGUUGGUUAAUUAAAGGAUCCACCGUAUAACUAGCCCUAACCAACAAACAAUCACAGUGUCCGCACUAAUGAUUUAAUCCAAUGGCAGCCUUAAGAUCUAGAUAAAUUCAUUAAUCUUAACAGCCAAGUUGUCUGCUUGUGUUGCUUUGAACGAAUGUUCUCCCUAAGUUUAAUAACGUAGUUCCGCUACAAUUAUCAAACUUAGUUGCUUCACAAGUUUAUAUACCACAACUCUGGUUUUGAUAUCAAACUUAGCAAUAGAUUGUUCACAAUAAUAACUUAGAGUCCGCUCUAGCAAUUAAGAUAAACAAUCAUAGGAAAUAUGCAUAGGAAAACAAACAUACUCCUUCAUAACAUAAACUGAAAAUAAAAGGAAGAAUAAAUCUCACGAUUCUUGAAAUCCGAAGGUUUGUUGUGUCCUUGCAACCAAGAAAACGAGCUUAGCCUUGCAUAUCUAUUGAACAACUACUCCUAAAGAUGGAAGAAUACAUGAUUUCUGAUUUGUAGAGGGGAGAGUUUGUGUUUCUUCACUUCUGGCUGCCACCUCCUUCUUUCUCUCCCUCUAUUUAUACAUAAAUUGUAAUUAAGAAAAAUCAAAGUUCAAGUGUGAACAUCAAUAGAUGGUGGUAGUGUGAAGGCGGCUGGCGGCUGGUUGCUGGCAGCUGUCGGCUAGCGUCUAGCUUCCUUGACCUUCUAGAAAAUUUACUAGAGGAGCUCAAUUGCUGGAAACACUUAUAUGUUGGUUUGGAUGCUUCUGAAUGAAAUUUGGAUUCGUUUCUUCACGCAACCUGCUUGCUGACAGAAUUCAGCUAUCAUCUUUGAAAAAUCCUAUCUCCCUCGUAUGACAAUUUUUUUUUGCUGAAAUUUGGAGCGUUUAUAUAUAUUUGAGUAAGGAAUCCAAAACAAUUGAGUUUGCAUCAAUUGGACUUCUGAAGCUCCAGAUAUUGAAUUUUGAAUGGGCAAAGGUCAACAUUGGUAGACUGCGAGAUUUGACUUUGAAGGAUGUGAUUUCCAUGAUCUUUCUCUUUUUAUUUUUCUUGCAUUACAUUUCCAGAAAUGUAUGGAUCUUAGCUUUUUAAUGCCAUUGGAAUCACUUCGUUUCGACCUCUAGAACUCACGCUCUGUACAAAACAUCGACUGAACGUCAAAUCUACCAAUUACCUCCAAUUUACUCCUUUUUGUAUCUUUCAUCCAAAAAUGCCUUCAAAACAUAAAACAAAGAAUAUCAAGGCAUUUUAUAUAAAUAACAUAGGCAUAACACUAGUUAAAUGCGGGUGAAACUAUUGAAUAAUAUGGUUACAUCAGUUGCUGCUGAUGGGUUGGCAGAUUUAAGAGCAGACGCUAGCGAAGGGACUGUUGGAACAUCUUCUGCUUCGUACCCACCAAUGGAUAGGUAUGAAAUGAAAAGGAAGAAGAAAGGGCUUGGUGGGGGAGAACCUAAAUAGGCUGAUGGCAAUGGGAAGUUAGAAGCCAAGGGUAAGGAAAAGGUUUCGAAAUCAAGUUCGGGCUGUUUUAUUUGCGAUGGUAAGCACUUUGCAAGGGAUUGCCCGCCAUGGAAGACCUUUGAAAGGUCCUCUAUAUUGUGUCGUCGUGAUCCGGGCAUAAAAAACAGUUGAUAUUUAGAUUAAGUGGAAUUAUAUGUGUUAUUAAGUGGAAAAAAAAACUAUAAACAAUAACUAAAAAUAAAAUUGAAAAAAAGAUAUAGAUUAAAAUAUUUAAUUUUAUAAGACGAGAUAUUUAUAUAAUUGUGUUUUCUAAAUUUAUUAAUGAUCGUAAAAAAAAAGUAUUGAUGAUAAAUAAAAAUAAAAUUAGAAGAUUCAGAUGUGUUAAUAAACGGAAUAUUUACCGGAUUGAGUUUUUUGAAUUUGUUUAUUAAAAAUAAUAUUUUUAUUCAAUCAAAUAAUAUUAAAAAUAAACACACAUAUUAAAAUAAAAGUGGAAAAAAAAUAUUAUGCAAGGUUAUAAAUAUUAUGUUAUCUGAAAAUAAAUAUUUUUUAUUUUUAAAAUAAAAUUCUUGUAUACAAAAAGAUAAAAGAAAAAAUUGUUGAUUAAUUAGAAUGAGUUUUUUAAAAAUUAAAUACGAACAACACUAUAAAAAAUAAUCUCUAUCCAAAAAAAUAAAAUCAACAAAAAAAAAACACAAAUGAGGGAUAUUAAUUAAAACUUAAAUUUAAAAAAUAUUUAAAAAAAGAUACAUAAAAAAUACCAAUAGAAAAAAGCAAUAUAAAAAAAAAAUUCACAUUUUGAUCUCCGGAUUCACUCCUCUUUAUCUACAAUCAUCAUAAAAAAUAAAAAUAUUUAACCCGUAGUAGCGACGUAUAUUAAUAGCUGAUCUAGAACAUUGUUUAGAACCUUUCGUUUUAGAACACAGUACAGUGCCUUUCGUUUUGUCAAGAGAAAUUAAUUGUAUAGUGCUGUUGAUCCACUCAAUUAAUUGUAUAGUGCUGUUGAUCCGCUGUUGAUCCACUCAACUAAUUGUAUAGUGCUGUUGAUCCACUCAAUUAGAGCAUGAAAGGGAUCUCUCGUGAUGUCAUUUUUUAUGUAUGAGCUAACCAAUCCAGCGUUGCCACAUUCCUCGAUCAUCUUAUCACCUUCAACACCGCCGAUCACUGCCACCCUAUCCCCAUAUAUACAGUGUUAGCUGCUCGCUUUUAUCAUAGAUUAGCAUUGAAAGAGCUAGCGAAACAUAAGAGAGAUACUAUGAAGAGUCUUUCCUUGUCCGCUCUAACAUUGUCGUCGUUGUUGUUGACGAUGAUGCUGCUCAACACAAAAAGUUGCGGUGCUAGUAUUACACUGCCGGAAAUGGAGGGUGACGUCCCCU